rnacentral:lncRNA from 1 species
AACAUACAGCAGCAGCAGUGUGCAAUUCAUCAUAUACCAGCAGCAGCUCAUGGCAAUUUAUCAUAUAGCAGCAGCAAGAGCAGCUCAUAGCAAUUCAUCAUAUAGCAACAGCACGAGCAGCUCAUAGCAAUCUAUUAUUUAAUUAAAACGAUAGGCAAACAAGCCACCACGUAUGUCCACAUAGAUUAAAUUAUCUUGAUCCUUAAUUUUAUGUAUUAACGGCUGAGAUCGAAAGAUGCAAGCGUUACAUAAGAAUAUAAUACAUCUACAAAAUAGUAGAACAUGUCACGUAGAAGUAGUCCACAUAGGUUCCAAAGCACGUGUCUAUAACUAGCCCAUACAAAAAAAAACUUCCCAUCGAUGGGUCAAUGGUAAGCAAAAAAAUAUUAGUAAAACCUAAACAAAUAAGGAACCUAUUAUUAACCGUACAAGGACAACUACCACACGUGAGGAAAGUUCCACAUCAGGAAUGAAUACACACAAACAAAACAAGUCUGAUUAGCACACGGUGUGGGCAUCUGAUUUCCAGCCGGUCCCGACCACCACAACCCAAGACACCUAAAUCCAUAUAUAAAUAAGUACACACGCCCGCACAAGUACCCACCAAACAAUUACAAGCCAACGACCACGGCGACUUGAACACGCCACACGCAACUCAACGUCCAGACGAAAAGCCACGUCCAGCCGCUUCACUCGACGCCCGACAAAGUCACGUGUAAGCACGCUCGACGCCCGACGAAGCAAUGUCGGUAGAAUUGACGCCAAAGCACUUCUGACCUGAUUCAUCACAUUUGGUAAUUGUUAUUUCACAAGCUUACUUUUUAUGUGCAGAAUCUUCAUAAAUACGCAACUCAACGUCCAGACGAAAAGCCACGUCCAGCCGCUUCACUCGACGCCCGACAAAGUCACGCGUAAGCACGCUCGACACCCGACGAAGCGACGUUGGAAGAAUUGACGCCAAAGCACUUCUGACCUGAUUCAUCAGAUUUGGUAAUUGUUAUUUCACAAGCUUACUUUUUAUGUGCAGAAUCUUCAUAAAUACUAUAUCAAUUGAUAAAUUGUUCCCUGUUAAUUUUGAAGACAUCAGAAUAUGGCAUACAAGAAGUUGAGCGACUUAACUACAAGAGGACAGAAUUGGAAUAUUCAAGUGAAAGUAAUGAGAAUGUGGGAUUCAGUGAAUCCUACGACCGAUGAGCUUAUUAGCCUAGAUAUGAUACUAAUGGAUGAGCAGGUUUGUUUUCUAAUAUAUUAAACUAGAAUUUUUCUAUCGUAUGAAGCAAAUUACUAACCAUAUUUGAUUCAUUUAACAGGCUGAAACAAUCCAUGCUACUAUCUGGAAGAAUCUUAUAGGCACUUUUAGAUCAAAGAUUAAUGAAGAAUCUAUUUAUGCAUUCAGCAAUGUUAAGGUCGUGGAAUCCACAAAAUAUAGGCCACAGAGCAAUGAAAUUAAAAUAUUUUUUGCAUACAAUACAAAGGUAAAGGAAAUAAAAGGAUCUUUGAAAGUUCUCCCAGAUUAUUGCUUCGAGUUUGCUACCAUGGACACACUAGAAGAAAGGGCCGAAAAAGAUACACAAUGCUCACGUAUGCUUAUAGUUGUAAUUACGACCUCCAAAUAAUUGAUAUUUCUAAUUUUUAUAUCACUAAUCUCCAAAUAUGCAGAUGUCAUUGGACUACUAACUCAAAUGAAGCCAGUGGAGACAAGAAUAACAAAAAGGAACCCACAACCUUCAUAUAUCCGUGAGAUUGAAAUCCUAAUGCCAGAGUAAGUGCAUAUGCAUAUGCAUGUCUCAAAUUUAACUAAACCUCCCCCAUGUGGUUAGCACUAACUUCUCAGAUUAAAUUCUUUAGGGGUGAUAAAAUCAGAAUCACGCUGUGGGGAAAGUUUUCUUAUUUUCUGACCGUGGAUGUAAUCGGCAACCAAACUGUCCUUAUUAUCACAUCAACGAUGGUGCAGAGAUUCAAUAGUAAGUGCAUAGAUCUUACAUGCUAUUCUUAUCAUUUACAAAUUCUUAUUGAUUGAUUAAAUAGGUUUGUGCCUAAAGUCAACGAGUGCCACAAGAAUAUAUAUUGAUCUGGAUAUACCAGAAACACAAGAACUUCUUGAUAGGUAUGAAACACCUCCAAUUUAUUUUUUUUACUCAUAAUUAGUGAGUCAGGUUGAUUCAAGAUUUUAUAUUCUUAUUUACUUCAUACAUGUGCAGGGACUCAACAGAAAAAACCUUACCAAAGAUGAUCAGUAUAGAUAGAAGUAAUCAAGGAACACUAGAAGAACAGAUGUUUUAUAAGAGGAUAACAUUACAAGAACUUACUACAAUGAGGCACGGAAACCAGUCAGACCAGGUAAUGCAUCAGAAUUUCAAAAAAUGAUACCAUCAAUCUCUGUGAUACGAGACCUGCAUGGACAAUUCAUUUAAUAUUAGUUACAAUGAAACCACAUUGUGCUUAUUUAUGCCCCUUAAUCCCACACGCCACUCAAAUGCUAACACUAUUUUUUUCAGGAUUUUGUAUUCACAGCAAUAGCUACAGUAGAUCGUUUGCAAGAAAAUAUUCAAUGGUGGUACAUGUCAUGUGAUAAGUGCCACAAAUUGGCUACCAAGGAAACCGAAAAUUAUUAUUGCAAGAGUUGUGGUAUAUAUCCAGAAAAGGUCACACCUCGGUAAGCAUAUUAUAUUACUAAAAUAUGAACAAGAACUGUUAUAUUAUAUUUACUCCCUACUAACAUGAAUCGUAUGUUAGGUAUCGUGUUCGACUCCAAAUUAGUGACCAUACAUCUACUACAAGUUGCACUUUAUUUGACGAGGAGGCUGCAAGAUUGCUUAAUACAUCUGCAUCUAAGUUGCUAGACACACAAGACGGGAAAUCAGAAGAAGUGCCAAAGAUUAUUCAACAAUUAUGUGGAAGAAGACUUAUAUUUAGAUUCAAGCUCAAUGAUAAUAAUCUCACAUUUGGCACACAAAACUAUGCAGAAAAAGAAUUUGUGCCCGAUGAUAGGCUUGAGAUGCUCUAUUUGGACAAUAAAGCCGAGGAGGUAAAGCUACAUUAACUUUUUACCAUCUUCAAACUUCCUUAACUAAUCCAUCUUAUAUAUGUUUCGCAGGAAUUGAUGGAUGAUGAGGUGGACACCGUGUUAAUGAAGAAGCAAAACAUGCCAGAUACAAAGGUGACAGAUUUUAUUAACUAUAUACACACUUCAGAUUUUAGAGAUGUGUCUAAUUUUCAAAAUGUAUAUGUUUGCAGUCACAGAAUAAUAAAGUUUCAUCUGGCAAACUUUCAUGUGAACCGGUGCCUGUGAAAGAGGAGCCACAUGACAGCACUGGGACUACAUUAAACAAAGAUAAGCGUCAAGACAAAAGAUCAUCAUCAUCACGUGAGCUCCGCAGUGGCACUAAAAGGAGACUGAGAUCUGUUGUAAUAUCAGACGAGUCAGAGGAUGAAUGCAUUGAGACGAAUAUGCCUCAACAAAAGGAAAAAGGUGUUUGCCGGAACAAGAAACAUGUUAAAGCAGAAGCCAAAAAUACAAUGGUUGAAGAUCAAGAUGAAGUACCGAAAUCAAAUGCCAGGAGAAAAGGGAUGUUAUCAAGAUAAUUAGUGGAUCAGUAGCUUAUGAAAUAAAUAGUGCGACUGUGUAUUUGUAUCGACCAAGAUAAGUAGAGUAUUUGAUUGACAUCGACCAUGAUAAGAGGGAUACUUAUUAGAUUAAGGGUGUGAAUGUUACCAAUGUUCUUAGUCUAAAACAGAUCGAUAACUUUCUUCAUGUAGUUUCCUUUAUGCACAUGCUAUUUUAGGCAAAUCUUUACGAGGCCAGCAUAAUAGACAGGAACAUACUACAAGACCAGAGUUUCGCACAUUAGGAUUUACUUCACAAUUUGAAGAAACUAUACUUCGCCAGCACAACAGAGAGGAACAUACCUUGCUUCAUCAGUAACUUAAUAGCAGGAUUUGAUAUAAGCAAAUCAAUGGCGUCUUGCUGGCACAAGUGAGCUGCUCAACAAACCUAUAAAAAAAUUAAUAUCCAAGGUGAACAAACUUCCUGUUCAUAAGGCCUUUUUUAAGGGAAAAGGCAUCAUUUCUUGCAAAUAACAAAUUAAAAAUACUAUGGAGUACAAUACCAAUACUACUAUGGAUAAAGUAUAAGAAAUAAUCCUCGGUUGGCACUUACAGUUAGUGGUAGCCUGGCAGCAAGAACAAUGAGGAGGCCAGCAUCUCAUGGUCGUUGGCUGCUAUUUGUAUUCUCUAGAUGUCAGAUCUAAUAUAACACAUUCAGUAGGUGACUCGGUGAUUUCCCUCGCAGCCUCCUCCACUGGGCCAAACUACAACACCUCUGCCAUGGACCUCUAGUCGUACGCCAAGAAGAGGUCAUCAUCUUGGCGGAAACCCUUGAGAACGCUCCGCCGGACUCCACGAGGUCGUCGAGAAUCCACAUCCUUGAGAAUGCGCCAGUACCUACACGAAGAGAAAUGGGAAGGAAUGAAUCAGCCGUGAUGGUUUGGGAAUCAAUUUGGUGAUGGCAAGCAGAGAGAUCUUAAUCAGCCGGCUAAUGGAAGAGGUGGUGCGUGCGGAUGGAUUAAGGAUGCUGGAGGGGAACGACUGAUGCAUCUCCCCAUGGACGGGCAGGUCGGAUUUGGGGCAGCAACAUCUAUUUAUUUUUCCCCUUGCGAUUUGGUACGGCAUCGCCCCAUGGAUGGGUAGGGCACUGAGAUUUGGGGCAAAAUCACCCAUGGACGGGCCGCCUCAGUUACUUUCAACUAGCCUUCACAGGCAAAGAAGAAAGGAAAUGUGUUUUUACACUAGCACAACUAAAAGGAGCGGCGUACAUCCCGUCAAAAGAAAAGGAAAAAAAUGCGUGCACAUUUCUUCUAAAAAAACAUGGUUGGCUGGGAAUCACGUUACACAAUUUCUUUUUUAAAUGAUGAAACACGUUUUACAUAGUUUUGACUAAAUUGAGACAUGUAAAAAAUAAAAGAUGCAACUUUAUAUUUCAUUUUUUAUACGAUUGGGUCCAUUUGCUUCAGAAAUUCAUAAAAAAACAUAUAAUAGAUACGUAAUUUAAAAAAACACAUAUAUGAAGCAAAAUAAAAUACAUGAGAAGGUAAAAAAAAUAAUUUAAAUAUUGCGUGAAUGUCACCAGAAAAUUUUAAAAUGUUUGAAAAGAACUAAAUGCAGAUCAUUUAUCACAAGAUAUAAAAUAGAUCAAAUCUACAUUACAUUGCCAACACCAUUCACAAUAUUCUAUUUCUUCAUCAAUCUAAUUAUUAAUAGUUACCAUGUGUAUUAUCAACUUAAAAUAAUGUGUGUCAAUAACUACAGGACUCUCAUCACAUAUGACCUUUAUGUCAAUGAAAUAAAACUGAACAGGACAAAUUAGUUAUUUUCCGUGAUAAAGCUCAAAUCGCCCUGAUUAAGUGUACAUGUCGUAUCUCAGGGAAGGAACAUGAAUAUCAUAAUAAACAUAUCUUUUUUCGAAGAUGAUAGAAUUUAUUUAAAAUGCACGAGAUGGUAUAGUUUCCUAAAAAAAUCACAAGACUGCCAUAUGUCAUCCUGUUAUGUAAAAUAAUUUUUAAAUAAAGUAAAUAAAAAUGGGAAAACAACAUAUAUUAAUACGUAAAAAAAUGAAAAUUUAUAAAAAAACAUUAAACAAGUGAUAAAGAAACAAAAAAUACAAAAAAUAUAUUAAUCUAGCUGUGCAAAUGCGUGGGUGAACCCGCUAGUUCAUCAUAUAGCAUCUAGCAGCAGCAGGAGCAGGAGCAGCUCAUAGCAAUUCAUCAUAUAGCAUCAGCAGGAGCAGCUCAUAGCAAUUCAUCAUACAGCAGCAGCAUGAGCAGCUUAUAGCAACUCAUCAUAUAGCAGCAGCAGCAGCUCAUAGCAAUUCAUCAUAUAGCGGCAGCAGCAGCUCAUAGCAAUUCAUCAUAUAGCAACAGCUGGAGCAGCUCGUAGCAAUGCAUCAUAUAGCAGCAACAGAAGCAGCUCAUAGCAAUUCAUUGUAUAGUGGAUCAGAAUGAAAAUUUGGCAAAAAAUCAGAGGAGAUCCUCACCUUGUUGGAUGAGCUCAUCCUUCAACAGCACCUCAACGCCACGGCCUGGGAGGUGGGGAGGGGAAUAAGGUGCCUUCUGCCGCAGUGUGGCAUCAGCCGUAGUUGUGCAGCGCCUGCCGGAGUAGUGUGUUGGACGAACCACAGUGGAGCAGCUGCUGGAGACCAUGAGAAUGAGGGGCAACGCUAGAGGGAGGAGCAGCCAGGGAGAUUUGCCCCUACCCGCCGGCCAUGUAGCCUAGCUGGACAGAGCAUCGUCGAGGACCAGGCCAGAUGGGACCAGUGGCGACGGCUUGCUGGAGGAACCAUAGUGCUGCAGGUAGGGGAUCGAGGUAGAGGGAAAGGGGAGAGGAGAUGCAAGCGGGCAGGGCAAUGAACGCUUGCGUGUUUGUUUUUACUUGAGGGUGAGGUGUGACGCGGGCGUCACCAGUUGCAUUUUGAGUGUAAUAUAGGCAGACAACAGAGUCAUUUCACUAUUCCCCUUCCCUUCAAUUUUUAGUGAGGUUCUACCCGAAACACCCCCCUCCAAAGACAAAUUAGUUAAGCCCAAUCCCAUAACUCAAAAAUGAUUUGUUUACAUAUUUUAUGGCUUAUUUUGACAAUAAGCCCUGAAAAGGCGGAAUAGAACUGGCCCUUAACCUGCAAUUCAAUUGUGCGUGCAAUGAUGAAUCACUCCUGCCUGCUAUAGUGUACAUUUAGGCAUCAUCAUACAUGGCAUAACCUAAUGCAUGUGCAUUCCAUUGUAGAAUCUGGAAUAUGCAAUGUUUAUGUUAGUUCAUACGUUGCACAUGAUGUUUAAAUGCCCCUUAAAUCCGGUUAGUCAAGUGAUGGUCUUUAAGCCUCCUUCUCUGCUUCUUUUCUUGAUAUGUAAGAUUUGCUCACACAUCUGUUCAAUUGCUUGUUUGCAUCAGCCAGCCAUACUAGGACUGUUUGCUUUGAUUACUUGUUGUUCUUGACGUAACACUCUAACAGAGCUUGUCAACGAUUUAAACACUAAGGGUUGCUGUAGUGGGGCCUUUUCUAACUCAUAGGUGACAUAAAGGUUUGGCUGUACACUAAAGUAUGCUCUCCAAGAGUACCUAGAGAUCCAGUUCGAAGGUAUGCCUAGUUUUUACAUAGUGCAGACAUAGUAAAUGCUCAUUUCAUUGUGUGCAAGUGCAAGAGAUGCGGCAUGUUUCAUUAUGUGGUGUUGUUUUGUUAUAAUCUCAUCCUUUUGUGUUCACAGACUGAAAAGUAUCCAUAUUUAUCUUCCAAUGAGAUGAGUAACUAGUUUGCUGUGUCACCUUGCAGAGGGGGUGCAAUGAAGAUAAGAUUGAGGAUUUCCAAGUACAAGAUGUUAGGAAGGAGCCUUGCAAGAGAAGUAGGAGCUGCGCUGAGCCUCUUCAACCUGUUAAGGUAAGUCACUGUAUCCAACUCAACAGUUCAAUUCCUUGUUUGUUUCAGGCAUAGUUAAUUUGCUCUUUUCAAUUGCUUUAUUUGUCCUCAGUUAAUGAGAUGCCCAAAGAAUGAUGCCUGAUGUUGGGUACUUGUAUAACUAUUAGUUGACAUAAUUAAAGGCCUUACCAUUUAAUUACUCUGUUGAAGUGUACCUGAAGCUUUGAAGUCUAUUAACCAACUAUUAUUGCAUGAGGCUCACAAUCUAGUUUAUACUAGGCUAAUGAUUGCAUAGUUUUGCUUGCUGUAGUAUGUUUGUAUGAAACCCUCUGCUGUUCAUUAUGCUCCCUAAGACUUUAAUUGAGCUACAGAAUGGCCAACUGCUUGCUUACUUCUACGCAACGUGUUAUCUAAAUUUUAACUUGUCCGUGUUUUGGAUUGGGCCCCAACAUCAUGCUCCUCUGGUGAGCUAAGAGAGAUUUCUGUAUGCAGGCUGCACAGACUACCUUUUUUAUAAUUUUUAAAAUAUCACCUGCUUAUGCUUCAUGACGUGUAACAUUAUUGUUAGUCCUGUUUUGCCAUGUACAAAAUAGUGUGUCUUGCUCGCUUCACUGUUGUAACUAUAUGUUUGCCCUAGUCAUGUGUACUUACAGAAACAUUUCAGGAUGAAGUGACAUCAACACAAAGAUCUGCGAGCAGUGCGGCAUGGUCGUUACCGAAUGAUUAUGGAUUGGAAUUGGAAUGUGUUUAUGUUCUCAAGCAUCAACUAGAGGUGGCAAGACAAUGUGUACAUGAUUCUGAACGUACAAUCAACAAGUUAAGACUGGACAUGCAGGUAUUAGAUGCAGGAUCAAAAAAAUGAAACAAGACACUGAGGUAACAACGAAGGAAUUGGAGAUUUUGCAGACUGAAAUUUGUGCUAUGUAAAUCCGGCCAAUCCUAUUUUCUGAAGAGAUUAUAGUUCAAAUGGUAAGUUAUAUAUGUUGAUGCGCGUCCAUGAUGUAUGAGCUGUAUUUGCCCAGUGUAUGUAAUUUGCUGUUUGUGUAUGCUUUAUUAUCACUGCUGCCGAACCAUAAUGCCCAGUAGGUAUAAUCGGCUGAAUUUCUUUAUUGUAUAGUGUAGGAUUAUUCUACGUUUCUAUGCCUUAGUCUCUUUAUUGUAUAGUGUAUGUUUUUUAGAGGUGAUACUAUAGAGUAGGAUAAUUAUUUGAAUAUGCUAUAUCGUUCAAAUGGGGGCCAACUCGCCCAAACGUUGUAGUGACCAUGGCCCUCCACAAGCCAUACGAUCCAUGGGCCAUCUACGGGACGGACGAUCCAUGGCCUUCUAUGGCCGUCGGAUCCAUGGGCCUUCUAUGGGCCAUCGGAUCCAUGGGCCUUCUAUGGGCCGUCGGAUCAAUGGCCUUCUAUGGGCCGUCGGGUCAAUGGGUCUUCUACGUCCCGUAGGAUCCAUGGGCCUUCUACGGGUCGUCUCAUCUAUGGGCCCUGUACGGGCCGUAUAAGGGGCCGUAAACGGGCUAGAGUGGAAAUCGUACGUUUUAUGGGCUGACCAUAACGGGCCUUUAAUAGGCCGUAUUUGAUGAUGCUAUGAAAGUGGCCCAACAGAUUAACGGCCCACAAACGGGCCGACUAUAUCAACGGGCUGAAUUUGGCCCACAAGCAAAAAAGGCCAGUAAUGGGCCGUAAGUAACCGAAUGGUGGAAAUGAGCCCAAGAAUAAAUGGGCCCUCAGAAGGCCGAAAGGUAACACGGGCUGGAAACGACCCAAUGGAAUAAUAGGCCGCUAAUGGGUAUAAAGCGAUACACUGUUCAUUACGGGCCAGUUUCACCACGGGCCAUUAAUGGGCCAAGAAUUACAAAGGGACUCAUAUGGGCCGAAGUACGUCAUGGGCCAUACAUGGGCCGGAAGUUAAAACGGGCUGGAAUUAUAUUGGACGACCCAGAUGACGCUACUGGUCCUAAUUCGGAUAGGCCAUAAACGGGCCCUAGGUUAGCGGGCUGUAAAUGGGCUAUAUGCGAACAGGCCGUUAACAGGCUUGUCGUGGGCCGGCCCGCCACCUUUUGGCCCAGUCAAACGGGCCGUCCUUUUAACAGGAAUGGGCCUCUGUUGGGCCGUGCCACGUGUCGACGUAUCAUAGGCGCUUUGGGUCCAAUGAGUGGAUGACAUAUGUCCCAACGGUGAGCCGACACGUGUUUCCUCCAGCCAAUGAUGAUUUUGCACAUGGAAAAUCCCCAUUGGUCGGGGCUGUUAACGGGUUAUCGGAUCCAAAACCAGACCCGAUAGCUUAACGGCGUUCCGUUACGGUGGAUGCCAUGUGUCGGUCACCCUUGACGAAAGCACUUCUGUGACACGUGAUUUAUCGUCAUGGAAGUGGACACUUCCGUGAUGAUAAUUUUGGUAAUGUCAUGGAACACUUCUACGACAGCACAGGUAUGACUAUCUUGAUUCUGUCAUAAAAUUUUCAUGGAUGUACAUGCAUGACAGAAAAUGUGACCUACUGUGACAAACACGUAUCAUCACGGAAGUGUAUUUUUUGUUGUGGUGUAAUAUCUGAGAACCAUGAAAACAUAAAUUAUAGUGAGAUUAUCUUUGUAAUGCAGAGGAUAUUCUAAUAUAGAGGCGCCCAUGUAAACCCUUGUGUGCUAUCACUAGAUUCUGAUGAGAGAGCUCAUGUGUGCUAUAAUAUGGUGCGUGCAUUAAUAUAAUCUGGCACAAGUACACAAAAAAUAGGCUCCAGAAGUAAGGAUAGUUGGCACAUGAUAGGUUCAUAAUAUACUGUAUAGAGAGCUUAUUGCCAAACCAUGAUAACAAGAGCACACAACAACUAGGCAGAUCAUACUAUACAUAAAAGGGGUACACCAUAACCACGAUAUAUAAAUCGGGAAAGUGGAACUGGCUGGAAAAUACAAUGUUGUAUUGCCGCUACUAAUUGAAAGCCUAUCGAUCACGUACAAGCCAGCUCUAUCAGCUGUUGACUGCAGAUGUCCCUACUCCCCUUCCUGACAAGGAACAUACUGUACGUACUAAGUACAGAAUAACAGAAGAGAAACAUGUUAAAGAACAGAAGAGGAAGCAUAUUCUUGAGGUUUCGCUUCAUUGCAUACAAUGUUGGUUGCCUACUCAUGAUGAAUCACAGCGCCCAAAGAAAUGCAAUUCCAUGCUGUCUCUCUAUAUGUGGCCACAUACAUUUGGAAAAUCAAGUGGGAGCAUUACCUGACCAAUUAAAUGUGUGUCUGUUAACUAAUGUCAGUAUCAUAUCACAAUUUUUAUUUGAAGAAGUAAGCUUUGGACUUAUGAUUGGUGUGUUGUUUAGCUUCAAGAGUGGACUGCUGCUAGUGCGACACAAAGCAGCUACACAGAUCAUAGUGUAGAUAUAACAGGAAAACAGUAAGCAUCAGGAGUAAAAUCAGCAAAGUGGAACUUGUUGGAAUAUAUGUGCUAGUAUUGCUGGUACGGCUAGAAAGGCUUCGGAUACCAGCUCUCUUCAACUUAAGGUGCGGUACUGUUAAUAUUAGUGUAACUCUCAAAGGCGACACAGCUCCCCGCAUUUCCUUGCUAUUCUUAUAGGAUUCAAGUGGGCAGGCCACUACAAAUCCUAUUCCUAUGUUUACAAAAUCCUACGAAUCAAACAGGCCCGAAGAGUUCAAAGUGUCCAUCACAACCGACCGUAUAGACCUCUACACUGCAAAUGUCCAUGCUCAUCUUCACUACAAGGAACAUACUGUACUACUAUCAUAUUCCCUCUGUUCCAAAAUAUAAGUCUUUGUAGAGAUUUCCACUAUGGAUCACAUACCGAUGUAUACAGAUACAUUUUAGAGUGUAGAUUCACUCAUUUUGCUCCAUAUGUAGUCCAUGGUGAAAUCUAUACAAAGACUUGUAUUUAGGAACGGAGAGAGUACUUAUUAAAGAAGAACGGAAGAGGAACAUGUUCAAGAAGAGCAAGCAGAUUUUGGAUAAUAAAAUGUUCGUUUCAUAGUGCCCACACAUGAUGAACCAGAGCGCAUUAAGAAUGCAACUCCCUGCUAUCUCUCUAUAUGUGGUGCACAUGCUUUUCGAAAGUAAAGUAGGAACAUUAGCUGACCAAUUAAAUGUUAUCUGUUUUAGUAAUAUCAGCAUCAUAUCAAAUUCGUAUUUGAGCAACAAGUUUGGAAUUAUGAGUGGCAUGUUGAUGGAUUUAGGAGUAGUGCUAAGCAGGUACGAUGAUGGUACUGAAUAUAAAGGCAUGUCUGCAUGCAUGUCGCGUGACUUUUGUCAUUUUGGUCAGUCGACCAUUUCAGACAGUUGGAUGAAGAUCCUACGUCUCCUAACCCUUCUUCUUCCUCGUCUCUGAUUCUUCCCAUACAGAACACCGCACGGGCCGCCGGCCGAACCACCUGCCCCGACCCCCCCCCCGCGCCGUCCCCUGAACCGCCCCCAUCGCCUGUGUUCCUCUGCCACUCCCACCCCCGCCCCCAACCGCGUCGAGUUUUCUUNNNNNNNNNNNNNNNNNNNNNNNNNNNNNNNNNNNNNNNNNNNNNNNNNNNNNNNNNNNNNNNNNNNNNNNNNNNNNNNNNNNNNNNNNNNNNNNNNNNNNNNNNNNNNNNNNNNNNNNNNNNNNNNNNNNNNNNNNNNNNNNNNNNNNNNNNNNNNNNNNNNNNNNNNNNNNNNNNNNNNNNNNNNNNNNNNNNNNNNNNNNNNNNNNNNNNNNNNNNNNNNNNNNNNNNNNNNNNNNNNNNNNNNNNNNNNNNNNNNNNNNNNNNNNNNNNNNNNNNNNNNNNNNNNNNNNNNNNNNNNNNNNNNNNNNNNNNNNNNNNNNNNNNNNNNNNNNNNNNNNNNNNNNNNNNNNNNNNNNNNNNNACCACCGCCCCCCACAACCACCGUCCCCACCCGAGCCCCUUCCUUCGCACCGGCGAACUCCGGCGAGCUCUGAAAAAAUGACUGACCCAAUUUUGAAAGUUAGUCUACUGUCAUUUAACUAUUGUGGAAUAUAAAAGGGGAAAACCAUAAGCAUUGCGAGUAUAGUGUUGAGCGUGCCAUGACGGAUCUGAAGGUGCAAACCGGACAAAGGCAACUUCGCAAGCAAUGUUUACUUUCAACUAGCAAGUAAGUGAUGGACAAGAAAUCAGAGUAAAGGAGUGGCGAUCUAUUUUCUUGCUGCGAUAAAUAAGUUGAGCAGAUACGAAAGAGUACCACCUCUGGUGCGGCACCGUGUAUGCAUCUGCUGAGAAUUUCAUGGUGCUGCAGUAGCGAUGGCUAUCAGUGACGUGGAAGCAGAUCUAGGAGGGUAGAUGGUGGCGGCGGGGCGCGGUGGACGAGACGGUCGUAGGAGCGGCGCCGACAAGGUGGACGACGGCGGGGAUGAAGCGAGAGGACGGGAUGCAAGGAUCCCGGUCCGAAUCCAUGGAUGAGAGAGGUCGAUCUCUUGUAAUGGACGACGGCGUCGGGGUAUCAGCUCCGGCAUGGUGGAGGAGGACGGCGGUGGAUGGGGUGGCGGACGGAGGAGGCUGGGGUGGAGAGGGUGUUUUGGCGCCCACGGAGUACGAAUGGGGAAAUGGGGGCAGAGAGGAAGGGGGAACCAUGUCUUCAGGGCGCACUUGUCUCAAAUGCGAGGAAAUUUACAAACUUAGCCCCCGUUUCAAAUUUCCUACAUCACAGCAAAAUUAGUCGGUUGGGGAUAGGACGGUAAUCUCGCAUACACCAAAUAUUUGCCGAUAAGAGUUUGUUUUUGGCGCCCACCGUCUAUGAAUCAGGGAGGGAGUCAAUUUCGGCCGAGGUGACACUGUGUUUUGGCGCCCACCGUGUAUGGAUCCGGGUGAGAGGCAGUUAUGUCAUGUUUGAGUGAAAUUACAAACCUACCCCUAUCGAAACUUAUAGAAAUCGAGCCGAUAGGCUUUGCAUGUCAGGGAUAGGCAGUAAUUUUCAUCUCGCGGAUUUUUCUUUCGGGCGGUUACUGCGACUUUGCCAGCUUCGUUCAAAUUUUUGCAGAGCAAGGGUGCACGUUUACCAUGCCAACUCAAUUCAAAUCUAGUUUGUAUUCUAUUUUUGUUUGGGCAAGAUCCAUUUUCGAUUGGAAUAAAAUUCUAUAUACAUCAUUUUUUAUAUAUACUUUCAAAAGCACAACAAAAAAUUCUGCUCCUUUAUAUGUACAAUAUGAUGUACAAAUACAAUGGUCUCAAAAUCAUAAGGUUGAAUUCAAACAAUUUAAACUAAAUUAUGUUCUACUAAAAUGUAUGGAUCAGUAAUAUCUACAUAUUAAAUAACAUAGAUGCGCGUGAAUUCAUAUGAGUAUGCAUGUUUGAUAGAUCAAUUUGGGUUCGAGUACAAAGCACAUGUAUCAUCAUCUCGAAUUCAAAUAUUUGAAUCACUUUUAUGUUGACUCCUUUCACGCCCAUCUCUCUCGCAUGCAUGCUCCUUCAUGUAGCUAUCACUCUCUUUUCUCCAGCUCACCCGCACGCUCACUUCAUGUUUCUCCUAUCUUUGGAAACAUGGUCUCUCGACGUCUCCCUUGAGAAGUGUCACACUCUCCCUAUCAUUAUACAUUACACGGUUUUCAUUAUCUCUCACGUCUCUACCGUUCUCUGGUAUCACUAGGUACCUAAGCUUUCUUUUUCACCGCCACACACACAGCCUCACUCGUCUUUCACUUUGUCUUUCUCUCUAUGGGGUUCUCUUAGACACUCUAUAUGUCUCUAGAUAUGACCACUAAAAUUACUCUCUCUUGCAGACACAACAUUUGUUGCGGUCUCCUUUCCAUCUCCAUCCCAGUUAUAAAACUGACAUUAUUCAUUUGUUUACCGAUCAGACAAACUCCCCCCCUCUCUCUAACACACACACAACUCCUUCUUCCACUCCCCGACUACCGUCUCUGUCUCUCACACACACAAAACUCUCGCUUUCGCACCCCCGACUCGUAUUUCUCUCACAAACAUUUAUCGACUAGCCUCUAGAUAGGUUUAUACACCCGCACACUCGUGCUUCCACUAUCGCAUACAUGUCUCUCUCGCGCUCCUUGUAUCUAUGUAGAUUUUGUUGGGGAACGUAGUAAUUUCAAAAAAAUUCUACGCACACGCAAGAUCAUGGUGAUGCAUAGCAACGAGAGGGGAGAGUGUAGUCCAUGUACCCUCGUAGACCGAAAGCGGAAGCGUUAGCACAACGCGGUUGAUGUAGUCGUACGUCUUCACGAUCCGACCGAUCCAAGUACCGAACGUACGGCACCUCCGAGUUCAGCACACGUUCAGCUCGAUGACGUCCCUCGAACUCCGAUCCAGCCGAGCUUUGAGGGAGAGUUCCGUCAGCACGACGUCGUGGUGACGAUGAUGAUGUUCUACCGACGCAGGGCUUCACCUAAGCACCGCUACGAUAUUAUCGAGGUGGAUUAUGGUGGAGGGGGGCACCGCACACGGCUAAGAGAUCAAUAGAUCAAUUGUUGUGUCUUUGGGGUGCCCCCCUGCCCCCGUAUAUAACGAAGCAAGGGGGAGGCGGCCGGCCUAGGAGGAGGGCGCGCCAAGGGGGGAGUCCUACUCCCACCGGGAGUAGGACUCCUCCUUUCCUUGUUGGAGUAGGAGAAGGGAAGGGAGAAGGAGAAGGAAGGAAGGGAGUGCCCCCCUCCCUAGUCCAAUUCGGACUAGUCCAUGGGGAGGGGUGCGGCCACCCUUUGGGGCCUUUCUCUCCUUUCCCGUAUGGCCCAUUAAGGCCCAAUACGAAUUCCCGUAACUCUCCGGUACUCCGAAACAUACCCGAAUCACUCGGAACCUUUCCGAUGUCCGAAUAUAGUCGUCCAAUAUAUCGAUCUUUACGUCUCGACCAUUUCGAGACUCCUCGUCAUGUCCCUGAUUUCAUACGGGACUCCGAACUCCUUCGGUACAUCAAAACACAUAAACUCAUAAUAUAACCGUCAUCUAAUUUUAAGCAUGCAGACCCUACGGGUUCGAGAACUAUGUAGACAUGACCGAGACACGUCUCCGGUCAAUAACUAAUAGCGGAACCUGGAUGCUCAUAUUGGCUCCCACAUAUUCUACGAAGAUCUUUAUUGGUCAAACCGCAUAACAACAUACGUUGUUCCCUUUGUCAUCGGUAUGUUACUUGCCCGAGAUUCGAUCGUCGGUAUCUCAAUACUUAGUUCAAUCUCGUUACCGGCAAGUCUCUUUACUCGUUCCGUAAUACAUCAUCCCGCAACUAACUCAUUAGUUGCAAUGCUUGCAAGGCUUUAAGUGAUGUGCAUUGCCAAGUGGGCCCAGAGAUACCUCUCCGACAAUCGGAGUGACAAAUCCUAAUCUCGAAAUAAGCCAACCCAACAAGUACCUUCGGAGACACCUGUAGAGCACCUUUAUAAUCACCCAGUUACGUUGUGACGUUUGGUAGCACACAAAGUGUUCCUCCGGUAAACGGGAGUUGCAUAAUCUCAUAGUCAUAGGAACAUGUAUAAGUCAUGAAGAAAGCAAUAGCAACAUACUAAACGAUCAUGUGCUAAGCUAACGGAAUGGGUCAAGUCAAUCACAUCAUUCCCCUAAUGAUGUGAUCCUGUUAAUCAAAUGACAACUCAUGUCUAUGGCUAGGAAACAUAACCAUCUUUGAUCAACGAGCUAGUCAAGUAGAGGCAUACUAGUGACACUCUGUUUGUCUAUGUAUUCACACAAGUAUUAACAUCAAUAAUAAACAUUUAUCAUGAAAUAAGGAAAUAAAUAAUAACUUUAUUAUUGCCUCUAGGGCAUAUUUCCUUCAGUCUCCCACUUGCACUAGAGUCAAUAAUCUAGAUCACAUCGCCAUGUGAUUUAACAUCAAUAGUUCACAUCACCAUGUGAUUAACACCCAUAGUUUACAUCGUCAUGUGACCAACACCCAAAGGGUUUACUAGAGUCAAUAAUCUAGUUCACAUCGCUAUGUGAUUAACACCCAAAGAGUACUAAUGUGUGAUCAUGUUUUGCUUGUGAGAGAAGUUUAGUCAACGGGUCUGCCAUAUUCAGAUCCGUAUGUAUUUUGCAAAUUUCUAUGUCUACAAUGCUCUGCACGGAGCUACUUUAGCUAAUUCCUGCCACUUUCAAUAUGUAUCCAGAUGAAGACUUAGAGUCAUCUGGACCAGUGCCAGAACUUGUAUCGACGUAACCCUUUUACGACGAACCUUUUGUCACCUCCAUAAUCGAGAAACAUAUCCUUAUUCCACUAAGGAUAAUUUUGAGCGCUGUCUAGUGAUCUACUCCUAGAUCACUAUUGUACUCCCUUGCCAAAAUCAGUGUAGGGUAUACAAUAGAUCUGGCACAUAGCAUGGCAUACUUUAUAGAACCUAUGGCUGAGGCAUAGGGAAUGACUUUCAUUCUCUUUCUAUCUUCUGCCGUGGUCGGGCUCUGAGUCUUACUCAAUUUCACACCUUGUAACACAGGCAAGAACUCUUUCUUUGACUGUUCCAUUUUGAACUACUUCAAAAUCUUGUCAAGGUAUGUACUCAUUGAAAAAACUUAUCAAGCGUUUUGAUCUAUCUCUAUAGAUCUUGAUGCUCAACAUGUAAGCAGCUUCACCGAGGUCUUUCUUUGAAAAACUCCUUUCAAACACUCCUUUAUGCUUUGCAGAAUAAUUCUACAUUAUUUCCAAUCAACAAUAUGUCAUUCACAUAUACUUAUCAGAAAUGAUGUAGUGCUCCCACUCACUUUCUUGUAAAUACAGGCUUCACCGCAAGUCUGUAUAAAACUAUAUCCUUUGAUCAACUUAUCAAAGCGUAUAUUCCAACUCCGAGAUGCUUGCACCAGUCCAUAGAUGGAUCGCUGGAGCUUGCAUAUUUUGUUAGCACCUUUAGGAUUGACAAAACCUUCUGGUUGCAUCAUAUACAACUCUUCUUUAAUAAAUCCAUUAUGGAAUGCAGUUUUGUUUAUCCAUUUGCCAGAUUUCAUAAAAUGCGGCAAUUGCUAACAUGAUUCGAACAGACUUAAGCAUAGAUACGAGUGAGAAACUCUCAUCGUAGUCAACACCUUGAACUUGUCGAAAACCUUUUUGCGACAAUUCUAGCUUUGUAGAUAGUAACACUACUAUCAGCGUCCGUCUUCCUCUUGAAGAUCCAUUUAAUCUCAAUGGCUCGCCGAUCAUUGGGCAAGUCAAUCAAAGUCCAUACCUUGUUCUCACACGUGGAUCUCAUCUCAGAUUUCAUGGCCUCAAGCCAUUUCGCGGAAUCUGGGCUCAUCAUCGUUUCCUCAUAGUUCGUACGUUCGUCAUGGUCAAGAAACAUGACCUCCAGAACAGGAUUACCGUACCACUCUGGUGUAGGAGUCACAGGAACAGAUUUCUGUGAUGAACUACUUUCCAAUAAGGGAGCAGGUACAGUUACCUCAUCAAGUUCUACUUUCCUCCCAAUCACUUCUUUCGAGAGAAACUCCUUCUCUAGAAAGGAUCCAUUCUUAGCAACGAAUAUCUUGCCUUCGGAUCUGCGAUAGAAGGUGUACACAACAGUAACUUUUGGGUAUCCUAUGAAGACGCACUUUUCCGAUUUGGGUUUGAGCUUAUCAGGAUGAAACUUUUUCACAUAAGCAUCGCAACCCCAAACUUUAAGAAACGACAGCCUAGGUUUCUUGCCAAACCAUAGUUCAUAUGGUGUCGUCUCAACAGAUUAGACGGUGCCCUAUUUAAUGCAGCUGUCUCUAAUGCAUAACCCCAGAACGAUAGUGGUAAAUCGGUAAGAGACAUCAUAGAUUGCACUAUAUCCAAUAAAGUACGGUUAUGACGUUCGGACACACCAUUAUGCUGUGGUGUUCCAGGUGGCAUGAGUUUGUGAAACUAUUCCACAUUGUUUUAAUUGAAGGCCAAACUCAUAACUCAAAUAUUUUACCUCUGCGAUCAUAUCGUGGAAACUUUUAUUUUUGUUACGAUGAUUCUCCACUUCACUCUGAAAUUCAUUAAACUUUUCAAAUGUUUCAGACUUGUGUUUCAUCAAGUAGAUAUACCCAUAUAUGCUCAAAUCAUCUGUGAAGGUCAAAAAAUAAUGAUACCCGCCGCGAGCCUCAACACUCAUCGGAUUGCAUACAUCACUAUGUAUUAUUUCCAAUAAGUCAGUUGCUUGCUCCAUUGUUUCGAAGAACGGAGUUUUAGUCUUCUUGCCCAUAAGGCAUGGUUCGCAAGCAUCAAGUGAUUCAUAAUCAAGUGAUUCCAAAAUUCCAUCAGCAUGGAGUUUCUUCAUGCGCUUUACACCAAUAUGACCUAAACAGCAGUGCCACAAAUAAGUUGCACUAUCAUUAUUAACUUUGCAUCUUUUGGCUUCAAUAUUAUGAAUAUGUGUAUCACUACGAUCGAGAUCCAACAAAACAUUUUCGUUGGGUGUAUGACCAUAGAAGGUUUUAUUCAUGUAAACAGAACAACAAUUAUUCUCUAACUUAAAUGAAUAACCGUAUUGCAAUAAACAUGAUCAAAUCAUAUUCAUGCUCAACGCAAACACCAAAUAACACUUAUUUAGGUUCAACACUAAUCCCGAAAGUAUAGGGAGUGUGCGAUGAUGAUCAUAUCAAUCUUGGAACUACUUCCAACACACAUCGUCACCUCGUCCUUAACUAGUUUCUGUUCAUUCUGCAACUCCCGUUUUGAGUUACUACUCUUAGCAACUGAACCAGUAUCAAAUACCGAGGGGUUGCUAUAAACACUAGUAAAGUACACAUCAAUAACGUGUAUAUCAAAUAUACCUUUGUUCACUUUGCCAGACUUCUUAUCCGCCAAAUACUUGGGGCAGUUCCGCUUCCAGUGACCAGUCCCUUUGCAGUAGAAGCACUUAGUCUCAGGAUUAGGUCUUGGACUUGGGCUUCUUCACUUGAGCAGCAACUUGCUUGUUGUUCUUCUUGAAGUUCCCCUUCUUCCCUUUGCCCUUUUCCUUGAAACUAGUGGUCUUGUCAACCAUCAACAUUUGAUGCUCUUUCUUGAUUUCUACCUUCAUCGAUUUCAUCAUCAUGAAAAGCUCGGGAAUCGUUUUCGUCAUCCCUUGCAUACUAUAGUUCAUCACGAAGUUCUACUAACUUGGUGAUGGUGACUAGAGAAUUCUGUCAAACACUAUUUUAUGUGGAAGAUUAAUCCCACUUGAUUCAAGCGAUUGUGGUACCGAGACAAUCUGAGCACAUGCUCACUGCUUGAGCUAUUCUCCUCCGUCUUUUAGCUAUAGAACUUGUUGGAGACUUCAUAUCUCUCAACUCGGGUAUUUGCUUGAAAUAUUAACUUCAACUCCUGGAACAUCUCAUAUGGUCCAUGAUGUUCAAAACGUCUUUGAAGUCCCGAUUCUAAGCCGUUAAGCAUGGUGCACUAAACUAUCAAGUAGUCAUCAUAUUGACCUAGCCAAACGUACAUAACAUCUGCAUCUUCUCCUGCAAUAGGUUUGUCACCUAGCGGUGCACCAAGGACAUAAUUCUUCUUUGCAGCAAUGAGGAUAAACCUCAGAUCACGGACCCAGUCCGCAUCAUUGCUACUAUCAUAUUUCAACUUUGUUUUCUCUAGGAACAUAUAUAAAACAUAGGGAAGCAACAACGCGAGCUAUUGAUCUACAACAUAGAUAUGCUAAUACUACCAAAAAUAAGUUCAUGAUAAAUUAAAGUUCAAUUAAUCAUAUUACUUCAGAACUCCCACUUAGAUAGACAUCCCUCUAAUCCUCUAAGUGAUCACGUGAUCCAAAUCAACUAAACCAUGUCCGAUCAUCACGUGAGAUGGAGUAGUUUCAAUGGUGAACAUCACUAUGUUGAUCAUAUCUACUAUAUGAUUCACUCUCGACCUUUCGGUCUCAGUGUUCCGAGGCCAUAUCUGUUAUAUGCUAGGCUCGUCAAGUUUAACCUGAGUAUUCCGCGUGUGCAACUGUUUUGCACCCGUUGUAUUUGAACGUAGAGCCUAUCACACCCGAUCAUCACGUGGUGUCUCAGCACGAAGAACUUUCGCAACGGUGCAUACUCAGGGAGAACACUUAGACCAUGAUAAUUUAGUGAGAGAUCAUCUUAUAAUGCUACCGUCAAUCAAACCAAGAUAAGAUGCAUAAAAGAUAAACAUCAGAUGCAAUCAAUAUAAGUGAUAUGAUAUGGCCAUCAUCAUCUUGUGCUUGUGAUCUCCAUCUUCUAAGCACCGUCAUGAUCACCAUCGUCACCGGCGUGACACCUACGCAUCAAAACCACAACGAUAGUGUGUCAAGUUGGUGCUGUUUUAACCUUCGCAAGGACCGGGCGUAGCCACACUCGGUUCAAAUAAAGUUGGAGAAACUGACACCCACUAGUCACCUGUGUGCAUAGCACGGCGGUAAAACCAGUCUCGCGUAAGCGUACGCGUAAUGUCAGUCCAGGCCGCUUCAUCCAAUAAUACCGCCGAACCAAAGUAUGACAUGCUGGUAAGCAGUAUGACUUAUAUCGCCCACAACUCACUUGUGUUCUACUCGUGCAUAUAACAUCUACGCAUAAACCCGGCGCGGAUGCCAUUGUUGGGGAACGUAGUAAUUUCAAAAAAAUUCUACGCACACGCAAGAUCAUGGUGAUGCAUAGCAACGAGAGGGGAGAGUGUAGUCCACGUACCCUCGUACACCGAAAGCGGAAGCGUUAGCACAACGGGGUUGAUGUAGUCGUACGUCUUCACGAUGCGACCGAUCCAUGUACCGAACUUACGGCACCUCCGAGUUUAGCACACAUUCAGCUCGAUGACCUCCCUCGAACUCCGAUCCAGCCGAGCUUUGAGGGAGAGUUCCAUCAGCACGACGGCGUGGUGACGAUGAUGAUGUUCUACCGAUGCAGGGCUUCACCUAAGCACCGCUACGAUAUUAUCGAGGUGGAUUAUGGUGGAGGGGGGCACCGCACACGGCUAAGAGAUCAAUAGAUCAAUUGUUGUGUCUUUGGGGUGCCCCCCUGCCCCCGUAUAUAAAGGAGCAAGGGGGGAGGCGGCCGGCCUAGGAGGAGGGCGCGCCAAGGGGGGAGUCCUACUCCCACCGGGAGUAGGACUCCUCCUUUCCUUGUUGGAGUAGGAGAAGGGAAGGGAGAAGGAGAAGGAAGGAAGGGGGCGCCCCCCCUCCCUAGUCUAAUUCGGACUAGUCCAUGGGGAGGGGUGCGGCCACCCUUUGGGGCCUUUCUCUCCUUUCCCGUAUGGCCCAUUAAGGCCCAAUACGAAUUCCCGUAACUCUCCGGUACUCCGAAAAAUACUCGAAUCACUCGGAACCUUUGCGAUGUCCGAAUAUAGUCGUCCAAUAUAUCGAUCUUUACGUCUCGACCAUUUCGAGACUCCUCGGCAUGUCCCUGAUUUCAUACGGGACUCCGAACUCCUUCGGCAGACCCUACGGGUUCGAGAACUAUGUAGACAUGACCGAGACACGUCUGCGUUCAAUAACCAAUAGCGGAACCUGGAUGCUCAUAUUGGCUCCCACAUAUUCUACGAAGAUCUUUAUCGGUCAAACCGCAUAACAACAUACGUUGUUCCCUUUGUCAUUGGUAUGUUACUUGCCCGAGAUUCGAUCGUCGGUAUCUCAAUACCUAGCUCAAUCUCGUUACCGGCAAGUCUCUUUACUCGUUCCAUAAUACAUCAUCCCGCAACUAACUCAUUAGUUGCAAUGCUUGCAAGGCUUUAAGUGAUGUGCAUUACCAAGUGGGCCCAGAGAUACCUCUCCGACAAUCGGAGUGACAAAUCCUAAUCUCGAAAUAUGCCAACCCAACAAGUACCUUCGGAGACACCUGUAGAGCACCUUUAUAGUCACCCAGUUACAUUGUGACGUUUGGUAGCACACAAAGUGUUCCUCUGGUAAACGGGAGUUGCAUAAUCUCAUAGUCAUAGGAACAUGUAUAAGUCAUGAAGAAAGCAAUAGCAACAUACUAAACGAUCGUGUGCUAAGCUAACGGAAUGGGUCAAGUCAAUCACAUCAUUCUCCUAAUGAUGUGAGCCCGUUAAUCAAAUGACAACUCAUGUCUAUGGCUAGGAAACAUAACCAUCUUUGAUCAACGAGCUAGUCAAGUAGAGGCAUACUAGUGACACUCUGUUUGUCUAUGUAUUCACACAAGUAUUAUGUUUCCGGUUAAUACAAUUCUAGUAUGAAUAAUAAACAUUUAUCAUGAAAUAAGGAAAUAAAUAAUAACUUUAUUAUUGCCUCUAGGGCAUAUUUCCUUCAGAUUUUUCUUCCCUUCUUGAGACAUGCCCUCUCGAUCAUGCACACACACACUAUCGCCUCAUUUUAAGAUGAUACCUCUCGCACACACACUCUUUGUGUCUUUGUCACACAUGCACUCCGUCCUCCUCCUCUCUCCCUCUCUCUCACACACACAUGGGCUUUUUGCAACAACUAGCAAGAUGCCAAUGCGUUGCACAGAACAUCAAGAUGCAUUUGUAUGAGUAGUUUAUCUUGUGGGAAAAAAGGAUGAACGAGGGAAGGCCUUAUUUGCAAAUGUGGAGAGGGGUGUGGGUAACUUUUUGCAAAAUUGCCAUAGUUUCCUUCCUAUCCGUGAGAUAUAAAUCAGACGGCCUAUAUUGUAGGAUGGCAGGCACACCAUCAUCACCAACUCUGUUUUUUAUCUGUACUCUUAUAAACAGCAUAGUCGGUGAUGAUGGUGUGCCUGCCAUCCUGCAAUAUAGGUCGUCCGAUCUAUAUCUAACGGAUAGGAAGGAAACUAUGGCAAUUUACCCGCACUCCUCUCCACAUUUGCAGAUAAGGCCUUCCCUCGUUCAUCCUUUUCUCCCACAAGAUCUUGAUGUUCCGUGCAACGCAAGGGCAUCUUGCUAGUAAGAGUAGAAAUUAGACAUAUACCACUUCUCGAAUCUUGAAACCAACAACAUUCCUCCCUUAUCUCAUCAAAGCCGCCAAAGGAAUAUAUUUGAGUGAAACAUAACAUAUUUUUAGUGAUAUACGUAUUUCAAAACUAGACUCUUUUUUCUAUCAAAUCGGUGAAUAUGUAUUAAUCUACUUUGAUCGUGUGGCAACGCAUUGGCACAUUGCUAGUAGUUAUUACCACUGUAUGAUUUUUUGGACACCAGACAAACGGUGGAGUACAUAUACGAAGAGAAGAGGCGCACGCACGUUGUCAGUCUCCCGCUGUCUCGCACACAUGAGAGUUACGUAAAGGCACCAUUAACAAAUAAACCCUAAAACCCUAGGUGCACGAUUGCUGCAUGCUUGAGUACCGGGUACGUGGUGGAGCGCACCUUUGUAGGAAUAGUCAGCUCGUGUGAUAAUUUGGUCUGCAGGAGUUGAUGGUCGGGACCAUAUGUGAAUGACCUGGAGGCGGUGGCUCGCCAGUUGCCACACAUCGAGUAGCCAUGUUUAAAAUAUCAUUUUUAGCAGGGUAAGAGUUCCAAUUUUCACUGGCGCGUUAUAAGUACUAAGUAGUUUUUAGAACGGUUGCUAUGGAGCGAAAAUGGAAUUCAUAACUACUACUCCCUCCGUUCCAAAUUAGUUGACUUGAAUUUGUCUAGAUACAGAUGUAUCUAUACUUGUUUAGUGUCUAGAUACAUUCGUGUCUAGAUAAAUAUGGGUCAAGUAAUUUGGAACGGAGGGAGUACCUCCUUGGCGUAUGGUGGUAUGGGUUUAUGUUGCGAGAUGUUGAACCUGGUAGUUUUAGGGAAAAUACUAUGGUUUAGAUGUUGGUUUUCAGUAAUGAAAAUCAGAAGGGGGAAACCCUUCCUUGAUAAAAAGAACUACUACCUCCGUUCUGGUUUACUAGUCCCCAUCGUAUUUUGGGUCAAAGUUUGUCCACGAAUUUUACUUGUAAAAUGUGAAUGGAAAACGAGAUUUUGUUAUACCCAAACAAAAAAGGACUGGAGCGAGUGAUUGCUCUGACACGGACACGACCUCUCAUAGCGCAGGCAUUGAACCGGCGCGCCGGCCAAGAGGGCCCUACUCACUGCAGGCCCGGCUGAACACGCCUCCUCGCCGCAUGCAACCGGCUUCAGACUGCCCCACCUGCCUCCAUUGAAUACGCGCGUGUGCCGGCAACACGUCCUUCCGCGAGCCGGCCGGCAUUUUAGAACACAAAAUGACCAAAAUAUAAUUAAUUACGCAUGGUCUUGAGUUGUUGUGCUUGCACUGGUAGAAGGAACUAGAGGUUUUUCUUUAUUUAUAACUCUCCUCACAUUUUUUGGCUUUGAAGUGAAUCAUGGUUAUGGUCAUUAUCUAUAAAUGUGCAGUUAUGUGUGAACAUGAGUUUGAUGUGGAAGUUGAACUUGGAAUGUCGGGCUUGCGCGCGAACUAUACCAUGUCCAAUGCUUCGUCUGUUAUUGUUUGGAAAGUAAUUGCUGUUAUUACAUGACCCGAAAAAAAUUAUUUUGUGCCACAUCAGUAGAUGCACGGACAUCACAACAGGCAUGCUGACUGGAUAAACAUUUGAACCUAGCUAUUAUGAAGGAAAUUUUGUAUUGACAACAGUUUUAGAUAGCAGGAGACGCCUAGCCUGCUCUGCCUCUGCUAGCUUAUUUCUGGCUUUCCAUCUCUUCUUUGGCUUGGGUGAAGAGAGCAUCUUAUUGCUCUUUUCGCUUCUUUAGGAACUCAGCUACAUUCUCAAGGGCUGCUGCAUGCUUUCUUUCGGCCUUUACUAGAGCCACAAGGACACGAACAGCUGACGACUCCACCUGGCUUGUGUGUAAUCCAGCAUCAUCUGGGAAUUUGCACCUUGUGUCUAAUCCAGCAUCAUUAGGGAACUUGCACCUUGUGUGUAAUCCAGCCUCAUUUUGGAAACAUGAUGUCGAGGUUGACCAUACUUCCCUCCUCGCAGGAACUGCAUCCUGACAUGAAGUUACUUCUUUUUUAGAUCAAUACUCAGAGCAACCCAGAUCCAUUUAGUAGAAGCCAGAUAAACAGGACUCGGAGAAGUGAAUUCAAAAGGAAAAAUAUAAAAACAACUACAAGGUGAGAACACCCACUUCCUACAUCAAGCUAAAAACGAAAGCAUUAGGAUGAUUAAGACUCUUCUUAUUACACAUCGAAGAACACGAGGCUAAGAGAAACAGAAACUACAACAUAUACACAUUGAAGAACACGAGGCUAAACGGAAGUAAUUGAAAGGGUGUUACUUACCAAAGCUCGUUUUACAGGUUCGGUAUCCCCAAUAUCCCGUGUUUGGUCUUCAUUGCUCCUCUGCAUGUUCGCACUCGUGGUUUUAAAAUCUCAACAUGGCAUGAAAAAUAUACUACUACUAAUACUCACGCAUCUUGUGGGCAACAUUAAAGCACUCGUCUGCCAUGUUAGAGCAUCUCCAACAGAAGCGCAACGCGCGGCGCUUUAAAAAAGCGUUUACAGUGCUGAGAUCUAGAAGUAGAGAUAGAGAGUAGAGGAUAGUUCUCAGCAUAGAUAUAGCGUAGAUAAAUAAAAAAAUAGAUAGUUCAACUACUCCUCGUCGUCCGGCUCCUCCUCGGUGAUGUCCUUCUCCAACGUCUCAAUGUAGGCAUGAAGAUACUAAUCGUCGUCGGAUUCCCAGGGCGACGCUGCUCCUAGCCUCAUGUUGAAUUGAGCGUCCGCUUUUCGCGUACGCUUGUCCUCGCGAUAGGCGGCUCGCUCCGCCCUCCUCUUCUCCCUCUUCGCCCUCCUUUGCGCGUAGAACUCACGCUCAUUGAUGAUGUCCUGCGGGAAGCGUUGGUGCCACAGCGCCAUGGCUUCCUCGUCCAUCUCGGUGAUGCCGAGAUGGUGCUCCCGCCUCUGGCUGUCACGACGAUCCUCGUCGGUGAUAAGCCGCGGCAGAGACGCGAGGUCCUGCGCCUGCUCCCGCAUCGGCACGUUGGGGAAGUUCAAUGUUCUAUGAGUCCACCGGAGGUGCCACACCGCCGCAUCGUACGCACGGGCGGCCUCGUUGGCGGUGUCGAAAUUCCGAGGCCGAGGCGCAUCCGGCGGAUAGGAAGGAAACUAUGGCAAUUUUCCAGAAAGAUACCCACACCCCUCUCCAGAUUUGCAAAUAAGGCCUUCGCUCGUUCAUCCUUUUCUCCCACAAGAUAAACUACUUAUACAAAUGCAUCUUGAUGCAUGCAACGCAUGGGCAUCUUGCUAGUUCUAAAAAAACUUUCCAUCAUUUGCCACACUACUGGUGGCGGAUGAAGAACCUACCCAAGCAUAGCGCGAUAUAGGAGCGAGGCACAAUUACAAGGUGAUAUUCUGUUGGACAAUUGAGGCUAUAACAAAUUACUUUUACGGGAACAAUAGCAACCAGGAAAUUUGAAGGGUAGGUAUGAACAAAAUUGGAACUGCACAUGUACUGCUAAGUGAUUCAAUACACACAUUACCAAUCGAGGAGGAGAACGAUGGUCGUGGCGGCCUCUGUGCAUCAUGGUCGGCAACGGGAGUCAGUUCAUUGUCCACGAUGGUGGUGCUUCUGCGCUUGGCGUCGACUUCCAAGAAGCAGAUCCGAGACCGUGGAAGACGGUGCCUGGGAAGAGGCUCCGUGUACGACGACGACGGUGGACCGGCUCCAGUGCGGUGCAUGAGGUCGUCGAUGAGGCAGAUGCGCUGCGGUGGACGAGUGCACCGAUGUAGAAGGGGAGGAGCACGAAGGCUGCAUUGCCAUGGAGAAGUCUAUUUUGCGGUGGGGAUAGAAAAUGGGGAGUAUUCAGGUGUACUACUCUGGGUGCCAGGGUGGGGUUGGCUAGGUAGGAUGAACCUGAAGUUAUGAAAACAGCCCCCUACCAAGCAUCAUCCGUACGCCUGUUCCGAAGGCUAUGAUGGUAACUUUGCACUGCUCGAAUCAUGGUCGCGGGAGAUUUUCCCGCCGACCUCAAAAUUUUGUGACACUGAACUCCCGGUGUGGCGUGCUGGGUGAUUGGGCUAAGCAACUCGCGAGUAGUACUAGUAACUACUAGUACUCCCUCCGUUUUUAUUAACUCUGCAUAUUAGGUUUGACCAAAGUCAAACUUCCUAAAGUUUGACCAAGUUUAUAGAAAAAUAUAAACAUUUACCAUAACAAAUAUGUAUGAUGUCAAAGUACAUUCAAUAAUGAAUCUAAUGUUAUUUAUUUGUUAUUGUAUAUGUUAAUAUUUUUUGUUAUAAACUUUCUGAGAGUUUACAAAACUUGACUUUGACCAAUGCUAAUAUGCGGACUUCAAUAAAAAUGGAGGGAGUAAACAUUUGUUUUCUUAGUUUGUAGUGAAUUAAUCAUUUGUUGUAAUUGUGAAAUAAAUAUAUUAGGCUACUGACUUCGAAUGUAAUGGUCUAUAAAAUUCAAUAGUUACAAUCAUUGUUGAAUUCCAAGAUGUAUACGAGGUCUAUAGUACUUCACAAUAUGCUCAAACUCACAUAAUCCUAGUCAAAUGAGAAUCUAAAUGCAUUUCAUAGUUAUUACUUUGUAGGAUGCAACAAAACCAACCAUAACUCUACAUCAUCCAUUAUAAAAGCAACAUUUUGAACACAUCCCAAUGUGUGAAUGAAACGUGUAGAGAGAGCUUGCGAAGAUGGAGCAGAUAGGGCGGGAAAGAUUGUAUGUACGUAUGUGGACGAGAGAGUAGGAGACAAACCUAACGAGACAGAGAGAGAGAUGGAGAGAGAAAGAGAGAGGAAGAAGUUAGGUCUGUGAGAAAGAUGGAGACAUGUAAUAUACGUGAGAUGCGUGUGCAUCCGGAUUCUGUACACGUGGAAGGAGAAGAGACAACAGGUUUGAUGAGAGAGCUGGAAAAACAUGGACGAGAGGGGAAGGAUCUCGUGGGUUGAGGGAUUGAUAAUUUUGUGCGGGGGAGAGAGGGAUUGGUAACUUUGUGCGGGAGAGAGAGGGGGGAGGAGUCAGUCAGCCGUCGUCAUACAUCCUGCUUCCAAAUGGCCCCGCAUUCUCUAGUGUAGUGUGGUCGUCGUCUUCGAUCUCCUCGACGCCCUCUUUGAAGAUUGAGGUGUUGUGCAUGCUGGGCUGCAGAGAGGCACAAGCGAGAGUGGUCGCCAUAUAACCUUGGAUGGGGAUGAAUUGUGUGCUCAAGGGAGGGGGUGUGUGUGCGGUGUGUGUGUGUGUGUGUCAGAUAUUGAGAGAAAUCAAACCUAUGGAGAGAAAUGUGUGUGUAUGUGACGGAAAGCUACAUGCUAAAUAGGGUUUUCACGAAGAGAUUGUGCGUGCGAGAUAGAGAGCGAUGUGCAGGCCUUGAGGUGGGCAGGGGCCAGCUGAGGCUGUCAAAAUGUGCAUGUGUUACAUGCGAUCGUGCGAGGGACGGACGAAUCGAGAGAGAUGGUUGUUGUGUUACGGAUGCUCCUCUCUCUCUGUCUCACACACACACAAGUAAAAUAGAAGACCGUUCUCUCAUGUAUAUGAAGUAAAUAUGCCCUAGAGGCAAUAAUAAAGUUAUUAUUUAUUUCCUUAUUUCAUGAUAAAUGUUUAUUAUUCAUGCUAGAAUUGUAUUAACCAGAAACAUAAUACAUGUGUGAAUACGUAGACAAAUAGAGUGUCACUAGUAUACCUCUACUUGACUAGCUCGUUAAUUAAAGAUGGUUAUGUUUCCUAACCAUAGACAUGAGUUGUCAUUUGAUUAACGGGAUCACAUCAUUAGGAGAAUGAUGUGAUUGAUUUGACCCAUUCCGUUAGCUUAGCACUUGAUCGUUUAGUAUUCUGCUAUUGCUUUCUUCAUGACUUAUACAUGUUCCUAUGACUAUGAGAUUAUGCAACUCCUGUUUAUCGGAGGAACACUUUGUGUGCUACCAAAUGUCACAACGUAACUGGGUGAUUAUAAAGGUGAUCUACAGGUGUCUCCGAAGGUACUUGUUGGGUUGGCGUAUUUCGAGAUUAGGAUUUGUCACUCCGAUUGUCGGAGAGGUAUCUCUGGGCCCACUCGGUAAUGCACAUCACUGUAAGCCUUGCAAGCAUUGUAACUAAUGAGUUAGUUGCGGGAUGAUGUAUUACGGAACGAGUAAAGAGACUUGCCGGUAACGAGAUUGAACUAGGUAUUGAGAUACCGACGAUCGAAUCUCGGGCAAGUAACAUACCAAUGACAAAGAGAACAACGUAUGUUGUUAUGCGGUUUGACCGAUAAAGAUCUUCAUAGAAUAUGUGGGAGCCAAUAUGAGCAUCCAGGUUCUGCUAUUGGUUAUUGACCGGAGAAGUGUCUCGGUCAUGUCUACAUAGUUCUCGAACCCGUAGGGUCCGCACGCUUAAACUUCGGUGACGAUUUGUAUUAUGAGUUAUGUAAUUUGAUGUACCGAAGUUAGCUCGGAGUCCCGUAUGAGAUCGGCGACAUGACGAUGGGUCUCAAAAUGGUCGAGAGGUAAAGAUGGAUAUAUUGGACGACUAUAUUCGGACAUCGGAAAGGUUCCGAGUGAUUCGGUUAUUUUCGGAGUACCCGGGAGUUACGGGAAUUCACCGGAAGAAGUAUUGGGCCUUAUUGGGCCAUACGGGAGUAGAGGAGAGAGGCCAAAAGGAAGGAGGCGCGCCCCCCCCCCUCUGGUCCGAAUUGGACAAGGGGUGCAGCCCCCUUUUCCUUCUCCCUCUCCCCCUAUUUCCUUCUCUCCUACUCCGGAAAGGAAAGGGGAAUCCUACUAGGACUUGGGAGUCCUAGUAGGACUCCCCACACUUGGCAUGCCCCCUCUAGGGCCGGCCUCUCCCUCCCUCCUUUAUAUACGGGGGCAGGGGGGCACCUCUGGACACAACAAUUGAUCUCUUGAUCUCUUAGCCAUGUGCGGUGCCCCCCUCCACAAUAAUCCACCUCGAUCAUAUCGUAGCGGUGCUUAGGCGAAGCCCUGCGUCGGUAGAAACAUCAUCACCGUCAUCACGCCGUCGUGCUGAUGGAACUCUCCCGUGAAGCUCUGCUGGAUCGGAGUUUGCGGGACGUCAUUGAGCUGAACGUGUGCUGAACUCGUAGGUGUCGUACGUUCGGUACUUGGAUCGGUCGGAUCGUGAAGACGUACGACUACAUCAACCACGUUGUGCUAACGCUUCCGAUUUCGGUCUACGAGGGUACGUGGACACACUCUCCCCUCUCGUUGCUAUGCAUCACCAUGAUCCUGUGUGUGCGUAGGAUUUUUUUUUUGAAAUUACUACGUUCCCCAACAGUGGCAUCCAAGCCAGGUUUUAUGCCUAAAUGUUAUAUGCACGAGUAGAACACAAGUGAGUUGUGGGCAACACAAGUCAUUUUGCUUACCAGCAUGUCAUACUUUGGUUCGGCGGUAUUGUUGGAUGAAGCCGCCCGGACCAACAUUACGCGUACGCUUACGCGAGACUGAUUGUACCGACGUGCUUUGCACAAAGGUUGCUGGCGGGUGUCAGUUUCUCCAACUUUAGUUGAACCGAGUGUGGCUACGCCCAGUCCUUGAGAAGGUUAAAACAGCACUAACUUGACGAACUAUCGUUGUGGUUUUGAUGCGUAGGUAAGAACGGUUCUUUCUCAGCCCGUAGCAGCCACGUAAAACUUGCAACAACAAAGUAGAGGACGUCUAACUUGUUUUUGCAGGGCAUGUUGUGAUGUGAUAUGGUCAAGGCAUGAUGCUAUAUUUUAUUGUAUGAGAUGAUCAUGUUUUGUAACCGAGUUAUCGGCAACUGGCAGGAGCCAUAUGGUUGUCGCUUUAUUGUAUGCAAUGCAAUCGUCCUGUAAUUGCUUUACUUUAUCACUAAGUGGUAGCGAUAUUCGUAGAAGCAAUAGUUGGCGAGACGACAACGAUGCUACGAUGGAGAUCAAGGUGUCGCGUCGGUGACGAUGGUAAUCAUGACACUGCUUCGGAGAUGGAGAUCACAAGCACAAGAUGAUGAUGGCCAUAUCAUAUCACUUAUAUUGAUUGCAGAUGAUCUCUCACUAAAAUUUCAAGAUAAAAGUGUCCUCCGUGAGUAUGCACCGUUGCCAAAGUUCGUCGUGCCGGGACACCACGUGAUGAUCGGGUGUGAUAAGCUCUACGCUCAUCUACAACGGGUGUAAGCCAGUUUUUGUACACGCAUAAUACUCGGGUUAAACUUGACGAGCCUAGCAUAUGCAGAUAUGGCCGCGGAACACCGAGACCGAAAGGUCGAGCAUGAAUCAUAUAGUAGAUAUGAUCAACAUAGUGAUGUUCACCAUUGAAAACUACUCCAUUUCACGUGAUGAUCGGACAUGGUUUAGUUGAUUUGGAUCACGUGAUCACUUAGAUGAUUAGAGAGAUGUCUAUCUGAGUGGGAGUUCUUAAGUAAUAUGAUUAAUUGAACUUUAAUUUAUCAUGAACUUAGUCCUGGUAGUAUUAGCAUAUCUAUGUUGUAGAUCAACAACUCGCGUUUAGCUCCCCUGUUUUAUUUUGAUAUGUUCCUAGAGAAAACUAAGUUGAAAGAUGUUAGUAGCAAUGAUGCGGAUUGGAUCCGUGAUCUGAGGUUUAUCCUCAUUGCUGCACAGAAGGAUUAUGUCCUUGAUGCACCGCUAGGUGACAGACCUAUUGCAGGAGCAGAUGCAGACGUUAUGAACGUUUGGGUAGAUCAAUAUGAUGACUACUUGAUAGUUUAGUGCACCAUGCUUAACGGCUUAGAGUCGGGACUUCAGAGACGUUUUGAACGUCAUGGACCAUAUAAGAUGUUCCAGGAGUUGAAGUUAAUAUUUCAAGCAAAUACCCGAGUUGAGAGAUAUGAAGUCUCCAACAAGUUCUAUAGCUAAAAGAUGGAGGAGAAUAGCUCAAGCAGUGAGCAUGUGGUCAGAUUGUCUGGGUACUACAAUCGCUUCAAUCAAGUGGGAGUUAAUCUUCCAGAUAAGAUAGUGAUUGAGAGAAUUCUCUAGUCACCAUCACCAAGUUACUAGAACUUCGUGAUGAACUAUAAAUAUACAAGGGAUAAUGGAAACAAUUCCCAAAGCUCUUUGUGAUGCUGAAAUCGAUGAAAGGUACAAAUCAAGAAAAGCAUCAAGUGUUGAUGGUUGACAAGACCACUAGUUUCAAGAAAAAAGGGCAAAGGGAAGAAAGGGAACUUCAAUAAGAACGACAAGCAAGUUGCUGCUCAAGUGAAGAAACCCAAGUCUGGACCUAAGCCUAAGACUAAGUGCUUCUACUGCAAAGGGACCGGUCACUGGAAGCGGAACUGCCCAAAGUAUUUGGCGGAUAAAAGGGUGGCAAAGUGAACAAAGGUAUAUUUGAUAUACAGAUUAUUAAUGCGUAUUUUACUAGUGUUCAUAGCAACCCCUCGGUAUUUGAUACUGGUUUAGUUGCUAAGAGUAGUAACUCAAAACGGGAGUUGCAGAAUAAACAUAGACUAGUUAAAGGUGAAGUGACGAUGUGUGUUGGAAAUGGUUCCAAGAUUGAUAUGAUCAUCAUCGCACACUCCCUAUACUUUCGGGAUUAGUGUUGAAACUAAAUAAGUGUUAUUUGGUGUUUGCAUUGAGCACGAAUAUGAUUUGAUCAUGUUUAUUGCAAUACGGUUAUUCAUUUAAGUUAGAGAAUAAUUGUUGUUCUAUUUACAUGAAUAAAACCUUCUAUGGUCAUACACCCAAUGGUUUGUUGGAUCUCGAUCGUAGUGAUACACAUAUUCAUAAUAUUGAAGCCAAAAGAUGCAAAGUUAAUAAUGAUAGUGCAACUUAUUUGUGGCCCUGCCGUUUAGGUCAUAUGGGUGUAAAGCGCAUGAAGAAAAUCCAUGCUGAUGGGCUUUUGGAAUCACUUGAUUAUGAAUCAGUUGAUGCUUGCAAACCAUGCUUCAUGGGCAAGAUGAUUAAGAUUCCGUUCUCCGGAACAAUGGAGCAAGCAAUUGACUUACUGGAAAUAAUACAUACUAAUGUAUGUGGUCUAAUGAGUGUUGAAGCUCCCGGCAAGUAUCGUUAUUUUCUGACCUUCACAGAUGAUUUGAGCAGAUAUAGGUAUAUCUACUUAAUGAAACACAAAUCUGAAACAUUUGAAACGUUCAAAGAAUUUCAGAGUGAAGUGAAGAAUCUUCAUAACAAGAAAAUUAAGUUUCUAUGAUCUGAUCGCAGAGGCGAAUAUUUGAGUUACGAUUUUGGUCUUCAAUUAAAACAAUGUGGAAUAGUUUCACAAACUCAUGCCACCUGGAACACCACAGCAUAAUGGUGUGUCCGAACGUCAUAACCAUACUUUAUUGGAUAUAGUGCAAUCUAUGAUGUCUCCUACCGAUUUACCACUAUCGUUUUGGGGUUAUGCAUUAGAGACAACUGCAUUCAUGUUAAAUAGGGCACCGUCAAAAUCCGUUGAGACGACACAGUAUGAACAAUGGUUUAGCAAGAAACCUAAGCUGUCGUUUCUUUAAAGUUUGGGGUUGCGAUGCUUAUGUGAAAAAGUUUCAUCCUGAUAAGCUCAAACCCAAAUCGGAAAAGUGCGUCUUCAUAGGAUACCCAAAAGUUACUAUUGGGUACACCUUCUAUCGCAGAUCCGAAGGCAAGAUAUUCGUUGCUAAGAAUGGAUCCUUUCUAGAGAAGGAGUUUCUCUCGAAAGAAGUGAGUGGGAGGAAAGUAGAACUUGAUGAGGUAACUGUACCUAAUCCCUUAUUGGAAAGUAGUUCAUCACAUAAAUCUGUUCCUGUGAUUCCUACAACAAUUAGUGAGGAAGCUAAUGAUGAUGAUCAUGUAACUUCAGAUCAAGUUACUACCGAACCUCGUAGGUAAACCAGAGUGAGAUCCACACCAGAGUGGUACGGUAAUCCUGUUCUGGAGGUCAUGUUUCUUGACCAUGACGAACGUACGAACUCUGAGGAAGAGAUGAUGAGCCCAGAUUCCGCGAAAUGGCUUGAGGCCAUGAAAUCAGAGAUGGGAUCCAUGUAUGAGAACAAAGUGUGGACUUUGGUUGACUUGCCCGAUGAUCGGCAAGCCAUUGAGAAUAGAUGGAUCUUCAAGAGGAAGACGGACGCUGAUAGUAGUGUUACUAUCUACAAAGCUGGAAUUGUCGCAAAAAGGUUUUCGACAAGUUCAAGGUGUUGACUACGAUGAGAUUUCCUCACUCGUAGCGAUGCUUAAGUCUGUCCGAAUCAUGUUAGCAAAUUGCCGCAUUUUAUGAAAUCUGGCAAAUGGAUAAACAAAAUUGCAUUCCUUAGUGGAUUUAUUAAAGAAGAGUUGUAUAUGAUACAACCAGAAGGUUUUUUCAAUCCUAAAGGUGCUACCAAAAUAUGCAAGCUCCAGCGAUCCAUCUAUGGACUGGUGCAAGCAUCUCGGAGUUGGAAUAUACGCUUUGAUAAGUUGAUCAAAGGAUAUAGUUUUAAUACAGACUUGCGGUGAAGCCUGUAUUUACAAGAAAGUGAGUGGGAUCACUACAACAUUUCUGAUAAGUAUAUGUGAAUGACAUAUUGUUGAUCGGAAAUAAUGUAGAAUUAUUCUGCAAAGCAUAAAGGAGUGUUUGAAAGGAGUUUUUCAAAGAAAGACCUCGGUGAAGCUGCUUACAUAUUGAGCAUCAAGAUCUAUAGAGAUAAAUCAAGACGCUUGACAAGUUUUUUCAAUGAGUACAUACCUUGACAAGAUUUUGUAGUUUAAAAUGGAACAGUCAAAGAAAGAGUUCUUGCCUGUGUUACAAGGUGUGAAAUUGAGUGAGACUCAAAGCCCGGCCACGGCAGAAGAUAGAAAGAGAGUGAAAGUCAUUCCCUAUGCCUCAGCCAUAGGCUCUAUAAAGUAUGCCAUGCUGUGUACCAGAUCUAUUGUAUACCCUACACUAAUUUUGGCAAGGGAGUACAAUAGUGAUCUAGGAGUAGAUCACUGAACAGCGGUCAAAAUUAUCCUUAGUGGAAUAAGGAUAUGUUUCUCGAUUAUGGAGGUGACAAAAGGUUCGUCGUAAAGGGUUACGUCGAUACAAGUUUUGGCACCGAUGCAGAUGACUCUAAGUCUUAAUCUGAAUACAUAUUGAAAGUGGGAGUAAUUAGCUAAAGUAGCUCCGUACAGAGCAUUGUAGACAUAGAAAUUUGCAAUAUACAUACGGAUCUGAAUUUGGCAGACCCAUUGACUAAACUUAUCUCACAAGCAAAACAUGAUCACACCUUAGUACUCUUUGGGUGUUAAAUCACAUAAACGAUGUGAACUAGAUUACUAACUCUAGUAAACCCUUUGAGUGUUGGUCACAUAGCGAUGUGGACUAUGGGUGUUAAUCACAUGGUGAUGUGAACUAUUGUUGUUAAAUCACAUGGCGAUGUGAGCUAGAUUAUUGACUCUAGUGCAAGUGGGAGACUGAAGGAAAUAUGCCCUAGAGGCAAUAAUAAAGUUAUUAUUUAUUUCCUUAUUCCAUGAUAAAUAUUUAUUAUUCAUGCUAGAGUUGUAUUAACCGGAAACAUAAUACAUGUGUGAAUAUAUAGACAAACAGAGUGUCACUAGUAUGCCUCUACUUGACUAGCUCGUUAAUUAAAGAUGGUUAUGUUUCCUAACCAUAGACAUGAGUUGUCAUUUGAUUAACGGGAUCACAUCAUUAGGAGAAUGAUGUGAUUGACUUGACCCAUUCCGUUAGCUUAGCACUUGAUCGUUUAGUAUUCUGCUAUUGCUUUCUUCGUGACUUAUACAUGUUCCUAUGACUAUGAGAUUAUGCAAGUCCCGUUUACAGGAGGAACACUUUCUGUGCUACCAAACGUCACAACGUAACUGGGUGAUUAUAAAGGUUCUCUACAGGUGUCUCCGAAGGUACUUGUUGGGUUGGCGUAUUUCGAGAUUAGGAUUUGUCACUCCGAUUGUCGCAGAGGUAUCUCUGGGCCCACUCGGUAAUGCACAUCACUGUAAGCCUUGCAAGCAUUGUAACUAAUGAGUUAGUUGCGGGAUGAUGUAUUACGGAACGAGUAAAGUGACUUGCCGGUAACGAGAUUGAACUAGAUAUUGAGAUACCGACGAUCGAAUCUCGGGCAAGUAACAUACCGAUGACAAGGGGAACAACGUAUGUUGUUAUGCGGUUUGAUCGAUAAAGAUCUUCGUAGAAUAUGUGGGAGCCAAUAUGAGCAUCCAGGUUCCGCUAUUGGUUAUUGACCGGAGAAGUGUCUCGGUCAUGUCUACAUAGUUCUCGAACCCUUAGGGUCCACACGCUUCAAGUUCGGUGACGAUAUGUAUUAUGAGUUAUGUAAUUUGAUGUACCAAAUCUAGUUCGGAGUCCUGGAUGAGAUUGGGGACAUGACGAGGAGUUUCAAAAUGGUCGAGACGUAAAGAGCGAUAUAUUCGACGACUAUAUUCGGACAUCGGAAAGGUUCCGAGUGAUUCAGGUAUUGUCGGAGUACCCGGGAGUUACGGGAAUUCACCGGGAGAAGUAUUGGGCCUUAUUGGGCCAUACGGGAAUAGAGGAGAGAGGCCAAAAGGAAGGAGGCGCACGCCCCCCCUCUGGUCCGAAUUGGACAAGGGGUGCAGCCCCCUUUUCCAUCUCCCCCUCCCCCUCUUUCCUUCUCUCCUACUCCGGAAAGGAAAGGGGAAUCCUACUAGGACUUGGGAGUCCUAGUAGGACUCCCCACACUUGGCGCGCCCCCUCUAGGGCCGGCCUCUCCCUCCCUCCUUUAUAUACGGCGGCAGGGGGCACCUUUAGACACAACAAUUGAUCUCUUGAUCUCUUAGCCGUGUGCGGUGCCCCCCUCCACCAUAAUCCACCUCGAUCAUAUCGUAGCGGUGCUUAGGCGAAGCCCUGCGUCGGUAGCAACAUCAUCACCGCCAUCACGCCGUCGUGCUGACGGAACUCUCCCGUGAAGCUCUGCUGGAUCGGAGUUAGCGGGACGUCAUCGAGCUGAACAUGUGCUGAACUCGGAGGUGCCGUACGUAUGGUACUUGGAUCGGUCGGAUCGUGAAGACGUACGACUACAUCAACCGCGUUGUGCUAACGCUUCCGCUUUCGGUCUACGAGGGUACGUGGACACACUCUCCCCUCUCGUUGCUAUGCAUCACCAUGAUCAUGUGUGUGCGUAGGAUUUUUUUUUGAAAUUACUACGUUCCCCAACAGUAUACACAACGUAUCGGCAUCUGUCUAUGUCUCACUCAUGCAUGAUCAUUUGCACAUUCACACCUCUCUACGUCUCUAUCACACGCACACUGUCUCCACAUUGCCCUUCCGCCACAACGCACAUAUGGACACAUACACACGUUCUCUCUCAGUCACACACACAAAAUGAGUAUUAAGAAAACUAGGGCACACCUAAAACGUCCAAAUCCAAAUAAACAUGAACUGGAGCUAAAUUCAAAUAUAUGGAAAUAUUGUAGUGUCAAGAACUUUUCCAGGAAAAAAAGUGGAGUAAUAUUUGGGGAUUGUUUUCACACACACAAAAAGGUUCAGUGUAUGUCCUUCAAGCGCGACACGAUCGACCGCGCGGCCGCGGUUCACGCGCUUGCACAAGAUUCCGUAUCGUGGCUGUGGUAACUAAUAUAAGCGCUGCCUCAGUCUAAUGUUUAUGUGUAUUAGUAUAGUUUUCGUUUAAGUUUGACCAAUCCUAUAUAAAACUAAACUAAGCUCCCAUACGCGCACUCAUCAAUAUGCCGCCGCCGCUGUUGCGCAUGCCGGCGCCUGCCUGCUCCAGCCAAUAAUUUCUCGCCCAUCACCCCCGUGUCGCCGCCAUCCCUGUGCCAUGAAGCCGAAGGCUCGCCUGCUCAUGUCGUCUGCAGUCCCUCCUCGCGAUGCUGCCGCGCUGCCAAGCACGCGAGCAGCUGGUGGAGCCGCGUCUAUGCAUGGAGCAUACGAAGAGGAGGAUGAGCGUGUGCUCCAGCACGCCGGCGAGGAGGAACUAGCGUGUCAUUGUCAUCUCCGCCCGUCCGGAGGAGGCGCGCAUGGUGGCUGUCACGGCGGAAGCCGGUCGCGCCCGCGCCAAGCCCGCAAACCGGGUGCGGAUGCGGAAUCUACCUUCGAGACCUUGAAUGCCACGUGGAUCCUGCAGUCUGAAGGAGCAAUUUGGGUCAGUCGACUCUUGUGAGACGUUGUAUGCAACAUGGAUGGCUAGAAGGGCUUCGUCAACCUCCGAAACUGAUGCACUGUUCAUAUUCUCAGCCCGCCACACGCCUAACCGCCUGCCGCCGCCGCCCCGCCCUCCCCUGAACCGCCUGCCGCCGCCAUGCUCCCCCCACCCCUGCCAUCCGUUUAACCCUGGGCACGAUCCAAUUUUUUCGGCGAACUGCAUUCCACACCCAACACUCAUAAGAUAGAUCAUGGGCACCCUGCCACCCUAAUAUAGAUGCUGGGGUAGCUUCUCUGUCGUCUUCUUCCUUCGCUCCGUCGAACUUCUUUCACAAAUCGACUUACCCAAAUUAUACUACUAGUGCGAACGUAUUAAGUAUAGUAGGAACACGAAGAUACGAGCAGUAGUACCAACUGCAAGAAGAACAGUAGUAAGACAUAGUACUAGUACUACUGUACUUACUAAAGAGUUCAAAUAACGAGAAAGAACAUAAAGUUCAAAUAAUGAGAAAGAACAUAAACAUAGUUCUGUUGGGGGCUCAGCACAACACACCCCUGAAAUAAAACUAAGCAACUAGUCCGCUUGACACUUUAGUAGAACCAGCAUGAGCGACGGCACUGCCACCUUACUCGGAGUCCGAGUCCACGUCCUCGACUUCGUCCUCGUCCCUCUUCCUCUUCCUCUUCGUCGACGCGUCUUUGCUUGAACCGAACACCGGGCUCUGCUUCUUCAUCCAACCCUUGUAGAUAUUUAAACAAAGGUAGGCAUCCACUACUGCGUACAGGAUGUGAUCUUCAUCUAAUGUCUUUGACCCCCAUGCAUGAUGAAACUCGUGGUGAGGUUUCCUCAGUUUAGCGUACGAAGGAUCAAUCAUGGCUGCUGCCAGGGCCAGCAUUGAAGGCUGAGAGGAGGACACCAGGCUUGCCUUCCAGAGAUCGAAGGGCUGGCCUACAACAAGGCUUAUCCGACCCAGGACAUCCCUGUCGUUCCUAAAGUCUACAAUAACGAAUUUCACCCUUUCGUCCUUGAGGAAGUUCUUAAAAUCUUGGCACUCAACGUCGGCAUGGCAUAUGUGGUAGACCAAGCACACGUUAUGUACGCAAACCUGGACCACGUCGGGUUUCUUCUUCUCUGCCUCCUUUAGAAUCUUCUCUCUUUCUAGGACUGUGGUGUACUCAACAUCUAGCCCAGCGACCCACUCAUCCUUUGAACUGUUCAACAUGCGUAGGAAGCGAGCAAGGCAUGCUUUCACCGUCGCGGAUCUACGUGUGUAGAUGACGAUGAAAUCAUCACCGGUGAUGGCUCUAACCUGGUACUCAGCGGCGACCAUGGAGAUUUGGGAGGCCAUGGAUUUUGGAGGAGGGUUAGGAGAAGUUGAACUGGUGUAAUGUGAAAGGACGGGACGACUGGGAGCGAACUGUUGUAAGGUGGUAGAAGACGGGGACGAGUAGGGCGUGUGAACGACGUGGGGUUGUUGGCUUGCCCGGUGGAUAAACGGCUGCAAGCCCCCAAAGAGUUCUCGAGUACUAUGCGGGACCCACUAGAUGUCAUGUCUACUAGACCCAUAUCGUAGACCUGACGGUAUAGCUUCUGCCUAUUCGCACGCCAUGCCGGUGCGUGGAUGUAACUUCACUUAACUCCGUCGACCGUCGCGCCUCCCACGACCUUCGCCUCCCUCGCGCGGUCGCGCCCUUUGAGACUUCGACCGGCUAUAAAUGAGCAAUUUUUUUUGCCUGCUCCGCAUGCAUGAUACUCCCUCUGGUCCUUUUUACUUCCGUCAACCGUUUGCAAAGUGUUUGACUUACAAUACUGAUUAUAAUUAGUAUAAGAACUACAUUUUAUAAUGAGUAUAAAAAUAUUGAUUUGACAUUGUGAAUGUUGAUACAUUUUUCUAUAAGUUUGGUCAAAGUAUAGGUACAUUGACUUCAGACAAAACUUCAAUGCACAAUGCAGACUAGUUCCUCCGUCCAGGUGCGUGCCAUGUCCUAUCUAGUCAUCACAACAAGGUUAGCUAUUAGAGUACUACUACCUCCCUUCUAGUUUAAAGGGAUCGAUUCAAAAUUUUCACCUACUCUUACCAAGAUAGAGGCGGUGGAAUAGUUUUUGUAGUCUGCAAAAGUACUCAACUAAUGUUGUCGUUCUUCACAAAAAAAUGUGUUUACCAAUGCAUUAUCGCAUUGCAUGCAUGCAUGAACACUAGUUACUCUAACCCCCUCUCUUCUUUAAUUAUUUGCCACAUUAGCAUGUUUGAUAUUCCUGUCUGCAUGAUACCAGCUAAGAUACCACCAUUAUGGCCAGCCUUAAUCAUCGCAUGCAAUAAUUUAGUGCACCUUGAAAUAUGAACAUGUGUGGGGCGUGUAUGUUUUUAAUGACUUGAGACUAUACCUAGCCUGGCAUGCAAGAUGAGUUAUUAUGCACCGUUCCCCAUACCUGCAGGAAGCCCGUUCAUCUCCAAAUCUUUUCCUCUCCAUGUGUGAAAAGAAUAUGCCUGCUUGACUCUCCUUCUCCCUCUGGCGGUCCCACCACUCCACCCCGUGUUGAAAAAAUCUGCAUGCAUGACUCUCCUCCCCCCGCGCUUGUCCAAUCCGUUGUGACCAGCAAUAUUUCCACCCCUUCCCUCCCCCGUAAUUUACUCCAAUAAAUAUGCCCACAUAGUUGUUACGUUAAUCACACAACAUAUCUUACGGGACGCUGCUUCAGUUACUUAACUGCAGGUGCAUUGGGUCACUGAGAUAUGGGCCCAACAGGGGUCUGGCCCACAUGUCAGUGACACAACUGGACCUACAGUUAUUUCAGUGCAACUCAGUCCAUAUCUUACAUAGGUGUGCCAUUGCUCGCUAUAAAUACUGCGCCUCCCACGGCAUUUGGAAGAACGCUCACGUUCAUCGCUAUCUCCUCCCCCUCCCUCUCACGUCGACCACCAUGGCAUCGCCCCUCCCAAGCCCUACGCGCCCCUCGCUGCACCGCGCGGACGGUCACGCGUCGUCGUUUCGUUCCUCGCCGCCACUAGUCGAGGAGGACGCGUCGGCGUUCCGCUCCUCGCUGCGACGCGUCGAGGUGGACGCGUCGGCGUUCCGAAUCUCGCCAGCACGUGCGUCGGAGGGCGCGUCAGCUCCCUGCUACGAGGAGAACGCCUAGCCCCCCAGCCUUGAGGAGCUUUGGAAAGAAAUGGAUGCCGCCUUGUGGGAGGCUUUGCUUCCGGCAGAGCGUGCCAAAAUAGAGGCGGAGAAGAAGGCCGAGGAAGUGAAGCGCGCCGCGGAGCAAGCUUCCUGGCAGGCCUAUGUCGCGUUCGAGAGAGUCAGACAAUUGGCUCUUUGGAAGAAGGCUCGUGCGAGGGCCGUGAGGGUGGCAGAGGACGCCGGUGCCAAAGCCCUGAGUGCAGUCGGGCCCAAGCGCCUCAUCUACGCUUGGCGAUACGUGGACCGGGUGCAUGGUUCCAGCAAGGAGGAGUACCUGUUGGCGCCGGAUCACCACACCAGUGAGAUCGCCCUCACCUGCCGGCAAGCCACCAAUCAGCACCUCGCAAGUUGCGAGGAUGAGGAAGAGGUGUUGUGUCGGCGCGCUGGGAAACGGCCGUGCGCCAGGGCACUCAUGGCGCGCCGCAAGCGCUCCUGCGAGUGUCGUGGCUUUUAGUAGGAGUAUAAUUUAGUUUCGUAAGGCGAUCUCAUUAGUUUUGGGACGCAAUAAAUCCCGAACGUUCGGGAAUUAUUAGCGUCCUCAAUUAAGUAUGUAAAAAGGGAAAGUUUGGAAACCUUGUGUAUCCGUACGCAUUUUGUAAGUACGUGCAUAUAGCACAAACUUUACUACACUCUCCGUCCCAUAAUAUAAGAGCAUUUUUUAUACUUGUGUCGUGUCAAAACUGCUCUUAUAUUAUGGGACGGAGGGAGUACUAUCGCACUACACGUCUCUCUCUAUAUAUGCUUGCAGACUGUGCUACUCCCUCCGUCCAGGUAAAUAAGUCAUCUUUGGUUGUGCACCGUGACCAAGAAGGAGGGAAGACUUAUACACCUAGACUGAGGGAGUACUACUACUACUUAUGUAUGUGCAAAUUCACGUUUUAACAUUACGAUGCGGUUUUUGUAAAAGUAGAAAAACAACGCUAGUCAAGCUUGUGAAACGAUUCAAUGCAAAACAAAUGCAAAAAUGCUCAUUUGAUUGUUUAGUUUUAGCUUCCUUCUCUGUGGUUAUUUCUCUGUCAUACUUUGUACAGAGUAUCUCACUGGUCGGAAAGGCAUGCAAAUUCCCAAACCGCUUCCUACACCCUGUAUCAAUUUUUUUCCUAACAAGUUGUGCCGUGCAAUUGGAAUUCCAACUUGAGUACUACUACUAGUAGGAGUACCAGGGGCCAGUUCUUUUAGGCUUCUAGAUUAGUAAUCCCAUAACUACUACCUUCGUACUGGUUUAUGGUCCCCAUUGUAAUCUGUGACAAAUUUUGAUCAUAAAUUUAACUAAUGAAAUGUUUGUGCAUGUCACAUGCACUAACAUUUUAUCAGUUAAAUCUUUGGUCAAAAUUUAGCACAAAUUACAAUGGAGAUGAAUAAACCAGGACGGUGGUACUAGUAGUAGUUUAGAAGCCCAAAUAAAUGAGUGAGGUGCCUUAAUGUUACUCUCCACUGUGACUAGUCUUAUGGGAAAAGUUGGGGAAGAGACGGCUUAUUUUUUAAGCCGCCAAAAGAACUGGCCCUAGGAGUAGUAGCUAGGGAUACUAGGAGUUGUAGCUAGGGACCGAGUGUGCGAGAUGAACCGAAGUAAAUGCAGAGAGAUGAAAUGCAAAAAAGACGGAGGGAUGUGAUGGUUGCUUGUCCGUUUAUUUUACCAGGCCACUUAUUACUGGGAGUGGUUGGGUUUUGUGAUAUGAUGGCUUUACUGCCGCGCCACGAGCGGGGUGAGACUCUCGUGCAGCGCCGCCCUCUACACUAGUACUAUAUCAGUCAUGGUUUAUUAGUCCCCCAUUGAAUUUGACUGAAAAUUUAACUAACAAAAUGUUAGUGCAUGUCAACAAAAACUUUAUCGUUGGAUUCGUAUUUGAACAUAGUUUUCAAUGAUAUAAUUUUAGGUGACAUGCAUCAGCAUUUAUCAUACUAUAUAUAAUGUUAGUUCAAUUCUUGGUCGUACUAAUCUAUAGUAAGGUGCCCGUGCGUUGCACGGAACAGUGAAAUGCAUUGAUUGGGGAGAUGUUUAUUUUGACAAAGGAUGUGGGGGUCAUCUCAUGUGUAACGGGUAUCGAUAGGUUUCUUUGGAUAUUAUUUCAUCUCUAGAGCACACAAACAUCCGGGUCAAAUAGGUAAAAAACUAUCUUUUGCAAACAAAAGCGUUCAACUGUUCAACCUGCAGCCAAAACUUGUGAAUAAAUAACACUUAUUGUGCUUUGCAAGAAAUGAUCUUUAAGAAUUAGUUUUUGAGUAUCACUUGUUAUACAUGUUGGCUACAGAUGACAUGGCACUUUCUUAUAGUCAAUAGUUGGCUAUACUAUUAAGUAUUGACCAUGCCCUUAUACACCUUGACGGAGGGAUUAAAUAAGGAUGACUUAGAAGGGGGCAGAGGAGAUGUAAGAAAUGGUUCAUCGUAUGUCUUUCACCAGUACUGUAGUAAAAUUUCAUAGAUGCAAGAUUCUAGACUAAACCAUAAAUGGAUACACUUUUAUUCAUGCGCGAUACUCCAAUAGAGCAAGAUCAUGCAUGGAAGUCUCCACAUGCUUAGGCAGUGGAUUACAUUGAGCGAAGACUAAUGAUCAACAUUUAACUUGGUAAUGCAUAUGUCCAGGUGAACCUCCUUGGAGUCCCCGUGCACCACGUUGGGGGGGAAAUCAUACCAUGCGUCUUCCAUGUCCACAUCGGCGGGAAGGUCCCAGCUCGGCAUAGUCCUAGUCAGCUUCAUGUAGCCAGUGUCGCCGCCCAUGUACCUCUGAGGGGUAGUAACAGUGAGCACGCACCCGUACAUCGGCCUCGCGUGUUAGUGUCAGCGUCAGUGGCGUCGCCCCUGACGCACACUACAGAGACGGGCGGCGGCCUGCGCGGGCCUCGCCGGUGCCCAUGAUCAAGAGGAAGAUGUUGUCGUCCUCUUCAGAGACUAGCAGGCGGCGGUGAUCCUCCAGCGACUCCGGCACGGUGAACGGGUAGCACGUCUCGUACUUGAUGUUCUCCGCCAAGCGCCAGUAGUGAUCGCCGCAUGCCUGAGUGAGGUGAUGCACGAUGUCCGCCGGCGAGCCCCAAAACGACAUCAGGCACUCAUAGCAGUAGACGAAGGGCUCCUUGGAGGCAUCGACCAGGCCGUCCAUGAAACGGGAAUGGCUGUAGGGGACGUUGCGCCAGUUGAAUAUAUGAGCAAGUUACUACGAGAUUUAGUCCAAAUAAGCACAAAAUAAAUCAUGACGGCUAUAAGAGAGAUUAAACUAACCAUGUGGACUAGCAUAGUAGAUGAACAGAUCGAAUCUAGGAUACAGACUAGAAACAUGAAUUCUACCACGAUUUCAAACAGGAAGGACAGAAAGACAUACGGUGCAAUGGGAGCAGCACCGUUGGCGUUGAGGUUGUCGCCCGUGUCAUUGAGGAAGAGGUUGCUGAGGUCGGGUAAGAAGUCGUCGUCGGUGAAGUCGUCACUGCCAGCAGUCACGAGAGUGCGCUCCCCAAAUUUCAACAACGCCCACAGAAUGGAACGCGGGAGUGAGUGGCUGUAGGGGACAUUACUGCCGCCGAAUGGAGCGCAGGAGUAGCACACGAAGAAGUAGAUGGUACUGCUCCCUAGUCUCUAUCUCUACUCUUAUCUCUAUCUCUACUACUCUUCUUUGUUUUUAUAAUAUACUAGUAGUAGCUGUCAAAUCAAAUAGUACCGCGUCAUCCGCUGCACGCCCGGCUGAACACACCUCCUCGCCUCCAUCAAAUGCCUCCAUUAAACCCGCAUGCAAACCGAGAAACCUACUCCGGCCCAUGGGAGGAAUUUGCCCUUUGCCGUUGGAGAAUAAUAGAGUCGUGUCCAAUCCAUUUGAGUUAAUUGCAUGUAUGAUUCUCCCUCUAUAAAAAGUUAAUUGCAUCCUUAAUCUUGUAUUCUAAGUACUCUGUGGGUUCCACUGUCAGUACAGUAUACAUGACUUGCAGGCUGGCUACAGAUUCGGACAGAAAGUUAAAAAGAAACAAAUCCAUCCUUAAUCUUGUAUUCUAAGUACUCUGUGGGUUGCACUGCCGGUACAGUAGCGAAAGAUGUAUAUAUUAAAAAAUAUAAAAAGCUAAAGUUUAGGACAGAAUUCGAACUCAGGUCAUCACGCUACGAGCAUCUGGCCCGGACCAGUACACCAGGUUUUCGUUGCGGAUGAUGCAAGAGAUAAACCUUUAUAACAAUGAGCCCGUCCGUUGCAACUGAUUCAAAGUAGAAUAAUACAUAUUCACAAAUUUGAAACAAAACCGUUUAGUUUUGAUAUACAUAUCACUAAAAAUAUCUUAUGUUUCACUCAAAAUAUAUUCUUUGGGCCGUUUUGAUGAAGUAAGGGAGGAAUGUGGUUGGUUUCAAGAUACUAAGGGGUUUUGUGUAAACUGGAGCAGAGAAGUGGGAAUUGUUGCAAAAGGCCACAACUUACAUCAUAGCCGUUAGAUGCAGAUCUAAUGGUCGGAAAUGGCGGAUGGCAGACACACCGUCAUCACCAACUGAGUCUUUUAUAGGAGUAGGACUAGAGAAAAAACCGAUUUGGUUAUGAUGGUGUGCCUGCCAUCUUAUAUAUAGACCGUCUGAUCUAUAUCUGGCGGAUAGAAAGCAAACUAUGACAAUUUUACAAAAGAUACCCACACCUCUCUCCACAUUUACAUACAAGGCCUUGCCUCGUUCAUCCUUAUCUCCCACAACCUCAUUGCUGAGCAAUUAAAAAAGGAAGUCUCUGGAACAAUCUGGCAUGGUGGCCGUUGUCGACGCCGUCCAUCCCCAUGCCUCCGCCUAGUCCAACCGCCAGUCACCACCAUGCCCCACUCCUCCUCACCUUAUCUAUCAUCUUUCUCGAUAUAUCAUUUUUUGAUGAAAUGGUCGAGAUACCAUUUUCUGAUAAAAUUCUUGAGAUAUCAUUAGUUUUUACAAAUGGGAUUACUCCUGCAUGGGUCAAUCACAAUAGGCGUUUUGUAAAAAAGGCAUCUUGAUGUUCCGUGCAAUGCACGGGCAUCUUGCUAUUUUUUUUGCAUAUAAUUCCAAACACCAUGUAGACACGGUCCUUGACCAUUUUACAACUAUGUUAGUAUCAUUGUUAGUGGUCAGCCGGUGCAAGUUAUAGCCCCGGGUGUUUUAACCUUUUUUUAGUAAUGAUAUCUGGCAAUUGUUCGCCACGAGCUCAAUCCUGGCGAAUCCCACGUAACCGUCAGAUUUCCAUCCGACGAUGGCCUGUUUUUAAGCCAUAGUAUUUGACAAAACCGCCACCCUUACACAUGUACUGUAACUAUGUCAGGGGCGUUUACAACUGCCAUGUCUCCCAGCGAACGUUUGCUGGGGAUUGGAGUUAGCACCGAUGGCGGUUCGUAGUCGUUCCACGCUCGGGCAUUGAAGUUUGUAACUAUUUUAGAUUAGAAUAUACUACUCCUCUGGUGCUAGUAGUAGAGCAGAGUCCUACUCCACUACUACUCUACUCAAGCAAGUUAGGGCAUAGUAGUAGGUAUUGUAGGGAGUACCAGUACUGUCAUCACUCAAGCAAGUUUUCUGGCAUCAAUAUGACCCUACGCUGCUGGUAUGUGUCUCGUAAGUCAAGCAGCGUGUUGUAGUCAUCAUCACCUGUCCACUUUCCGCAGCACAUAUUCGCUUCCCCAUCUUUGUCCGCACAUCUUUGUCCGCACAUAAUCUCAUCCAAUCUUGCAUCCCCGCUAAGGUGCCUCCCCCCACGUCCGAAACCCAAGCACUAACAAUGGCAGAACCGAGCAGCGUUCGCCAAAAGAGUGGCUGGAAUUCGCUCCCCACAGAGGUAAUCAAGCUCAUUGUUUCGCGUGUGGACAAUCUUAGUACCAUGCCGCUCGCCGCGUGUGCGUCGGGGCUGUACCGUUUACUCAAAGCCCUCAGGCUGGAGCUUUUUAAGCUAGCUCCUUGCUUGUUGAUGCCGCCUGAUCUUCAAAAACGGCGUGUCACGCAGCAUAACGAUCGUAGGGUGGCGAGCAUCAACCCCCUUGACUGCCAUCCGAUCCCCGUCACCCUCAACUACAUUAACGGUAUGUACUAGGUCGGCAUGAACACGUCUUGGAUGGUGCUUGUCGACGGUCGCGGCAGCUGGAUGCUCGUGGAGGUCUACACCCGGCGAUUGAUCCCCCUUCCUUCGAUUAACACUGCACUGCUUUGGCACCGCGGCCCAAAAUACUCAGAAUCUUACAGUAGCCAACAUGAUACCAAGUUUGAUUUGCUCAAGGUUGUCAUCUGCCAAGUGCCCACAAGAUAUGCGAAUUAUAAGACUUCAGGCUAAUUGCGUCUUCAACCGCGGUCUUGCCUAUCUGACAGGUCACUGCGGUAAGUGGAUAAAUCUGCACGUCCAUCGCAGGAUCAUACAUCCUCCAUGGUUCUCUGAUGCCAUUGAACACACGGGCUUCAUUUACGUUGUCGACUCCUUCUAUGGCUGGACGUAUUGCUGGCCUACUCCAAUCAUCGCUACAAACAGCUGUUACAUUAGUAUGUUACUUUCCUAUGAUAUCAUGAUGGCUUGCUUAUAUUACUGUCAACAUUUACUGCAAAAAUAUUCAUGCUCAUAACAUGUUGUUCUUAAGAUUGACUACAUUAAGAGCCCUUUUUUAUUUGACUCCAACUUGAUAUGAUGUUCUAGGCCGCCUGGUGUCCCUACCCUUCCUAAUCCUAGAACCUUUCAAAGAAAAGCGGCAUGGCAGUUGCAGGUGGUUCCUGGCUCGAUCAGACGACGGUGAACGAUUGAUGAUCGUUCGACGUACCGGACGUGUUGUUUCGCGGAAUACAAUCACAAUCACUACAAGGUCUUUGAGCAGGAUCCCAGGUUCUCUGGGCCUUCAGGAAUUUUUGACAGGAGGCUGGUAAGUAGCCUUGGUACGCGCUCUCUGUUUCUCGGACUGAAUUAUCCGAUUAACCAGGAGAUAACCGACGGCAAGGAUCAUGACGGCAGCGCGGUUUCGGUCAUCAGGAAAAACUGUGUGUACACAGUGUACCAUGCGUCUCUGCAUGCACCAUACCCUGAUAUGUGCCGCCACGCUCUGCAGCGCAAAGUAGGAGAGAGGGUCGCAAGUAUCAGACUUCGACCUGCUGGCUGGAGUUUCCCCUGUCAGGCACCCAUCUGGUUCAAGCCGUCAGCCAAUCUUCACAGCUUAAUAAAUAGUAACGUCUAACUAAGCCAGUUAGUUAGAUGCGUACACUUGGUGUAGUAGGAUCUUUAUUUAGUUUGAUGCAUACACUUGUUGUUUUUGGCUAGCCCUUUUGUAAUGAUGGCUGAUGUUUGGUUUGGAAGAGAGAGCCGGGUCUUUACUCUUCUGGCCUGCUUACUGCUUCUGUUGCACCCCCGGCCCUGGUUGCUGCUGCUAUUUUCAAUGUACAAUCAGUAGUAUAUUUUGUCUAUUGGUUGAAUAAAUGUGUUGUUAGAAUGACAAACACAAUGUUUUGGAAGUUGUUGCACGGUCCGAUCCUUUGGUUUUUUUAGGGAAACGGUUCGAUCCUUUAGUGCCCCGUACCGUACGUAGCGCAUACUAUUUUUGGUACAGAACACAUUUUCUACUUGUUGAUAACAUGCAGCCCACUGAUGAAGGCCCAAUAGAGGAGCCCAUAAUUAACUAGAAGGGAGGCUCUCACAUGAAUCUGGCCCAAGUACAUGCUCAUGGUCCCCUAAACAUAAAUAAGUAAAUAAAUAAAGCUAAAUGCUCGUGCGCUAGUUCUUUAAAUUCACGAUUUAACAGGAGGAUAUUAUGUCCUAUGAUAUUGUCGUUACAUUCAGUCGAUAUUAUUCUUAGGCAAAGAUAGCGACCAGUCUUCUCUCCCAUCAUUUUCUCCCUGCAACCAGCGGACCCAUGCAAAUCGUACUCAACGUCGUAAAUAGUUCCGGUCCAUUUUUACUUGUCAAUAAGAAUGUCCAACCCAGCCCAACACAUUGGCGACGGCACUUUAUCCUCCACCUUGGUGCGCUCGCCGCAGCGCCGCCGUCCAGCCCUGUCAACAUAGUGAAUCGGGAGAGGACUGUAGUUGUGAGUAUGACAGUAUGGACCCACCAGGUCCACUCCCGAACAAAAGCAAGCGCCUCUUUUACUACUCAGAUGCACCCCUUGUUUUUUUACUCUAAUCCACCCUGCUGAUAUCAGGGACCCACAUCAUUUUCAACGUAUAGUCAAUUAACGACAGAAUUGCACAACUUUUUUAGUAGUAAUUCGGAGGAGCAUGCUAUAAACAGGGUUAUGCGGUCUCUGUGGCCCGUCUAACAACAUGCCAGCCCAGCAAUUUUUUCUUUGGGAAAAUAGGUAGCCCAGUAUUUCUUUUUGAAGAAUACCCAAGCUAGGCCUAUUUGUUUUCUCCGACUUACUGGGCUGCAAAUCUUUCAAGAUGAGGAAGGAUGCAUUCCGGCCUGGCCAAAGAGUAUGGUUAGUGUCUGUUAAAAGUAAUAUCAAAGGGGUUGAAAAUUCCAAAAAAAAUAGCAAAUGGGAAAUUAGUUUCUUUUUUUGUUUUUGUUCUUCACUGAUAUUUUAUAUUUCAUUGGAUUUUAACAUGACAUAGUACUAAUUUAUAUUUAAAUUUGUUUUAGUAUCGCUACUAAUUUUUGGAUUAAGAAUAUUUUGUUCCCCAGCAAAAAUUUGUGAAUUUUCAAAAUUUCGCACAUAUUUAGUUCAAUUUUUUAACCCUGGUACUGACUAGAAAAUGGGCAGCAAUUCUAAAAAUGGAAAAUGCAUGGGCUGCGAUAAAUUCCAUAUGAAUUAGAAAAUGAGUAAAAAUUAUAAAAAUAAUAGCAAAUGGGUUGUAGACGCCACAGAUUUCAAGGCUGACUUGUUUACGCAAGGCUUUGUCAGUCAACACAUGAUUCUAGCAGCAGUGACUAUUGGAUGUCCAUCCAACGGCCGACAUGCUUCUUCAAUCUCUGAUCUUCCUGCUCCAGCCGCCUAAACUAGCGUCGGCGGGACUCCCUGCUCCCUCCUCUUGUGGCCCGCUGUGAUGCCGCGCAGGCUUCACCGGCCCACCCUACUCCCUCCGCUGGCCUGGCCGCACGCAAUUAACUGCCUCCUUAUUACGCUAAAAAAAUGAUUCCUCCCACUGACAUCUGGGGUGCACCAGUUGGGAGGCUGACCUGUGGGCCUACUAAGUUGACGCGUACGCAGUGCUUGUCAACUUAGUCAACAAAUGAUACUAGCAGCAGUGACCGUUGAAUUUGAAUCGAAUGGUCCUGCUGCUUCUUCAAUCCCUGCUCUUCUUGCACCAGCCGCCCAAACCAGCGCCGGUGAGACUGCCUGCUCCUGCCUCCAGUGGCCGGCUGUGCUGCCGUUGGGCCUCACCGCCCCCUACUACUCCCACCACUGGCCAGUCCCUGCAGCGACGGUAGCCUCACACCGCAGCCGAACCAGUGAACCCUCGUACUCCUCUCCGCGUGGGCGUCCACUGCCGCGUCUUUCCUGGCUCCGCAUUGUCGCCUUCCUAGGCCUCACCGUCGUCCAUCGCCCUGGUGCUCUCGGCGCGGCGUGGUCAACGUGGUCAAGGAACGACUUCCAUCGGAAGAGUACUGUACGUGGAGAGGUUGACAACUAGGUCCACGGCCGCAGCAAGGAAGUGCCUCCUUAUUAUGCAGAAAAUAAUGAUUCCUCCACCUGACAGCGGGGACCCACCAGACGGGCCACCGUAUUUCACGAAAAAGUAUUUCCCCCUGACUGCUGGGACCCACCAGCUACAUCUUCGCACGCAAGGAAGUGCGUCCAUAUUACGGGCAAAAAAAUGAUUCACCCCUAGACUGCUGGGACCCACCAGCUACAUCUUCGCACGCAAGGAAGUGCCUGACAGUCGCGACCCACCUGGUCGAAACGUACGUAGCGUUGUCAUUCUAGUCGCGAAUGUGUACGUACAUACUGGUCGAUGUAGAGGUACACACGUGUCGUAGUAGAGGCGUGCACGUGUCGUAGUAGAGGCGCGCACGUAGCAUGUACACGUAAGUAUAGCGGCCAGGGUGCAAGAAAGAAAAUACGGCCACGUACGUACAUACGGGCAGGGUCUCGAGCGCGUACUCUCGCAUAUAUAUAUGGACGACCAGGGCUUGUGUACAUGGAAAGGCAACGGAUGGCAGCAACGGCGUCCUGUUCAUCGGGCAGCGAACCGGCUGGGUCGGAACGGAGAAACAGCGUUCUGUUCAUCGGGAGGCAACCGACUGGGUCGGAAUACGUCAUGUUCAUCGGGAGCCAACCGGCUUGGACGGAACAGCCAAUCGAAACGAGGCCUGGCGUACCACAGAACGGAGGAAACGGCCUUGUGUUCGACCGGCCACGGUCGAAACGGGAUCCUAUUCAUCGGGAGGGGUCUGGCGUACCGCAAAACGGAGGAAAAUGACUUCUCUUGGACCUCCUACGGUCGAAAUGGGGUCCUAUUGAUCGGGAAGGGUGUGGCGUACCGCAAAACGGAGGAAACGGACUUGUGUUGGAGCGCUACGGUCGAAAUGGGGGUCCUGUUCAUCGGGAGGGGUGUGGCGUACCGCAAAACAGGACUCCACGGGAUACUGUUCAUCUCCACCGUCGACCUCCUCCAGCCUCCACGGGCUACUGUUCAUCCACCGUCGACCUCCUCCAGCCUCCACCUACACUAUUCAUCCACGGGCUCCUGUUCAUCCAGCCUCCACCGCUCCUCCACCGGCUACUGUUCAACCAGCCCUCUCCACGGGGUCCUGUUCAACAACCCCUCCAUGGGCUACUGUUCAUCCAGCCGUCCACGGGGUCCUGUUCAUCCAGCCGUCCACGGGGUCCUGUUCAUCCACCCCCAACCGGCUUGAUCGGGGUCCUGUUCAUCCAGCGGCAAACGACCUCUACUACCACGGGGUCCUGUUCAUUCAACCCCCACCGGGAACUGUUCAUCCACCCCCCCCCAACAACGCUCACUGUUCAUCCAGAGGCAGCAUCGAUCGGCUUCAGUUGGCAGCAAUAGCGAAGGAAUCGCUCGGUCGGGUUCAGUUAACAGCCAUCGAUCGAUCGCUCGGGUUCAGUAACGCGUAGCCUGUAGUGCAAUCGCUCAGAUUCAGUUAGGCGAACGCCUCGCUCGGGUUCAGUUAGAUCCCAAUGCCUCGCACCCAUGCGCGUACGUGUAUGAGAGACGCGCAUCGCUCGGCCCCCGACCACCCACCGUAACCGGGAACUCCCUGAUAUUUUCCACGUCUGUCACCUAGCGGUGCAUCAAGGACAUAAUUCUUUUGUGCAGCAAUGAGGAUAAUCCUCAGAUCAUGGAUCCAAUCCGCAUCUUUGCUACUAACAUCUUUCAACAUAAUUUUUCUCUAGGAACAUAUAAAAAAACACAGGGAAGAAACAACGCGAGCUAUUGAUCUACAACAUAAUUUGCAAAAUACUAUCAAGACUAAGUUCAUGAUAAAUUUAAGUUCAAUUAAUCAUAUUACUUAAGAACUCCCACUUAGAUAGACAUCCCUCUAAUCCUCUCAGUGAUGACAUGAUCCAUAUCAACUAAACCAUGUCCGAUCAUUACGUGAGAUGGAGUAGUUUCAAUGGUGAACAUCACUAUGUUGAUCAUAUCUACUAUAUGAUUCACGCUCGACCUUUCGGUCUCCGUGUUCCGAGGCCAUAUCUGCAUAUGCUAGGCUCGUCAAGUUUAACCUGAGUAUUCCGCGUGUGCAACUGUUUUGCACCCGUUGUAUUUGAACGUAGAGCCUAUCACACCCAAUCAUCACGUGGUGUCUCAGCACAAAGAACUUUCGCAACGGUGCAUACUCAGGGAGAACACUUUUAUCUUGAAAUUUUAGUGAGAGAUCAUCUUAUAAUGCUACCGUCAAUCAAAGCAAGAUAAGAUGCAUAAAAGAUAAACAUCACAUGCAAUCAAUAUAAGUGAUAUGAUAUGGCCAUCAUCAUCUUGUACUUGUGAUCUCCAUCUCCGAAGCACCGUCAUGAUCACCAUCGUCACCGGCGCGACACCUUGAUCUCCAUCGUAGCAUCGUUUGCCGUCUCGCUAACUAUUGCUUUUACGACUAUCGCUACCGCUUAGUGAUAAAGUAAAACAAUUACAUGGCGAUUGCAUUUCAUACAAUAAAGCGACAACCAUAUGGCUCCUGCCAGUUGCCGAUAACUCGGUUACAAAACAUGAUCAUCUCAUACAAUAAAAUAUAGCAUCAUGUCUUGACCAUAUCACAUCACAAAAUGCCCUGCAAAAACAAGUUAGACGUCCUCUACUUUGUUGUUGCAAGUUUUACGUGGCUGCUACGGGCUUAGCAAGAACCGUUCUUACCUACGCAUCAAAACCACAACGAUAGUUUGUCAAGUUGGUGCUGUUUUAACCUUCGCAAGGACCGGGCGUAGCCACACUCGGUUCAACUAAAGUGAGAGAGACAGACACCCGCCAGUCACCUUUAAGCAUCGAGUGCUCGCAAUGGUGAAACCAGUCUCGUGUAAGCGUACGCGUAAUGUCGGUCCGGGCCGCUUCAUCUCACAAUACCGCCGAACCAAAGUAUGACAUGCUGGUAAGCAGUAUGACUUAUAUCGCCCACAACUCACUUGUGUUCUACUCGUGCAUAUAACAUCAACGCAUAAUACCAGGCUCUGAUACCACUGUUGGGGAACGUAGUAAUUUCAAAAAAAUUCCUACGCACACGCAAGAUCAUGGUGAUGCAUAGCAACGAGAGGGGAGAGUGUUGUCUACGUACCCUCGUAGACCGAAAGAGGAAGCGUUAACACAACGCGGUUGAUGUAGUCGUACGUCUUCACGAUCUGACCGAUCAAGUACCGAACGCACGGCACCUCCGAGUUCAGCACACGUUCAGCUCGAUGACGUCCCUCGAACUCCGAUCCAGCCGAGUGUUGAGGGAGAGUUUCGUCAGCGCGACGGCGUGGUGACGAUGAUGAUGUUCUACCGACGCAGGGCUUCGCCUAAGCACCGCUAUGAUAUUAUCGAGGUGUAAUAUGGUGGAGGGGGGCACCGCACACGGCUAAAAGAUCGUUGAUCAAUUGUGUGUAGAGAGGUGCCCCCCUGCCCCCGUAUAUAAAGGAGCAAGGGGGGAGGCCGCCGGCCUAGGAGGAGGGCGCGCAAAGGGGGGAGUCCUACUCCCAUUGGGAGUAGGACUCCUCCUUUCCUUGUUGGAGUAGGAAAGGGAAGGGAGAAGGAGAAAGAAGGAAGGGGGCGCCCCCCUCCCUAGUCCAAUUCGGACUAGUCCAUGGGGAGGGGUGCGGCCACCCUUUGGGGCCUUUCUCUCCUUUCCCGUAUGGCCCAUUAAGGCCCAAUACGAAUUCCCGUAACUCUCCGGUACUCCGAAAAAUACCCGAAUCACUCGGAACCUUUCCGAUGUCCGAAUAUAGUCGUCCAAUAUAUCGAUCUUUACGUCUCGACCAUUUCGAGACUCCUCGUCAGUCCCUGAUCUCAUCUGGGACUCCGAACUCCUUCGGUACAUCAAAACAUAUAAACUCAUAAUAUAACUUUCAUCGUAACGUUAAGCGUGCGGACCCUACGGGUUCGAGAACUAUGUAGACAUGACCGAGACACCUCUCCGGUCGAUAACCAAUAGCGGAACCUGGAUGCUCAUAUUGGCUCCCACAUAUUCUACGAAGAUCUUUAUAGGUCAAACCGCAUAACAACAUACGUUGUUCCCCUUGUCAUCGGUAUGUUACUUGCCCGAGAUUCGAUCGUCGGUAUCUCAAUAUCUAGUUAAAUCUCAUUAUCGGCAAGUCUCUUUACUCGUUCCGUAAUACAUCAUCCCGUAACUAACUCAUUAGUUACAAUGCUUGCAAGGCUUAUAGUGAUGUGCAUUACCGAGUGGGCCCAGAGAUACCUCUCCGACAAUCGGAGUGACAAAUCCCAAUCUCGAAAUACGCCAACCCAACAAGUACCUUUGGAGACACCUGUAGAGCACCUUUAUAAUCACCCAGUUACGUUGUGACGUUUGGUAGCACACAAAGUGUUCCUCCGGUAAACGGGAGUUGCAUAAUCUCAUAGUCAUAGGAACAUGUAUAAGUCAUGAAGAAAGCAAUAGCAACAUACUAAACGAUCGAGUGCUAGGCUAACUGAAUGGGUCAAGUCAAUCACAUCAUUCUCCUAAUGAUGUGAUCUCGUUAAUCAAAUGACAACCCAUGUCAAUGGCUAGGAAACUUAACAAUCUUUGACCAUCGAGCUAGUCAAGUAGAGGCAUACUAGUGACACUCUGUUUGUCUAUGUAUUCACACAUGUAUUAUGUUUCCGGUUAAUACAAUUCUAGCCUGAAUAAUAAACAUUUAUCAUGAUAUAAGGAAAUAAAUAAUAACUUUAUUAUUGCCUCUAGGGCAUAUUUCCUUCAGUCUCCCACUUGCACUAGAGUCAAUAAUCUAGUUCACAUCGCCAUGUGAUUUAACAUCGAUAAUUCACAUCGCCAUGUGAUUAACACCCAUAGUUCACAUUGUCAUGUGACCAACACCCAAAGGGUUUACUAGAGUCAAUAAUCUAGUUCACAUCGCUAUGUGAUUAACACCCAAAGUACUAAGGUGUGAUCAUGUUUUGAUUGUGAGAUAAUUUUAGUCAACGGGUCUGUCACAUUCAGAUCCGUAUGUAUUUUGCAAAUUUCUAUGUCUACAAUGCUCUGCACGGAGCUACUCUAGCUAAUUGCUCCCACUUUCAAUAUGUAUCUAGACUGAGACUUAGAGUCAUCUAGAUUAGUGUCAAAACUUGCAUCGACGUAACCCUUUAUGACGAACCUUUUGUCACUUCCAUAAUCGAGAAACAUAUCCUUAUUCCACUAAGGAUAAUUUUGACCGCUGUCCAGUGACCUACUCCUAGAUCACUAUUGUACUCCCUUGCCAAAAUCAGUGUAGGGUAUACAAUAGAUCUGGUACACAGCAUGGCAUACUUUAUAGAACCUAUGGCCAAGGCAUAGGGAAUGACUUUCAUUCUCUUUCUAUCUUCUGCCUUGGUCGGGCUUUGAGUCUUACUCAAUUUCACACCUUGUAACACAGGCAAGAACUCUUUCUUUGACUGUUCUAUUUUGAACUACUGCAAAAUCUUGUUAAGGUAUGUACUCAUUGAAAAAAAACUUAUCAAGCGUCUUGAUCUAUCUCUAUAGAUCUUGAUGUUCAAUAUGUAAGCAGCUUUACUGAGGUCUUUCUUUGAAAAACUCUUAUCAAGUAUCCCUUUAUGCUAUCCAGAAAUUCUAUAUCAUUUCCAAUUAGCAAUAUGUCAUCCACAUAUAAUAUCAGAAAUGCUACUGAGCUCCCACUCACUUUCUUGUAAAUACAGGCUUCUCCAAAAGUCUGUAUAAAACUAUAUCCUUUGAUCAACUUAUCAAAGCGUAUAUUCCAACUCCGAGAUGCUUGCACCAGUCCAUAGAUGGAUCGCUGGAGCUUGCAUAUUUUGUUAGCACUUUUAGGAUUGACAAAACCUCCUUGUUGCAUCAUAUACAACUCUUCUUUAAUAAAUCCAUUAAGGAAUGCAGUUUUGUUUAUCCAUUUGCCAUAUUUCAUAAAAUGCGGCAAUUUCUAACAUGAUUCAAACAGACUUAAGCAUAGAUACGAGUGAGAAACUCUCAUCGUAGUCAACACCUUGAACUUGUCGAAAACCUUUUUGCGACAAUUCUAGCUUUGUAGACAGUAACACUACUAUCACUGUCUGUCUUCCUCUUGAAGAUCCAUUUAAUCUCAAUGGCUCGCCGAUCAUUGGGUAAGUCAAUCAAAGUCCAUACUUUGUUCUCAUGUAUGGAUCUCCUCUCAGAUUUCAUGGCCUCAAGCCAUUUCGCGGAAUCUGGGCUCAUCAUUGCUUCCUCAUAGUUCGUAGGUUCGUCAUGGUCAAAUAACAUGACCUCCAGAACAGGAUUACCGUACCACUCUGGUGUGGAUCUCACUCUAGUUUACCUACGAGGUUUGGUACUAACUUGAUCUGAAGUUACAUGAUCAUCAUCAUUAACUUCCUCACUAACUGGAGUAGGAGUCACAGGAACAGAUUUCUGUGAUGAACUACUUUCCAAUAAGGGAGCAGGUACAGUUACCUCAUCAAGUUCUACUUUCCUCCCACUCACUUCUUUCGAGAGAAACUCCUUCUCUAGAAAGGAUCCAUUCUUAGCAACGAAUGUCUUGCCUUCGGAUCUGUGAUAGAAGGUGUACCCAACUGUCUCCUUUGGGUAUCCUAUGAAGACACAUUUCUCCGAUUUGGGUUUGAGCUUAUCAGGAUGAAACCUUUUCACAUAAGCAUCGCAACCCCAAACUUUAAGAAACGACAACUUUGGUUUCUUGCCAAACCACAGUUCAUAAGAUGUCGUCUCAACGGAUUUAGAAGGUACCCUAUUUAACGUGAAUGCAGCUGUCUCUAAUGCAUAACCCCAAAACGAUAGUGGUAGAUCGGUAAGAGACAUCAUAUAUCGCACCAUAUCUAAUAAAGUACGGUUACGAUGUUCGGACACACCAUUACACCGUGGUGUUCCAGGUGGCGUGAGUAGUGAAACUAUUUCACAUUGUUUUAACUGAAGGCCAAACUCGUAACUCAAAUAAUCUUCUCCACGAUCAGAUCGUAGAAACUUUAUUUUCUUGUUACGAUGAUUUUUCGCUUCACUCUGAAAUUAUAUGAACUUUUCAAAUGUUUCAGACUUCUGUUUCAUUAAGUAGAUAUACCCAUAUCUGCUCAAAUCAUCUGCGAAGGUCAGAAAAUAAUGAUACCUGCUACGAGCCUCAAUAUUCAUCGGACCACAUACAUCUGUAUGUAUGAUUUCCACCAAAUCUGUUGCUCUCUCCAUAGUUCCGGAGAACGGCGUUUUAGUCAUCUUGCCCAUGAGGCACGGUUCGCAAGCAUCAAGUGAUUCCAAAAUCCCAUCAGUAUGGAGUUUCUUCAUGCGCUUUACACCAAUAUGACCUAAACGGCAGUGCCACAAAUAAGUUGCACUCUCAUUAUUAACUUUGCAUCUUUUGGCUUCAUUUUUAUGAAUAUUUGUAUCACUACGAUCGACAUCCAACAAACCAUUUUAUUGGGUGUAUGACCAUAGAAGGUUUUAUUCAUGUAAACAGAACAACAAUUAUUCUCUAAUUUAAAUGAAUAACUGUAUUGCAACAAACAUGAUCAAAUCAUAUUCAUGCUCAACGCAAACACCAAAUAACACUUAUUUAGUUUCAACACUAAUCCCGAAAGUAUAGGGAGUGUGCGAUGAUGAUCAUAUCAAUCUUGGAACUACUUCCAAGACACAUCGUCAUCUCGCCUUUUACUAGUCUCUGUUUAUUCUGCAACUCCCGUUUCGAGUUACUACUCUUAGCAACUGAACCAGUAUCAAAUACCGAGGGGUUGCUAUAAACACUAGUAAAGUACAUAUCAAUAACAUGUAUAUCCAAUAUACCUUUGUUCACUUUGCCAUCCUUCUUAUCCACCAAAUACUUGGGGCAGUUCCGCUUCCAGUGACCAGUCCCUUUGCAGUAGAAGCACUUAGUCUCAGGCUUAGGUCCAGACUUGGGCUUCUUCACUUGAGCAGCAACUUGCUUGCCGUUCUUCUUGAAGUUCCCCUUCUAUCCCUCUGCCCUUUUCUUGAAACUAGUGUUCUUGUUAACCAUCAACACUUGAUGCUCUUUCUUGAUUUCUACCUUCGUCGAUUCAGCAUCGCGAAGAGCUCGGGAAUCACUUUCGUCAUCCCUUGCAUAUUAUAGUUCAUCACAAAGUUCUACUAACUUGGUGAUGGUGACUAGAGAAUUCUGUCAAUCACUAUUUUAUCUGGAAGAUUAACUCCCACUUGAUUCAAGUGAUUGUAGUACCCAGACAAUCUGAGCACAUGCUCACUACUUGAGCUAUUCUCCUCCAUCUUUUAGCUAUAUAGAACUUGUUGGAGACUUCAUAUCUCUCAACUCGGGUAUUUGCUUGAAAUAUUAACUUCAACUCCUGGAACAUCUCAUAUGGUCCAUGAUGUUCAAAACGUCUUUGAAGUCCCGAUUCUAAGCCGUUAAGCAUGGUGCACUAAACUAUCAAGUAGUCAUCAUAUUGAGCUAGCCAAACAUUCAUAACGUCUGCAUCUGCUCCUGCAAUAGGUCUGUCACCUAGUGGUGCAUCAAGGACAUAAUUCUUCUGUGCAGCAAUGAGGAUAAUCCUUAGAUCACGGAUCCAAUCCGCAUCUUUGCUACUAACAUCUUUCAACAUAAUUUUUCUCUAGGAACAUAUCAAAAAAAACACAGGGAAGCAACAACGCGAGCUAUUGAUCUACAACAUAAUUUGCAAAAUACUAUCAGGACUAAGUUCAUGAUAAAUUUAAGUUCAAUUAAUCAUAUUACUUAAGAACUCCCACUUAGAUAGACAUCCCUCUAAUCCUCUAAGUGAUGACGUGAUCCAUAUCAACUAAACCAUGUCCGAUCAUUACGUGAGAUGGAGUAGUUUCAAUGGUGAACAUCACUAUGUUGAUCAUAUCUACUAUAUGAUUCACGCUCGACCUUUCGGUCUCCGUGUACCGAGGCCAUAUCUGCAUAUGCUAGGCUCGUCAAGUUUAACCUGAGUAUUCCGCGUGUGCAACUGUUUUGCACCCGUUGUAUUUGAACGUAGAGCCUAUCACACCCGAUCAUCACGUGGUGUCUCAGCACGAAGAACUUUCGCAACGGUGCAUACUCAGGGAGAACACUUUUAUCUUGAAAUUUUAGUUAGAGAUCAUCUUAUAAUGCUACCGUCAAUCAAAGCAAGAUAAGAUGCAUAAAAGAUAAACAUCACAUGCAAUCAAUAUAAGUGAUAUGAUAUGGCCAUCAUCAUCUUGUGCUUGUGAUCUCCAUCUCCGAAGCACCGUCAUGAUCACCAUCGUCACCCGCGCGACACCUUGAUCUCCAUCGUAGCAUCGUUUGUCGUCUCGCCAACUAUUGCUUUUACGACUAUCGCUACCGCUUAGUGAUAAAGUAGAACAAUUACAUGGCGAUUGCAUUUCAUACAAUAAAGCGACAACCAUAUGGCUCCUGCCAGUUGCCGAUAACUCGGUUACAAAACAUGAUCAUCUCAUACAAUAAAAUAUAGCAUCAUGUCUUGACCAUAUCACUUCACAACAUGCCCUGCAAAAACAAGUUAGACGUCCUCUACUUUGUUGUUGCAAGUUUUACGUGGCUGCUACGGGCUUAGCAAGAACCGUUCUUACCUACGCAUCAAAACCACAACGAUAGUUUGUCAAAUUGGUGUUGUUUUAACCUUCGCAAGGACCGGGCGUAGCCACACUCGGUUCAACUAAAGUGAGAGAGACAGACACCCGCCAGUCACCUUUAAGCAUCGAGUGCUCGCAACGGUGAAACCAGUCUCGCGUAAGCGUACGCGUAAUGUCGGUCCGGGCCGCUUCAUCUCACAAUACCGCCGAACCAAAGUAUGACAUGCUGGUAAGCAGUAUGACUUAUAUCGCCCACAAGUCACUUGUGUUCUACUCGUGCAUAUAACAUCAACGCAUAAAACCAGGCUCUGAUACCACUAUUGGGGAACGUAGUAAUUUCAAAAAAGUUCCUACGCACACGCAAGAUCAUGGUGAUGCAUAGCAACGAGAGGGGAGAGUGUUGUCGACGUGCCCUCGUAGACCGAAAGCGGAAGCGUUAACACAACGCGGUUGAUGUAGCCGUACGUCUUCACGAUCCGACCGAUCAAGUAACGAACGCACGGCACCUCCGAGUUCAGCACACGUUCAGCUCGAUGACGUCCCUCGAACUCUGAUCCAGCCGAGUGUUGAGGGAGAGUUUCGUCAGCACAACGGCGUGGUGACGAUGAUGAUGUUCUACCGACGCAGUGCUUCGCCUAAGCACCGCUACGAUAUUAUCGAGGUGUAAUAUGGUGGAGGGGGGCACCGCACACGGCUAAAAGAUCGUUGAUCAAUUGUGUGUAGAGAGGUGCCCCCCUGCCCCCGUAUAUAAAGGAGCAAGGGGGAGGCCGCCGGGGAGUAGGACCUCCUUUCCUUGUUGGAGUAGGAAAAGGGAAGGGAGAAGGAGAAAGAAGGAAGGGGGCGCCCCCCCUCCCUAGUCCAAUUCAGACUAGUCCAUGAGGAGGGGUGCGGCCACCCUUUGGGGCCUUUCUCUCCUUUCCCGUAUGGCCCAUUAAGGCACAAUACGAAUUCCCGUAACUCUCCGGUACUCCGAAAAAUACCCGAAUCACUCGGAACCUUUCCGAUAUCCGAAUAUAGUCGUCCAAUAUAUCGAUCUUUACGUCUCGACCAUUUCGAGACUCCUCGUCAAGUCCCUGAUCUCAUCCGGGACUCAGAACUCCUUCGGUACAUCAAAACAUAUAAACUCAUAAUAUAACUUUCAUCGUAACGUUAAGCGUGCGGACCCUACGGGUUCGAGAACUAUGUAGACAUGACCGAGACACCUCUCCGGUCAAUAACCAAUAGCGGAACCUGGAUGCUCAUAUUGGCUCCCACAUAUUCCACAAAGAUCUUUAUCGGUCAAACCGCGUAACAACAUACGUUGUUCCCCUUGUCAUCGGUAUGCUACUUGCCCGAGAUUCGAUCGUCGGUAUCUCAAUGCCUAGUUCAAUCUCGUUACUGGCAAGUCUCUUUACUCGUUCCGUAAUACAUCAUCCCGCAACUAACUCAUUAGUUACAAUGCUUGCAAGGCUUAUAGUGAUGUGCAUUACCGAGUGGGCCCAGAGAUACCUCUCCGACAAUCGGAGUGACAAAUCCCAAUCUCGAAAUACGCCAACCCAACAAGUACCUUUGGAGACACCUGUAGAGCACCUUUAUGAUCACCCAGUUACGUUGUGACGUUUGGUAGCACACAAAGUGUUCCUCCGGUAAACGGGAGUUGCAUAAUCUCAUAGUCAUAGGAACAUGUAUAAGUCAUGAAGAAAGCAAUAGCAACAUACUAAACGAUCGAGUGCUAGGCUAACGGAAUGGGUCAAGUCAAUCACAUCAUUCUCCUAAUGAUGUGAUCUCGUUAAUCAAAUGACAACCCAUGUCAAUGGCUAGGAAACUUAACCAUCUUUGAUCAACGAGCUAGUCAAGUAGAGGCAUACUAGUGACACUCUGUUUGUCUAUGUAUUCACACAUGUAUUAUGUUUCCGGUUAAUACAAUUCUAGCAUGAAUAAUAAACAUUUAUCAUGAUAUAAGGAAAUAAACAAUAACUUUAUUAUUGCCUCUAGGGCAUAUUUCCUUCAGGCACAUACUGCAAUUCCUUCAUGAGGAAUUUGGUCCUUGGGGCUUGACCGGCCUUCAGCGGCUUCAUCAACACUUGCAUGUAGUGAUCUGUAAGCUCGGGUUCAUGAUAUAUACAACGAGCACCUUCAAGGGGAGGACUGACAGGUAGGGCAUGAAGCAAUUCAGAGGCUGGUGCUUUGAAGUGAGUAUUUUCUGUCAUCCAGUCCAAUACCCAAGAGUUCACAUCUUCAGCAUUUCCUGUGAUGUGCAGCAUUACACAGAACUGAAGAAUUAGCUCUUCAUUCCAAUCAACAAUAUCAGUGCAUAAGUUGAGCAAUCCAGCGUCAUGAAGAACACUAAGAACUUGCGUGAAGCAAGGCAGUGAUUCCAUGUCCACGUGAGGAAUAUGCUCAUGGUCGAAGACUUUGUCUUUGUUGAAAGGCAGUGAAGAAUAGAAGUUGGCUUGGCUGGCAGUCCAGAAACGCUUCCUUCUAAGACGAGCAGAGUCAUAUGGGUUGUAAUCUGCGAAGAACACAUGCUCGUGAAAGAAGUGAUCAGCCUUGAAGUUUUGCUUCUUGGAGAAAGGAUCCUUUGGCUUGGGCUGAGGAGUGUGAGUCAAUUGCAUCACAACCUCAGGAAUCGCAAUCUCAGGAACCACAGGAUGAGGAAUUUCAGUUUCUUCUUCAGUUGCAGCCUGGUUCUUCAAUUCUUCAGCAGCAAUUUCAUCAGCACUAGUGGCUGGAAUCUCUUCAUGAAUGGACGGGGUGGUGCGAGGUUCUUCAGAGCCCAUUUGAACUUCAGUAUGCACUAGGGACUGAGGAAUUUGUUGUAGUGGCGUGAACAAAGGAGAGUUGGGGUGCUGACUUUCCCAAAAGUCAUCAUUCAUCACAGGUGUUGUGCUCCCAAUGUCCACAUCCUCAUCUUAUUCACUCAAUUCUUCAAUGCCUGCCUCUUCAGCUGUGAACUCAGGCAUGGGCGAUGUGACAACUGGGGUUGAAGGUAUUGUAUCCACUUCAAUUUCUUUGUCCAACUGCUCUGAAGAAGCAGCAGAAGGAACAUCUUCAUCGGAUCCUCUUGGGAUUGCAUAGUCUUCACCAGAGGGAAUGAGUUCCUUUGAUGGCAUGCAUGUGACUGGAACAACAUCAAUUGGAUUCUCAAAAGAGCUUGUCAAUUUCUUCAUCUUCUUCGGAGCUGAAGAUUCUGAUGAAGUUGAUGCUUUCCUUUCCUUCACUGCUGCACGCUCCGCAGCCUUGGUCUUCUUCGCAUCUGAUGCAGAAGGAAGAAUUGGACUUGGUGUAGGUGCAAGAGGAGCGGAGGAAAUUGGUUCAUUUUCUUCAGGCACAGCUGAUGCAGUUUCCCUGGCAUGAUCAGUUUCUUCAGGCACAGUGGUUGAAGCUUCAGCUGGCCUGACUAUUUCUUCAGGCGCAACACUAGUGGUUGCCCUGGCAGUGUCAUCAGCGGCUGGAAUGCAGUCAUCAGCCCUGGUACUAGCAGUUUCAUCAGUAGCCUAAUUUUCAUCAGCGGUGUUGGCAUGUUCUUCAGUAGGCUGAGCAGAUGCCUCAGCCUGAGGAAUUUCUUGUUGCGUUGGGGCUGCAACAUUGGUAGUGACUUUCUCAGAUAACUUCACAAAUCUGACCUUAGCUCCAAGCUAGUCAGCAUAGUAGCGAUCAAAUUCAUCACUUAGACUCUUGAUCUCUGACUGCAGAGCUACAAGUUCUCUAGGUGAAAGCUUCAAAACGUUUUGCUUCAGAAAGCGCUCUUUCUUGCACUGUGCUUUCUUCACCUUCCUCCCCUAUUCAUAUUUCCAUUUCUCCUCAUCAAUGAAGGCAGUCAACAUAUGACUUUGAGCAGGAGUGAGGUUCAUCUCAGGCAGAGGUGUGUUGGGGUCCUUGUGCCACAAGUCGAUGAAGUCGAGGACCAACUUUGGAUCCAGCAUCAAUGGCACAUUACUGCCUUUGGCUCUAGCGGCCCUGUGCUGCCUGUCUCUAAUGAUGCCAGCGAGUUCCUCAUCAUCAGCUUCGUCGUCAUCAGAUGACACUUGGAAGGCAACCUGCUUCUUGUGAGGACUUGGUCGAGAACCUCGUCUAGCAGUGGCCUUAGUCUUCAGCAGAGUGGGGCCAGUUGGGGAAUGCGGAGGAGCCGAAGAACUUGCACAGGCUCCUGAGGCAAUAGAGAUGCAUGUUGUCCUUUGGCACGAGGUGAGAUGCGCAGGUGCUUAGGAUUUGGAAGGAGGAGCUGAGGACUUUGGAGGAGCUGGUGCAGCUUGAGGAAUUUUCCGUGAGGGCUUUGCGGAGCUGGGCCGUGAGGGCAUUGCAUAUGAGCUUGGCUGUGAGGACAUUGGUGCAGAAGCCAUGGGCUUGUAUGCGGGCUUCUUGGGCAUGGCCUUCUUAGGCUUGCUAGCAGAUGCCUCAACAGCAGCAGCAGCAGAAUCUUCAUUGAAUUUCUUCAUUGUUUCUUUUUCCACUUUGGCCAGCUUGGCUUGACGCUUAACCCAUUCCUAUGGAAAUUCUUCACCUCUUCCGAUGCUAGAGGGAUCAGCUUCUUGGCUAGGUGCCAAUGGAGGUCUUGGGCAUGGAGGGUGUACAGUGAAUUACUUCAUGUACUUCGGAGUGACGUAGCGAUAUUCCCUCCAUUCUCUGGCCCAUCUCCUCUCUAUCCUCUGAAUGCGCACUUUGCGCUCAUUCUUAGUCUCCUUGCGAUGUUUGGCCUCAUUAGGAGUGCAAUAUUCAUCAUAGAUAUCCUCAGGAAUUUCAAACGCUGUGUUGACUUCCAAUUUCUUUCCUCCCUUCUGAGGUUUCUUGCCGUCAGCCAUUUUCUUCAGCUGAGGAAUCUGAACGAUAGAAUUCUCUGAAGAGGUGUGCAACUUUUCUUCGAGGAACGCUGCAAAUGAGUUAAGUUGAUGAGAACCUAGAGAUUCAGCAGCGGACAUGUGUACCUGUGAACAGAAUAUAGUUGCGAAGAAUUUGGAGAGGUCAUAUGCGUUCUCAGAAGUUUUUGCAAAUAGAACAAGUUUGAGGAAUUUGACCAGAUGUGUCUUGAGGAAUUUCACUAAGCGUUCUUUGACUUAGGUUCCAGAGUUCUACAGAUUGAAAAUCCACACAAUUGAGGAAUCUUGAAGAAAAAUGUUGCUUAGGGAAACAUAUCAAGAACAGAUGUUAUGUGAGGUGUUUAGUUUGUGAAGAUUUGAGGAAUAAACACCUUUUGAAGAUUUUGUAGAAAUCAUCAGAAUCAACAAGGGCAGUAAAAGUAACUUUUAAGUACCCUUGACGAAGAACACGACGAACUGGAAGUGUAGAUUUAGAAGUUCGUCAGUUCAAAUCUUCCACGCCCUAACUUGGCAGAGGAAAACAGCUACGGCGACGGCGGAGUGAAGAAGUCCGCUGUCGGUGUCAAAACCGGCGGAUCUCGGGUAGGGGGUCCCGAACUGUGCGUCUAAGGUUGAUGGUAAUAGGAGGCGGGGGACACGAUGUUUACCCAGGUUCGGGCCCUCUGUAUGGAGGUAAUACCCUACUUCCUGCUUGAUUGAUCUUGAUGAAUAUGAGUAUUACAAGAGUUGAUCUACCACAAGAUCAUAAUGGCUAGAACCCUAGAAGUCUAGCCUGUAUGAUUAUUAUUGCCCCUACGGACUAAGCCCUCCGGUUUAUAUAGACACCGGAGGGGACUAGGGUCGUACAAAGUCGGUUACAGAGAAAGGAAUCUUCAUAUUCAGAUGCCAAGCUUGCCUUCCACGCCAAGGAAAGUCGGUCUUGUAUCUUCAUAGCCCAUCAGUCCGGCCCAUGUCAACAGGUCGGACGUUCGAGGACCCCUUAGUCCAGGACUCCCUUAGUAGACCCUAAACCAGGCUUCAAUGAUGAGGUGUCCGUCGCGCUAAUUGUCUUCGGCAUUGCAAGGCGGGUUCCUCCUCUGUAUAUUCCAAAAUAGUUUUUGAACACAAGAAUCGUGUUCGGCUCUGCAAAACAAAUUCCACACACAACCGCGGAGAGUAUAAUAUUUCACGAGUCCAAUCCGCUGACAACUUUUUGUAGCAUGACAUCACGUCGCCGCCCGGCCAUUAUUUCGAACCAUUUUUUAGCCUACCGUUCCAUAUUUCGAGAUGCGGCUCCAUUGGCACGUCUUGUCAAAGUAGAGAUCGUGUCCCCUUAUCGCGGGAUUCUCAUCAAUACGGGCGUGGGUAAUCCAACCAUGCCGUCCGCACGGCCCUUGGGAACAGGCGAGUUUUUAGGGCGAGUGGGGAGGCGCUUGAUAUUCACUGCCUUUAUAAAGGGGCUGAGACCCGUCUUUCACCCACGCCUUCUGUCUCUCUGCCUCCCCCAUUCUCGAGCUCCAGCGCCCAAGUUCUCAUCUUUUCCGCCCCAAGAAAGCACUCCCACCAUGUCCGGAUCCAGAGCGCAGGGCAAGUGGAUGGUCUCCUCUGUCAAGGAGAAGGACAUUACGAAGCUCCGGGAGGCCGGGUAUCUGUCCAAGGAAAUCGCCCACCGGCUUCCGGCCAAGGGGCAGAUCGUCUCCACUCCGGAGCCCCAUGAGAGGGUGGUGUUCAUCCCCCACUUCCUCCGCGGGCUGGGAUUUCCUCUCCACCCAUUCGUCCGCGGAUUCUAUUACGGGCUAUAUUUCCAUGAUCUAGCCCCAAACUCUUUCCUCAACAUCUCGGCAUUCAUUAUCGUGUGCAAGGCCUUCCUCCGCAUUCCACCCCACUUCGGACUGUGGCUCAAGAUCUUCAACGUGAAGCCGAAGGUGGUGGACGGCCAACAUGCAGAGUGCGGAGGUGCCAUGGUGAGCAAGAUGCCCAAUGUCACAUGGCCCAAAGGUACCUUUGUGGAAACCAUCAAAGAGUGGCAGAAGUUGUGGUUCUAUAUCACAGAGCCCCGCGACGCUACCUGGGCCGCGGCUCCCGAAUUCAAGUCCGGAGCCCCAGUUCGACUCACCUCCUGGCUAGAGAAGGGCCUGAAUUGGUCUUCGUCAGACGAGCUGAUAGCGCUGCAAACGCGCAUCCAAAGCAUGGUGGCCAAGAACAUCAAGCUCGUCAAUGUGGUCCAGGUGAUGCUGGUUCGCCGGAUCCUUCCGUGCCAGAGCCGGAAUUGCCAUUUAUGGGAGUUCGAUCCGGCCGAGCACCAGACCUUGCAAUGGUUCUUCGGAACUAUGCACGAAGACAUCUGGAAGGUGCUCUUCAAGGGAAACGAGACGCGGCCGGAGACGACCGAGGACCGUGGGCACGCCCUGGCCCAUCCCGCCAGUGCGGUAAGUCUUUCAUGUUUCAAGGUGUAUUCGUUACUUGCUUAUUCAGGGAAGAUACCUAAACCUCAUUAUUUAUUAUUUCAGGGAUGGACAAAGAAGGCAGAGCAGAUUAAGUGUCCGGCUCCGCUGCCAGAAGAUCCAGAGAUCCCUCUUCUAACGAAGAUGGUGGUUCCGGCGCCCUACAAGGCACCGGAGAAGAAGGCCAAGAAGAAGGCCAAGGAGACCCGAAGUGGUCUCCAUCGCAAGGGUGCUUCGGACGUGACGUCCGAAGACACUGAAACCCACUCCUCCGCCGCCGAGGAUGAUGACAAAGAGGAGGAAGAAGGCAGCUCCCCCCUGAGGGGGGAAGGAAGAAGAGGGCGGCCUCCACGCGUCUGGAGGCCGAGGCAUCCAAGAAGGGGAAGGUCUCCCUCGCGGAUAACUCCGCAUGGGACAUCAACAGCAGCCCAGAGCGGCGCCCCUGAGAUAAGCCCCUGGCCGAAUCGUGAGUACUCAAAGACCCAGACACAUUCAUAUAUCCAGCCUCUCUACUUUAUAGUUUUAACAUGUUGAAUCGUGCACUUGGCAGUCCGGCUCGUUCCAUCCUCGAGCGAUCCUCAUCUAUGGGGAAUUUGCUGGACCCACACAUGAUGAACAACGGGUCCCUUCCGGCGGCCUCCUACCCUAGGGCCAUGGAUGACACCGAGUUGUAGUCCCGAAGGAUCCCAGGCCAGGGAGAGAAGCAGGAGGUUGUCAGGGCAGCGCCCGAGGGUGAAGCCUCGGCCGCCGGACAUAUGGGGGAGCAAAUCCCCAUGGAUACUGGCGACGGGGGCCAUGUCCAAUUCGGUCCCCAGCCAAAUACGGUCCCAGAGACUAGUAUGGCUCCAGAAUCCAGCAGGCAGCCUCCCUUGAAAGAAGGGGGUGUGCCCAUUUCUCCAGUGACCUCUGUCCAACCAGAGGCACCGGAUACUCUACUGGAAGCGCUGCAAAGUGCUUCCAUUGUUGAGGAACACCGUACCCUUAUGGGUACGGUGAUUGAGAAGAUUCAGUCUGCGAAGAGCGGACUGACCGAAGCCUGCACAAGCCUUCUAAUAUGCUUUGAGGUAAGCAACAUGAUUAUAUAAAAGAAAUGUCACAGUAUAGAUAGUACCCCCUGAGACUCUGUCCGGUGUUUGGAAAGAAAAGCCGGACAGAGGAUCAAACAAUUUUCACAGGAGACUAACCAAAUGUGUCAUGUGAACAAACAGGCGUCGCUACUGGCUGCGACCUCUCACUCUGCUGAGGUUUCCAGACUAAAGCAGAGUCUGGAGCGGGCCGAGGAAGAGCUCGGCCACGUAAAAAAGCAGCUAGAGGAGAAACGAGGUAAAUGUCCUUCUAUAUAUCAAAAAGGAUAGAUGAUUUGUAAUGACCGUAGUGUCAUGAUAUCUGUAGGAGUGGCGACCGAGGUGGAGGCCCUUAAAAAGGCACUGGCCGAGGCCAAGAAGAAAGCGGCAAAGGAGCAAGCCGCCCGUGAAAAGCACGAGGCCAGGAUCGAUGAGGUCCAGCAGGAGCUCCAGGACACCGUUAAGAAAUGCAAGUCCUUGGAGCGCAAGAGUGCGGAUCAAGAGUCCGAACUCGCCAAGGCUCGCCAGAGUGCACAAGAUGCCCGGGUGGAAGCCCAGGGCGCCCUCCAGGAAAUCCAAGAGGCCAAGAGAAUCGCGGCGGGUAAGGCCUUCAUUAUGCAAAGCAAAUAUGUGAAGAAGAGGUAUCCCUUACUAACCCGGAUUUGGAGUUCUCAAGGGGCGUUUGCGGAUCUGCCGCGCAGUGUUUCCGACACUGCGGAAUUCUUCCGAGCCGAAGAAGGGAGCUCAACGGAGAAGCUGUUCUGGUCGCAAUAUCUUGUGCCAGAACAUCCGGUGCCCUUUAGCGAUCAGCUAAAACAGCUGGUCGAACUGCAUAGGGUGGCCGAACUGGCCAUGAAGGAUUUAUAGUCCGGUUGUGGCCCGUCGAAGCCAUACCCAGCAGCUACUUCGGGCUCGUGAAGCGGAUGGUCAAUGCCUGCCCCCGGCUUGAUGCCAUCAAGCGGUCGGUCUACAUCGAAGGUGCGCGUAUGGCCUUCGCCCGUGUCAAGGUGCAGUGGGCGAAGAUGGAUGCCGUCAAGCUCGCGACCGAGGGACCGCCCGCUGGCAAGGAGCACUGCAUGCCCGAGCGGUAUUUUGGUGAUGUCCUGGAGGGAUCCCGCCUUGUAGUGGAGCAAUGUGCUAAGGAUAUUAUUUUUGAAUGAAUACAUUCAUGUUAUCCUGUCUUGUAUUAUGAGACAAAGCCGUUGUGUAAUAUAAUGUAUGUUUAUUAUUUGAAAAUUUACCUCCUGUGCGACCGUUUUCAUUAAGUCUGAGAGUUGGCCAGUCGUCGGCUUCAACCCCCACGUAAAUAGUAUGAGGGUGUUCGGGAUGGAAUCUAAACACUCUUGAUCCAAAGGUUUGGUCCUUGAAGGAGGUGUUUAGCGCAACGAGCCAGGCAAUCGGACUAUGUGGCUUUAUCACCCUCAGUUAGCCAUAGGAGUUUGACAAUAGAAAUUUAGGUGCAGCCCCUAGUGUUCUUAAGUCCGAACUUGGGGUGUUGUAAACACCUGAUCGGAUAAAAACCGAUUCAUCGCGUAAUGUGGGAAAAAUCGCAAAAGAUUUGUAACCUCUCGAACAGCUAACAGGCUCACGCCGCAUCAUGACAGCCAGUUUUCGGCUUUCUCUACUGAGGUGCUCAUCCGGAUAAACAAGGACACAAUUGCAGUAGUUCUCCCUUUACUACCCUAGCCGAUAUAGCGGAACGUAAGGUAGUAAGCACAGGAGUCGGGCAACCCAACUAUUGACCAAAGACAUGAUUCGGAGCCGAUGCAUAUAAUGCUAAAGUUCGGGGUGCCGAACUAUACUGUAAAAAGUGUUCGGACUUUGUUGCCGUGUUAUGGGGCGGAAUGAAGCCCCUGGCGAUUUAAGGCGUACCAAAGUGUACGGGUGCAAUUGAUAAGAAUAUCAAGAAAAAAUGAAGCAACAGGCCAAUGUUGCAGAAAUUGGCUCACAAACUUUUUCCAUUAUAGUUUGAUUAAUACGUCAAAGCGUAUUUGUAUAAAUAGUGCUAUAGGCAACAGGGCUAUUUAACAUGCCACGACCAAGACAGAGCUGCGUGUGGGUCCUGAAAACAGGCAUAACGGUCGUUUAAAGAGACCACCUGGAAAUUCCCUUAUACGUUAAUGCUUCUUGGUGUAUCCGUCCCUUGAUAGGUCCUACAAUCAGGCCACCAGGACAGGCUUGGAAAAAGGAAACCUGAAAAGGAUGAAAAAGAAAAAGUGAAAGUAGGUGGGUCCAGGGCAGGUUGAGCCGUAUUAUGGACCACAAUCUGGUUAUGCCUCCGUCUACGCCCAUGGUAUUUUAAGUGUGUAAUUAUGUAUGCGCGGUACGAACGCUGCCGUUUGGUCGGGACUGGGACAGAAGCCGAAUUGCUAGUCGAGUUCUUGACGAGCUGGAUUGUUUUGCUGCAGAGUAGUCCGCAUUCGUUUGAUAGUGUCCGGGAGCUUGGCCGCCGAAUUAAGGUUCUGUUUGAAAAGGCCGCUCCGUACUUCUGCUGCUAGGGCCGCGGUGUGUUCCUCGGUACGGAGGGAGCGCUCCGUAUUUCCAUUAACUGUUAUGACACCACGUGGUCCGGGCAUCUUGAGCUUCAGAUAAGCAUAGUGUGGCACCGCAUUAAAUCGAGUGAAUGCGGUUCGUCCAAGCAGUGCGUGAUAGCCGCUGCGGAAAGGGACGAUGUCGAAGAUCAAUUCUUUGCUUCGGAAGUUGUCCGGGGAUCCGAAGACCACCUCCAGUGUGAUUGAGCCCGUACAGCGGGCCUCUACACCUGGUAUGACUCCCUUAAAGGUUGUUUUUGUGGGCUUGAUCCUUGAGGGAUCGAUACCCAUUUUGCGCACUGUAUCCUGAUAGAGCAGGUUCAGGCUGCUACAACCGUCCAUGAGGACUCACGUAAGAUGGAUCCAUCAAUGAUUGGGUCGAGGACCAGUGCGGCUAAACCGCCAUGACGGAUACUGGUCAGAUGGUCCCUACGAUCGAAAGUGAUCGGACAACACGACCAUGGGUUGAACUUUGGGGCGACUGGCUCCAUCGCGUAAACGUCCUGAAGUGCGCGCUUGCGCUCCCUCUUGGGGAUAUGGGUAGCGUAUAUCAUGUUCACCGUUUUAACUUGGGGGGAAACUUCUUCUGUCCCCCUAUGUUUGGUGGCCGGGGCUCCUCGUCCUUGUCCUCGCUUUGCGACCCCUUCUCCUUGUUCUCGGCAUUUAACUUGCCGGCCUGUUUAAAAACCCAACAGUCUCUGUUGGUAUGAUUAGCUGGUUUAUUAGGAGUGCAGUGGAUUUGGCAUGGGCGAUCGAGUAUGCGGUCCAAGCUGGACGAGCCCGGAUUGUUUCUUUUAUAUGGCUUCUUCCGCUGACCGGACUUAGAGCCACUUAAUCCGCCGUUGACCGCCGUAUCGUCGGUGUUGUCACCGUUGCUUCGACGCCUGUGUCUGUUGCGUCGGGGCUUGCCGUUGCUAUUUCUGGUCUCAGAAGUGCCAGGUUCACUUGCAUUGUUAUUGCUACGGGCUAGCCAACUAUCCUCGCCCGCACAGAAGUGGGUCAUAAGUGCCGUGAGGACUGCCAUGGACUUCGGCUUUUCUUGGCCGAGGUGACGGGCGAGCCAUUCGUCGCGCAUGCUAUUCUUAAAGGCCGCUAGGGCUUCAGCAUCCGGGCAGUCGACGAUCUAGUUCUUUUUAGUUAAGAACCUGUCCAGAAUUUCCUGGCCGACUCUCCGGGCUGUUGAACUAUGUGACUUAAGUCAUCGACAUCUGGAGGUCAGACAUAUGUACCUUGGAAGUUGUCGAGGAAGGCGUCUUCCAAGUCCUCCCAGCUGCCAAUUGAAUUUUCGGGCAGACUAUUUAACCAGUACCGAGUUGGUCCCUUGACUUUUAGCGGGAGGUAUUUGAUGGCAUGAAGAUCAUCACCACGGGCCAUAUGGAUAUGGAGAAGAAAAUCCUCAAUCCAUACCGCGGGGUCCGUUGUCUCGUCGUAUGAUUCGAUGUUCAUGGGUUUAAACCCUUCCGGGAAUUCAUGGUCCAUUACUUCAUCAGUGAAGCAAAGGGGGUGUGCGGCACCUCUGUGCCGGGCCACGUCGCGACAUAGUUCGGAUGGUGUUCGUCGGUGGUGCUCGGCCCGGGCAUGGUUAUGUUUGUUACGCCCGGCCGGAUGGCCAUCGUCACGCAUCGGGGCAUGCCCCCGCGAUCCGUAGGUCGAUCUGGUCUGGCCUGCUCUGCUCUUCAGGUCAUGCCACAAGUCAUACGUGUAUCCCUGAGCUGUUGUGUCUCUUUUUUUAUGGUGAGGUAGUGCGGGCUGGUGUUCGUCUUGAGUCGCCACUUUGUCCCGGCCGCGUGGUGGUCGGUCAGCCGCAUUGCGCGUUGGUAAGAUGGCCUCGUCGUCGAAUUGGGGUAACAAUUUGCGCUUCGGGUAAGUUUUGGUUGGUCACUCGAGGCCGUAUUCCUCGGCUGCUGGGACAUCGGUCCAUCUGUCAUUGAGCAGAUCUUGGUCAGCUUGAAGCUACUGCUGCUUCUUUUUCAGGCUCCUCGCAGUGGCAAUUAGCCGGCGCUUAAAGCGCUCCUGCUCGUCGGGUUCCUCAGGCACGAUAAAGUCUUCGUCGCCGAGGCUCACCUCAUCCUCGGAGGGUGAAAUAUAGUUGUUGUCCUCCGAGUCUUCGUUCACGGCCUGUUCAUUAGGGCUAACUCGCCCAUCCUCCCGUUCAUCCUGUUCGGAAGUUGGUUCAACGGGGCCUUCGUUGUCUUCGGCUUCGUCCGGAGUAUUGUUUUCUCCUGUGCCAGUAUUGCUAUUUGCUCCAUGGCGUGUUUAGAGCGGCGCCGCUGAUGUCGGCGCUUUGGCUGUAUCUCAGGAGGUUUAUCCUCGACUGGAUUCUUCUCAUUGUCGCCGUUGUUCUCUUUGGGUGUGUCCACCAUGUAUACAUCAUACGAGGAGAUGGUUGUCCAGCGCCCUGUAAGCGGUGGUUUUUGCGCCUGCUCCUCUCCGGCAUCGUUGUCCAUACCGUCGAUGUCUUCGGAGCCGUAAUCAAGCUCGUCGGUUAAGUCUUCGAAAGUGGCUAUGAAAUGGUGGUGGGUGGGAAGCGUAAUUCUCCGUUAUCAGCUUCCAAUUCAAACCGGAUAUAGUUCGGUUGAGAAUCCCCCGAUAAGGAGAGGGCUUUUAAUGAGUUUAGCACAUCGCCCAAAGGUGAGUGCCGGAAGAUGUCCGCGGAGCUGAACUCGACGAUCGGCGCCCGAUCGGGUUUGAUGGGCGCGGAUGUACGCGGUCCGGAGCCUAUGGCCGGAGACGCUUCUGAGGUUCCGGUGACACAGGCCCCGCUUGAGGUUGGAUCUGUGUGCGGCUCUAACGCCGCUGAGUGUGCGGCCUCCGUGAGAGAGUUGAGCCUCCCGUCCUCGGUCGGCGCAUCCUGCUCCGGAUCCAGGGCCAGAGCAGUUAUAGGCGCUAUCUCCUGGGCAUGGUCCGAUGACAGAUUUAGGUCAUGUCCAUCGUGGUGGCAGGGAGCGGCCACCAUGGGCUCGAAUCCGUUGAAGAUCAAGUCUCCGCGGAUAUCGGCAACGUAAUUCAAGCUUCCAAACUUGACCUGAUGGCCAGGGGCGUAACUGUGCGUCUAAGGUUGAUGGUAACAGGAGGCGGGGGACACGAUGUUUACCCAGGUUCGGGCCCUCUCUACGGAGGUAAUACCCUACUUCCUGCUUGAUUGAUCUUGAUGAAUCUGAGUAUUACAAGAGUUGAUCUACCACGAGAUCGUAAUGGCUAAACCCCUAGAAGUCUAGCCUGUAUGAUUAUUAUUGCCCCUACGGACUAAGCCCUCCAGUUUAUAUAGACACCGGAGGGGACUAGGGUUGUACAAAGUCGGUUACAGAGAAAGGAAUCUUCAUAUUCAGAUGCCAAGCUUGCCUUCCACGCCAAGGAAAGUCCCAUCCGGACACGGGUGAGAGUCUUCGGUCUUGUAUCCUCACAGCCCAUCAGUCCGGCCCAUGUCAACAGAUCGGACGUCCGAGGACCCCUUAGUCCAGGACUCCCUCAUCCACGGCCGGCGCGAGUACGACGGCGACGAGGUCGAGGCAGUGAAGCUCUUCCUCACCGGCGAUGAUGGAAGUAGCGGCGGCUCUAGGUUUUGAGAGCUCGAGCGAGGGAGCGAGAUCGAGAGGAGUAAAAACAAAGUGAGGAAGGGAGGGGGUAUUUAUAGCCGUGGUGAAAAACUGCUCGCCCGAGGAAAUUGGGCGAACGUGCCCCUGACCCUUCUCAUUCGCGUGACAUGUGUCACCCACAUACUGAGAGGUGGCGAUCGUGCGAGAUCGUGGGUGAAUAGAUAAAUCCAUCAUGGAAUGUGGAACGGUUUGAGCGGCAAACGCUGAAAAUUCAGAUAAGAUAAUUUUAAAGUUUCGUUCGCAAAUUCUUCAGCUGACAAGGACACAGUGAAGAUUUUGAACGAGUUUCAAAUAGAACGCACAUGAAGAAUUUGUGAAUAGACUGGGUUGAGUUUAGCAUAGAGGGGAAGGGUCCGAUCACAUUCACUUAGUAGAAAAGGCAACAUGAGGAAUUAGCAAUAAGUGAAUGCUAUAGAGGACAUAAACACACACACAGAUAUAUAUAUAUAUAGCCAAUGAAGAACAACAACGGAAUCAGUGAAGAUAAUGCCAAGUUGAAGAAAUUUAACAACUGUGGAAUUUCAAAAAAAAAUCAAAUUGAAGAUUUUCAACUUUUGUUGGUGGCGUGACCCACCGUAUAAGAAUGAUGAUUUCAGACACCGCGUACAAUUGUCAUAGGGCUCUGAAAUCAAAUUCUUCGUUAAUUUCUUCACACUUAGAGUGUUAGUCUUCAUUGAUUGAAGAAAAAUGUUUCUUCGUGUGUUGCACAUAUAAGUCAUCAAUUUUGCAUAAGUGUUAGGAUGUGUGUCCUUUUCAAAGGACAUUCGAAGAUUCUAGGAUAUUUAGCUCACACCGCAACUUGCUAAAUCUCUUCUCAUCCAAGGGCUUUGUGAAGAUAUCGACUAGUUGUUCUUCAGUCUUCACAUGCUCAAUAGAGAUGUCGCCCUUCAACACAUGAUCACGAAGAAAAUGAUGACGAAUCUGAAUGUGCUUUGUCUUCGAGUGCUGAACUGGGUUAUGAGCAAUCUUGAUGGCAAUCUCAUUGUCACAGUAGAGAGGCACAUUCUUCAUGUUGACUCCGUAGUCCUUGAGCGUUUGCUUCAUCCAUAGCAAUUGAGCACAGCAAGAACCAGCAGCAAUGUACUCAGCGUCAGCAGUAGACAGUGAUACGCAGUUCUGUUUCUUCGAGGACCAACAUACCAAGGAUCGUCCAAGGAAAUGGCAUGUGCCUGAUGUUGACUUGCGGUCCACACGGUCACCAGCAUAGUCAGAGUCUGAAUAUCCAAUGAGAUCAAAAGCCAAGCCCUUGGGAUACCAUAAUCCAAGUGUUGGUGGGUGAGCUAGAUAUCGAAGAAUCUGCUUCACAGCCUUAUGGUGUGAUUCCUUCGGUGUAGCUUGAAAGCGGGCACACAUGCAAACUCUAAGCAUAAUAUCUGGCCUAGAUGCACAUAAAUACAAUAAAGAACCAAUCAUGGAGCGGUAUACCUUUUGAUCGAAGUCAAUAACAUUUUCAUCAGUGCAUAGAUGGCCAUUUGUGGGCAUAGGGAUUUUGACGCCUUUGCAAUCUUGCAUGCCGAAUUUCCUCAGUACAUCCUUGAGGUAUUUCUCCUGAGAUAUGAAUAUGCCAUUGCGUUGUUGAUGAAUUUGAAGACCUAAGAAGAAUUUCAAUUCUCCCAUCAUAGACAUUUGAUAUUCUUCACUCAUCAUAUAGGCAAAUUCAUCACUGUAACGUUGGUCAGUACAGCCAAAGAUGAUAUCAUCAACAUAUAUUUGGCACACAAACAAUUCACCGUCAUAAGAUUUAGUGAAAAGAGUUGGGUCAAGUGAACCGGGUUUGAAGCCUUUCUUCAUGAGGAAUUCCUUCAAAGUAUCAUACCACGCCCGAGGGGCCUGCUUGAGGCCAUAGAGGGCCUUAUUGAGUCUGAAGACAUUGUCAGGAUGCUUUGGAUCUUCAAAACCUGGGGGUUGAGCAACAUAUACUUCUUCCUCAAUCUUACCAUUGGGAAUGCAUUUUUUACAUCCAUUUGAUAUAAGAUGAUGUCAUGAUGGUUAGCAUAAGCAAGUAAUAUGCGAAUAGCCUCAAGUCUAGCAAUAGGUGCAAAAGUUUCAUCGAAAUCAAUUCCUUCAACCUGUGUGUAGCCUUGAGCUACAAGCCGUGCCUUAUUCCUCACCACAAGGCCAUUUUCAUCUUGCUUGUUGCGGUAGAUCCACUUUGUGCCAAUGAUAUUGUGCUUGCGAGGGUCUGGUCGCUUGACAAGUUCCCAGACGUUGUUGAGCCGAAUUGAUGUAAUUCCUCUUGCAUAGCUUGAAUCCAUUCAGGCUCCAGAAAUGCUUCAUCUACCUUAGUGGGCUCUGUGAUAUAGAUGAAAGCAAAGUGCCCACAAAAGUUGGACAAAUGUGAAGCUUUUGAGCGUGUGAGAGGACCUGGUGCGUUGAUGUCGCUGAUGAUUUUCUCAAUCUACACUUCAUGUGCAACGCGAGGAUGAGCAGGUUGUCGUCGAGGAAUUUGAUCAGCAUUUUCUUCAGCACCAUUUUCCUCAGGUGCAUCAGUAUGAUGUUCUCACGUUCUGGAAUGACUUCUUCAACAGAUUCUUCGGUAGGAAUGACAUCCUCAGUGGCCUUGAACUUGAUGGUUUCCUCAGGUGACUUUUCAUCUAGCACAGGAGGUAGGUGCUCUCUUUGCGAGCCAUUAGUUUCACCGAACCGCACAUCUACAGUUUCAACAACUUUGUGGUGAACGUUGUUGAAGACUCUGUAGGUGUGCGAGUCCUUUCCGUAACCAAGCAUAAAACCUUCAUGUGCUUUCGGUGCAAAUUUGGAAUUGUGAUGAGGAUCUCUAAUCUAACAUUUAGCACCGAAGACAUUGAAAUAACUCACAUUGGGUUUCUUGUCAGUGAGGAGUUCAUAUGCAGUCCUCUUGAAGAAUUUGUGAAGAUAUACCUUGUUGAUGAUGUGGCACGCAGUAUCAAUUGCCUCAAUCCAGAAAUGACGAGGCGUCUUGUAUUCAUCAAGCAUAGUGCGAGCCAUCUCAACAAGAGUCCUGUUCUUGUGCUCCACGACGCCAUUCUGCUGAGGAGUAUAAGGAGUAGAUAACUCAUGAGUAAUACCAAGUUCAUCAAGAUAGUCAUCAAGACCAGUAUUCUUGAACUCAGUUCCAUUGUCACUUCUUUUGUGCUUGAUCUUCACACCAAAGUUGGUUGAAGCCCUUGAGGAAAAUCGUUUGAAGACUUCCUGCACUUCACGUUUGUAAGUGACAAUAUGCACCCAUGUGUAACGAGAGUAAUCAUCUACGAUAACAAAGCCAUAUAGAGAAGCUUCAUUUGUGAAUGCAGAAUAGUGGUUAGGACCAAAGAGAUCCAUGUGAAGCAAUUCAAAUGGUCGAGUGCUAGUCAUGAUAGUCUUUGCUGGAUGCUUGGCCUUGCUCAUCUUUCCAGCUUCACAAGCUCCGCACAAGUGAUACUUGAGGAAUUGGACAUUCUCAAUGCCAAUGACGUGCUUCUUCUUCACGAGUGUGUGCAAGUUCCUCAUGCCAGCAUGACCAAGUCGUCGAUGCCAUAGCCAGCCUUCUGAAGCUUUUGCAAGUAGACAUAUAGCUGGUUGUGGCCCUGUAGAGAAAUCAAUAAUAUACAGAUCUCCUCUCCUAAAGCCUUCGAAGACUUUGGAAUUGUCAGCUUCCAUGAUCACAACACAACGAUACUUGCCAAAGAUAACAACCAUAUCAAGAUCACAAAGCAUUGAGACUGGCAUGAGGUUGAAUCCUAAGGACUCGACAAGCAUGACUUUGUCCAUGUGUCGAUCCUUUGAGAUCGCAACCUUACCUAGACUCAAUACCUUGAUUUUUCCUUUGUCAGCGUAGGUGAUAUGCUUCAGAUAAGAUGGAGAUAAGGGAGCAUCCAUCAAUAGAUUCUUGUCACCAGUCAUGUGAUUUGUACAUCCACUAUCGAGGACCCACUCAGUGGCUUUGGGUAGAUCAUCUUGCAGAUGAAUUAGUGCAACUUACGAACUCAUAUACUUCAUCAGUGAAGAAAAUGACAUCAAUUUCAUCAGAUCAAUUUCAUCAAGCAAUAGAACAGAUAAAGCAGUAUGAGGACGUGAGAAAUGAGGAUUCAUUUCUUCAUGAUUAGCCUGCGUCCUUUCAGGCAUUUUCGGGUCCCCAGCAAAUUCUUCAGACGUUUAAUCACGUCUGGAGAACCAACUCUGCAUAAGAGAUUAGUUCUUUUUCUUCACCACACACAUCUGAAGGGGUGGCAAAGAGUUCAUCAUUCUGCGAGCUCCAUAAGAGAAAGGUGGCAUAGAAGCUAGUCCACUUCGUUUCACAUAAGAGGAGUUAGGGUAAGCAUAUGAAUAAGCAAAGAAAUUCUUCGAGGACUUAUGAACAUAAUGGUUAGAAGAAUAAUGCACAUAUUCAUAGCCCUUAGAUUUUUCCUGUGAAACCGAAGUGUUAGCAUGAUGAUGAUCAUAUGAGGAUUUUGAUCCUUUUGAGGAAUUUGAUCCACGUGAGGAAUUCGGUCCGUAUGAGGACUUGGAUCCAUAUGAAGAAUUUGGUCCAUAUGAAGAAUUUGAUCUGGGGUUCCUAUUCUUCACAGGUGGUGUCAUGAUGACAUUCACCUGAAGACUUUCAAGGCAUCUUUUGGGAACCCAUAUUUUCUUCAUAGGAGAACCGUUCCUGCAGUUAGUGCCAACAUAUCUAGGAAAUACUUCACCAUUCUGAUUUUUGAACAGUUUAUAGUUGGAGUCAAAUGACUCAUCAGAAGAAUGAGAAGAUUCACAUGUAAAGCCAGAUAAAGUAGAUGGAUCUACUGGAGUUCCCUUUGCAGUAACCCAUGAGGUUUUGGGAUACUGCUCAGGCUUCCAGUAUGUCCCAUCAGCAUUGAGUUUGCUCUCAAAGGCAAUACCCUCUUUCCUAGGGUUCCUAUUGAGGAUAUGCUUUUUAAGCACAUCACAAAGAGCCUGAUGCCCUUUGAGGCUUUUGUACAUGCCUGUCAUAUACAAUUCCUUCAGCCAUGCAUUGUCAGUGAUACUAGUAAUAUCCUCAGAUGAGGAAUUAGUGAUGGCAGAGACAGGUGAAGAAUUUGUAACAGUAGAAGCAUUUGAACAUUCAGGUGAAGAAUUAGCAGAUUCACGUUCAAUGCACUUCAAACAUGGUGGAAUAAAUUCUUCCUGAGCAGCGCUGAUUUGUUGAGCAAGUAAUGAAUCACGCUCCUUCUGAAGAUCUUCAUAACUCACCCUUAGCUUCUCAAGAUCUUGCUUUCUUUGAAGAAAUUCAUAAGAAAGCUUCUCAUGAUCAGAUAAGAGAGUGUUAUGAUGACUUUGAAGGUUAUCAAACUUAGACUGAAGUCUCUGAAGAUUUUUAGUCAAAGUUUUGGUGCGAUCCAUCUCUUCACCCAACAUAUCAUCACUUUUGUCUAGCAUAUUUUGAACCUUUUCAAAAGCCUUUUGUUGUUUCAAAGCAAUCUUAGAAAGUUUAGAGUAGCUUGGCUUGAGGUUUUCAUCAGAUUCAUCCUCAGAUGAUUCAGAGGAGGGAUAUUUGAGUACCUUGGCACCCUUUGCCAUGAAGCAAUAGGUGGGAGCGUAGUCAUCAUCUCCGUCAUCAGCCUUGUUGAGGAAGUCAUUCUCCUCAGAGUUGAAGAUGGACUUGCUGACGAACGCAGUAGCGAGGGCUAAGCUCGCCACACCAGAUUCUGACUCCUCAGAUGCCUCCUCUUCCUCAUGUUCCUCAGAUUCAGCUUCAGAGUCCAUUUCCUUGCCAAUGAAUGCCCGAGCCUUCUUGGAGUUGCUCUUCUUGUGAGAUGAAGACUUCAAGGAUUUUGAUGAUGAAGACUUUGAAGAUUUCUUCUUCUUCUUUGAGUCAUCAGAAUUGUAAUCCUUGUAUUUCUUCUUCUUUGAUUCCUUUUCCCACUGAGGACAGUCUUGAAUGUAGUGACCAAGUUUCUUGCAUUUGUGGCACAGUCUCUUCUUGUAGUCACGGGAUGAGGAAUCAUCACUUCUUGAGGAUUUUCCAAAGCGACCACGUCUUGAGAACUUCUGGAAUUUCUUUACGAGCAUUACUAGCUCCUGGCUCAGUUCUUCAGGAUCACCAAGGCUGCUACCAGAAUCCUCACCUUCAGAUUUAGAUACUGCCUUGGCCUUCAGAGCGCGUGAUCUGCCAUAGCUCGGUCCAUAGAGAUCUCUCUUCUCAGCAAGCUGGAAAUCAUGAGUGUUUAGCCUUUCGAGGAUAUCAGCGGGAUCAAGUGACUUGUAGUCUCCACGUUCUUGUAUCAUCAGUGCAAGGGUAUCAAAUGAGGAAUCAAGCAAUCUCACCAAUUUCUUCACCACCUCAUGGUCGGUGAUGUCAGUGGCGCCAAGUGCUUGAAGCUCAUUUGAGAUGUCAGUGAGGCGAUCGAAGGUUUGCUGAACAUUUUCAUUGUCGAGUCUUUUGAAGCGCUUGAAGAGAUUGCGAAGAACGUCAACUCGAGAGUCACAUUGUGUUGAGACUCCUUCAUUGACCUUGGACAGCCUAUCCCAAAUGAUCUUAGCUGUCUCCAAAGCACUCACUCUACCAUACUGCCCUUUGCUCAGAUGACCACAUAUGAUGUUCUUCGCUUGAGAAUCGAGUUGCUUGAAUCUCUUCACAUCAGCAGCGUUCAGGGAAGGUGAGACAGUGGGAACGCCAUUCUCCACAACGUACCAGAGAUCGUUGUCAAUUGCCUGAAGAUGCAUACGCAUCUUAUUCUUCUAGUAGGGGUAGUCCGUCCCAUCGAAGGUAGGACACCUAGCAGAGACCUUGAUCAUACCUGCAGUCCACAUAACUAAAACUCUAGGCGAUUAAACCAAAAUCACACAGAACAAGGGAGUACCUUGCUCUGAUACCAAUUGAAAGUGCGUUAAGUCGACUAGAGGGGGGUGAAUAGGCGAUUUUUAUAAAUUCUUCACUGAGGAAUUUCUGGGUGAGGAAAUUCCUUAGCGAAGAACUACUUACAGCGAAAUAAGUACUCAGAUGCAAACAUGACAGAACAUGAGCAUGGUCAUCAUGAUGAAAUGAAAACAAGCAUAGAGCACAGAAAGCGUAAACACAGGAUAAACAGGAAGAAGACAAACAGACUGAAGAAAUUAAACUGAGGAAAUUGAGAAAGUCUUCAGACAAAGUCUUCAAACAGAUAUGAACAAGCACACAACACAGUAAUGAGGAAAUGGAAGGGUUGAGGAAAUAGAACCUGUAGGCUUGGUGAAGAUAAUGAUUUGGUAGACCAGUUCCAACUGCUGUGACAGUUGUACGUCUGGUUGGAGCGGCUAGGUAUUUAAACCUGAGGACACACAGUCCCGGACACACAGUCCCGGAAACAUAGUCCUCACCGUAUUAUCCUUGAGCUAAGGUCAUACAGACCUCGCCCAAUCACUCGUGGUAAGUCUUCAGGUGACUUCCAAACCUUCACAGACUCGGUCACUCGGCGAUCCACAAUUUCCUCUUGGAUGCUCUAGACCAUGACGCCUAACCGUGUGGAAGAUGCACAAUCUUCAAAGGUAACAAGCGUCGGAUCCAUGCAGGAUCAAUCUCUUCAGUGAUGCUCAACCACUUUGGGUUUGUAGGUGUUUGGGUUUGGGUUUUCCUCACUUGAUGAUUUUCGCUCAAAGUCCUCGGAGGAUGGGAUGCUCUCAAUGACAAGUGUCAGUUUCUCUCGGAGCAGCCCACCAGCUAGUGGUUGUAGGGGACGGCUAUUUAUAGCCUAGGGAGCAGCCCGACAUGAUAAGACAUAAAUGCCCUUCAAUGAUAUGACCGUUAGGUGGGGAGAUAUUUUGGGACAGCUGGCGUGUACCACAGCAAUGGUCGGAAAUUUGACUAUCAAAUUCCUCAGGGAUAUCAUGUUCCUCACUUGUAGGCAAUCCGCACUGGCGAAUUCCUAACUCCUCAGUCAAAACAAAUUCCUCAGAGACCAGAAGAACUUCGUCUCUGUCACUGAAGAAAUUGACUAAACUGUAUGAGAUUUCCAAUGGCUUCACUCGAAAGGAUUGGUAGGUGUAGGAUUUGAGUUGAGCAUCACUUGGAAAUUUUUCCUUAGUAUUUCCUCGACCCCCUUUAACAGUACGGUGUUUCCUAUGACUCAACAAAGACAAAAUAAAACUACGAAAACAAAAUUCUUCAUGCUUCAUGUUCCUCGCAUGAAAUCCAAGUCUUCACGGUCACACCAAUUUCUUCACUUUCAAAGUCUUCAGAAAGUCUUCAGAAAUCCAAAGUCUUGAGUUGAAGACAAUCAUUUUUAGGGGUCGACUUUCUCUGUAAAUAUCAAACUCCUCAUAGACUUAUAGACAUGUGUACACUCACAAACACAUUAGUCCCUUAACCUAUAUGUCUUCAAUACACCAAAAUCACUAAGGGGCACUAGAUGCACUUACAACCCUGUCCGCCAACUGCUGGCCGACAGCUGGCCCAUCGGCCACGUGUCGGCCGAUGGCUAGGACACGUCGCGGGGGAGUAGUCGGCCACUAGCGCCCCUGUAUGCCACCCACGGGCCGAUCGGCCAGCUGCGAGCUGACAGGGUGCGGGCCCCACCGCGAUUGUCUUCUUCCUCCCCUUCUCCUCCUUUCUUCUCCCACGCAAAGCUCUCUCUUCUUUCUCCUCUUUCUUACCUGAAAGGCCUCCAAUUUCUACACCAAACUGAGCCUUUUUUGCGGAUUUGGGACCGUGGAUGCGUUCUACGUAGUUAGGGGAGCCAAGGGAGACCUCGAUCUACUGAUGGGAUAGCUCUUGGUGGUCGUGGUGAGCAUUUUGUUGGAGCUUUUUUUAGCACAUUGGUGGAGGUUGUGGCGGCGGUGGUGGUGGUGAAGCUCGGGCAGUGUGGUGGAGGUGGUGGAGGUGAAGCUCCCGCAGUGUGGCGGAGUUUCCGGCUCUGGUUCCGGUGAUUGAAGGCCGCCGCUCGUUGUUCCUUCGCAUACUUCAAGGGUAUAUUUCAACACACAUUUUAUCUUUCGUAGUUGCUCCGGUAGUAUUUGGUAAUAUGUUUCGAUGUGAAAUAUAUUAUGUGUGCGGUUAUUGUUAUUUGCUCGGAUAGUAACCCGUAAUAUAUUUAAAUGUCAACUAUUCGUGUGAAAUUUUGAAGUUGCUCCGGUAAUAUUCUGUACUAUAUGUGGAUGUCAAAUAUUUAGGUAUGCCAGUAUUUGUAGUUGCUCCGGUAAUAUCGGUAAUAUAUGUAGAUGUCAAAUAUUUAGUUCUGUCAAUAUUUGUAGUUGCUCCGGCAAUAUUCGUAAUAUAUUUAGAGUUUAAAUUUGUAGGUGUCUGAAUUUUUCUAGUUGCUCCAGUAAUAUUCCGUAAUAUAUAUACAUGUCAAAUAUUUAGUAGUGCGGACAUUUGAAGUUGCUGCUUAAUACUUGUCUGUCGUUGUUGAAAACGAAUUUUGGUGAGCCGAGAUGUCUGAUGUAGUGAAGUUUGCAUUUUACUACGGUCCUGGUACUGUCCAAACAACUGAGAUGGGAGAUGAUCUGAGUGAAUUUGAUCACAUAGAGGUGCCACUGACCGCUCCUUAAACAGGGUCAGUCAGUCAGUUGAAAGAAUGGGUGAGAGCAAGUUUAGGGCUUGAUACUCGGUGUUCAUGCAUUAUGGACAUGGUCAAGUUCAAUCAUUUACUUUUAUUUGAGGCCAAUAGAGCGAGACUCUGAGUGGGUGCGGUGGUUACAAGGUUGUGAACGCAGGGGAUGCAAUCCUGUUGCGUUAGUGCUUCCCGUCGUGAAGGAGGUAAGUGCAUAUGAAGGCGAGGGUGGCUACGUUCCUGGCCAGAGCAGUGAAGGGAUGCAAUUAUCUAUGUCAAAUGAUGGUUACGAACCAGGACAGAGCAGUUAGGUAGAAGGAGGAAAUGCCGAUGGUUACAUGUUGGGGAACGUAGCAGAAAUUUAAAAUUUUCUACGUAUCACCAAGAUCAAUCUAUGGAGUCAUCUAGCAACGAGAGAGAGGGGAGUGCAUCUACAUACCCUUGUAGAUCGCGCGCGGAAGCGUUCAAGAGAACGGGGUUGAUGGAGUCGUACUCGUCGUGAUCCAAAUCACCGAUGAUCCUAGCGCCGAACGAACGGCACCUCCGCGUUCAACACACGUACGGAGCGGGGACAUCUCCUCCUUCUUGAUCCAGCAAGGGGGGAGGAGAAGUUGAUGGAGAUCCAGCAGCACGACGGCGUGGUGGUGGAUGUAGCGGGAUCCCGGCAGCGCUUCGCCAAGCGCAAGCGGGGAGGAAGAGGUGUCACGGGAGGGAGGGAGGCGCCAGGGCUUGGGUUGCUGCUCCCAUGCGCAGCCCCACUAUAUAUAGGGGUGGAGGGGGCUGGUUUCUUGCCCUCCAAGUCCAUUGGGGCGUUGGCAAAGGUGGGGGAAAGAAAUCCCAUCAUUUCCCUUCCCCACCGAUUGUUAUCCCCCUUUUUUAGGGAUCUUGAUCUUAUUCCUUCUAAGGUGGGAUCUUGGUGUGCCUUGACCAGGGGUGUGGGGCCUUGCCCCCACUACCCACGUUCAUGUGGGUCCCCCCAUGCAGGUGGGCCGCACUUCGGAACAUUCUAGAACCUUCCCGGUACAAUACUGAAAAAUCCCGAACAUUUUCCGGUGGCCAAAAUAGGACUUCCCAUAUAUAAAUCUUUACCUCCGGACCAUUCCGGAACUCCUCGUGACGUCCGGGAUCUCAUCUGGUACUCCGAACAACUUUCGGUUAACCGCAUACUAAUAUCUCUACAACUCUAGCGUCACCGAACCUUAAGUGUGUAGACCCUACGGGUUCGGGAGACAUGCAGACAUGACCGAGACGACUCUCCGGUCAAUAACCAACAGCGGGAUCUGGAUACCCAUGUUGGCUCCCACAUGUUCCACGAUGAUCUCAUCGGAUGAACCACGAUGUCGAGGAUUCAAUCAAUCCCGUAUACAAUUCCCUUUGUCAAUCGGUACGUUACUUGCCCGAGAUUCGAUCGUCGGUAUCCCAAUACCUUGUUCAUUCUCGUUACUGGCAAGUCACUUUACUCGUACCGUAACGCAUGAUCCCGUGGCUAAAUCCUUAGUCACAUUGAGCUCAUUAUGAUGAUGCAUUAUCGAGUGGGCCCAGAGAUACCUCUCCGUCAUACCGAUUGACAAAUCCCAGUCUCGAUUCGUGCCAACCCAACAGACACUUUCGGAGAUACCUGUAGUGCACCUUUAUAGCCACCCAGUUACUUGUGACGUUUGGUACACCCAAAGCAUUCCUACGGUAUCCGGGAGUUGCACAAUCUCAUGGUCUAAGGAAAUGAUACUUGACAUUAGAAAAGCUCUAGCAAACGAACUACACGAUCUUGUGAUAUGCUUAGGAUUGGGUCUUGUCCAUCACAUCAUUCUCCUAAUGAUGUGAUCCCGUUAUCAAUGACAUCCAAUGUCCAUGGUCAGGAAACCAUAACCAUCUAUUGAUCAACGAGCUAGUCAACUAGAGGCUUACUAGGGACAUGUUGCGGUCUAUGUAUUCACACAUGUAUUACGGUUUCCAGUUAAUACAAUUAUAGCAUGAACAACAGAUAAUUAUCAUGGACAAGGAAAUACAAUAAUAACCAUUUUAUUAUUGCCUCUAGGGCAUAUUUCCAACAGUCUCCCACUUGCACUAGAGUCACUAAUCUAGUUCACAUCACCAUGUGAUUAACACUCAAAGUUCACAUCGCCAUGUGACUAAUACCCAAGAGUUUACUAGAGUCAAUAAUGUAGUUCACAUCACCAUGUGAUUAACACUCAAUGAGUUAUAGGGUUUGAUCAUGUUAUGCUUACGAGAGAGGUUUUAGUCAACGGGUCUGCAACAUUCAGAUCCGUGUGUGCUUUACAAAUCUCUAUGUCAUCUUGUAGAUGCAGCUACCACGCGCUACUUGGAGCUAUUCCAAAUAACUGCUCUACUAUACGAAUCCGGUUCACUACUCAAAGUCAUCCGGAUUAGUGUCAAAGUUUGCAUCGACGUAACCCUUUACGAUGAACCCCCUUUCCACCUCCAUAAUCGAGAAAAUUCCUUAGUCCACUAGAUACUAAGGAUAAGUUCGACCGCUGUCAUGUGAUCCCUUCCUGGAUCACUAUUGUACCCCUUGACUAACUCAUGGCAAGGCACACUUCAGGUGCGGUACACAGCAUAGCAUAUUGUAGAGCCUACGUCUAAAGCAUAGGGGACGACCUUCGUCCUUUCUCUUUCUUCUGCCAUGGUCAGGUCUUGAGUCUUACUCAAUACUCACACCUUGUAACACAGCCAAGAACUCCUUCUUUGCUGAUCUAUUUUGAACUCCUUCAAAAUCUUGUCACGGUAUGUAUUCAUUUGAAAGUACUAUUAAGCGUUUUUGAUCUAUCCUUAUAGAUCUUGAUGCUCAAUGUUCAAGUAGCUUAAUCCAGGUUUUCCAUUAAAAACACUUUUCAAAUAACCCUGGAUGCUUUCCAGAAAUUCUACAUCAUUUCUGAUCAACAAUAUGUUAACAACAUAUACUCAUCAAAAAUUCUAUGGUGCUCCCACUCACUUCUUUGGAAAUACAAGUUUCUCAUGAACUUUGUAUAAACCCAAAAUCUUUGAUCAUCUCAUCAAAGCGUUCAUUCCAACUCCGAGAUGCUUACUCCAAUCCUUAGAAGGAUUGUUGGAGCUUUGCAUACUUGUUAGCAUCUUUCAGGAUUGACAAAACCUUCUGGUUGUAUCACAUACAACCUUUCCUCAAGAAAAUCGUCGAGGAAACAAUGUUUUGAUAUCCUAUCUGCAAGAUUUCAUAAAUAAUGCAGUAACUGCUAAUAUAAUUCUAACAGACUCUUAGCAUCGCUAUGAGUGAGAAAGUCUCAUCGCAGUCAACUCCUUGAACUUGCCGGAAAACAUCUUAACGACAAGUCGAGCUUUCUUAAUGGUGACACUUACCAUCAUUGUCUGUCUUCCCUUUAAAAUCCAUCUGUACCCAACAGCCUUACGACCAUCAAGUAGUUCUUUCAAAGUCUAUACUUUGUUUUCAUACAUGGAUCCACUCGGAUUUUAUGGUCUCGAUCCAUUCGUCGGAAUCCGGGCCCACCAUCGCUUCUCCAUAGCUCGUAGGUUCAUUGUUGUCUAGCAACAUGACUUCCAAGACAGGAUUACGUACCACUCUGAAGUAGUACGCAUCCUUGUCGUCCUAUGAGGUUUUGUAGUGACUUGAUCUGAAGUUUCAUGAUCACUAUCAUAAGCUUCCACUUCAAUUGGUGUAGGUGCCAUAGGAACAACUUCCUGUGCCCUGCUACACAUUAGUUGAAGUGACGGUUCAAUGACCUCAUCAAGUCUCCACCAUCCUCCCACUCAAUUCUUUUGAGAGAAACUUUUCCUCGAGAAAGGACCCGUUUCUAGAAACAAUCACUUUUGCUUCCAGAUCUGAAAUAGGAGGUAUACCCAACUGUUUUGGGUAUUCUAUGAAGAUACAUUUAUCCGCUUUGGGUUCGAGCUUAUCAGCCUGAAACUUUUUCACAUAAGCGUCGCAGCCCCAAACUUUUAAGAAACGACAACUUAGGUUUCUCUAAACCAUAGUUCAUACGGUGUCGUCUCAACGAAAUUGCGUGGUGCCCUAUUUAAAGUGAAUGCGGUUGUCUCUAAUGCCUAACCGAUAAACGAUAGUUGUAAUUCGAUAAGAGACAUCAUGGUAUGCACCAUAUCCAAUAGGGUGCAGUUAUGAUGUUCGGACACACCAUCACAAUAUGGUGUUCCAGGCGGUAUUAGUCGUGAAACAAUUUCCACAAUUUCUUAAUUGUGUGCCAAACUCGUAACUCAGAUAUUCAUCUCUAUGAUCAUAUCACAGACAUUUUAUCCUCUUGUCACGACGAUCUUCAACUUCAUCUGAAAUUACUUGAACCUUUCAAUAAUUCAGACUUGUGUUUCAUCAAGUAAAUAUUCUCAGCAUCUACUCAAAUCAUCUGUGAAGUAAGAACAUAACGAUAUCCACUGCGUGCCUCAGCACUCAUUGGACUGCACACAUCAAAUGUAUUACUUCCAACAAGUUGCUCUCUUGUUCCAUCUUACUGAAAACGAGGCCUUUCAGUCAUCUUGCCCAUGUGGUAUGAUUUGCAUGUCUCAAGUGAUUCAAAAUCAAGUGAGUCCAAAUGAUCCAUCUGUAUGGACUUUCUUCAUGCAUAUAUACUAAUAGACAUGGUUCGCAUGUCUCAAUCUUUUCAAAAACGAGUGAGUCCAAAGAUCCAUUAACAUGGAGCUUCUUCAUGCGUUUUAUACCAAUAUGAAUCAAGUGACAGUGCCACAAGUAUGUGGUACUAUCAUUACUAUCUUAUAUCUUUUGGCAUGAACAUGUGUAUCACUACGAUCGAGAUUCAAUAAACCAUUCAUUUUAGGUGCAAGACCAUUGAAGGUAUUAUUCAAAUAGACAGAGUAACCAUUAUUCUCCUUUAAUGAAUAACCGUAUUGCGAUAAACAUAAUCCAAUCAUGUCUAUGCUCAACGCAAACACCAAAUAAUAAUUAUUCAGGUUUAACCCCAAUCUUGAUGGUAGAGGGAGCAUGCAAUGCUUGAUUGCAUCAACCUUGCAAACACUUCCAACACAUAUAGGUCAUCUCACCUUUAGCUAGUCUUCGUUUAUUCCGCAACUUUUAUUUCGAGUUACUAACACUUAGCAACCGAACCGGUAUCUAAUACCCUGGUGCUACUAGGAGUACUAGUAAAGUACACAUUAAUAUAAUGUAUAUCCAAUAUACUUCUGUCGACCUUGCCAGCCUUCUCAUCUACAAAGUAUCUAGGGUAGUUCUGCUUCAGUGACCGUUCUCCUCAUUUCAGAAGCACUUAGUCUCGGGUUUGGGUUCAACCUUGGGUUUCUUCACUAGAGCAGCAACUGAUUUGCCGUUUCAUGAAGUAUCCCUUCUUGCCCUUGCCCUUCUAGAAACUAGUGGUUUUACUAACCAUCAACAAUUGAUGCUCCUUCUUGAUUUCUACUUUCGCGGUGUCAAACAUCGCGAGUUGCUCAAGGAUCAUCAUGUCUAUCCCUGAUAUGUUAUAGUUCAUCACGAAGCUCUAAUAGCUUGGUGGCAGUGACUAUGGAGAACCAUCACUAUCUCAUCUGGAAGAUUAACUCCCACUCGAUUCAAGUGAUUGUAGUACUCAGACAAUCUGAGCACAUGCUCAACGAUUGAGCUUUUCUCCCUUAGUUUGCAGGCUUAAGAAACUUGUCAGAGGUCUCAUACCUCUUGACGUGGGCAUUAGUCUGAAAUCCCAAUUUCAGUCUUUGGAACAUCUCAUAUGUUCUGCGACGUUUCAAAACCGUCUUUGGUGCCACAAUUUUAAACCGUUAGCAUCACACACUGAACUAUCACGUAGUCAUCAAAACGUGUAUGUCAGAUGUUUCGUAACAUCUAUAGACGACGCUCGAGGUUCAGCACACUGAGCGGUGCAUUAAGGACAUAAGCCUUCUGUGCAGCAAUGAGGACAAUCCUCAGUUUACGGACCCAGUCCGCAUAAUUGCUCUAUCAACUUUCAACUAAAUUUUCUCUAGGAACAUAUCUUAGUAGAACUAAAGCGUAAGCUACGACAUUAUUUGCAAAGACCUUUUGACUAUGUUCAUGAUAAUUAAGUUCAUCUGAUUAUUUAAUGAACUCCCACUUAGAUAGACAUCCCUCUAUUCAUCUAAGUGAUACAUGAUCCGAAUCGACUAGGCCGUGUCCGAUCAUCACGUGAGACGGACUAGUCAUCAUCGGUGAACAUCUCCAUGUUAAUCGUAUCUACUAUACGACUCAUGUUCGACCUUUCGGUCUCUUGUGUUCCGAGGCCAUGUCUGUACAUGCUAGGCUCGUCAAGUCAACCUAAGUGUUUUGCUUGUGUUCCGAGGCCAUGUCUGUACAUGCUAGGCUCGUCAACACCCGUUGUAUGCGAACGUUAGAAUCUAUCACACCCAAUCAUCACGUGGUGCUUCGAAACAACGAACCUUUGCAACGGUGCACAGUUAGGGGGAACACAUCUCUUGAAAUUUUAGUGAGGGAUCAUCUUAUUUAUGCUACCGUCGUUCUAAGCAAAUAAGAUGUAAACAUGACAAACAUCACAUGCAAAUCAUAAAGUGACAUGAUAUGGCCAAUAUCAUCUUGCGCCUUUGAUCUCCAUCUUCGAGGCGCGGCAUGAUCACCUUCGUCACCGGCAUGACACCAUGAUCUCCAUCAUCAUGAUCUCCAUCAUCGUGUCUUCAUGAAGUUGUCUCGCCAACAUUUACUUCUACUACUAUGGCUAACGGUUAGCAAUAAAGUAAAGUAAUUACAUGGCGUUUUUCAUUGACACGCAGGUCAUACAAUAAAUUAAGACAACUCCUAUGGCUCCUGCCGGUUGUCAUACUCAUCGACAUGCAAGUCGUGAUUCCUAUUACAAGAACAUGAUCAAUCUCAUACAUCACAUAUAUCAUUCAUCACAUCCUUUUGGCCAUAUCACAUCACAUAGCAUACCCUGCAAAAACAAGUUAGACGUCUUCUAAUUAUUGUUGCAUGUUUUACGUGGCUGCUAUGGGUUUCUAGCAAGAACGUUUCUUACCUACGCAAAAGCCACAACGGUGAUAUGCCAAUUGCUAUUUACCCUUCAUAAGGACCCUUUUCAUCGAAUCCGAUCCGACUAAAGUGGGAGAGACAGACACCCGCUAGCCACCUUAUGCAUCAAGUGCAUGUCAGUCGGUGGAACCUGUCUCGCGUAAGAGUACGUGUAAGGUCAGUCCGGGCCACUUCAUCCCACAAUGCCGCCGAAUCAAGAUAAGACUAGUAACGGUAAGCAAAUUGAACAAAUAGUCGCCCACAACUACUUUGUGUUCUACUCGUGCAUAGAAUCUACGCAUAAACCUAGCUCAUGAUGCCACUGUUGGGGAACGUAGCAGAAAUUUAAAAUUUUCUACGUAUCACCAAGAUCAAUCUAUGGAGUCAUCUAGCAAUGAGAGAGAGGGGAGUGCAUCUACAUACCCUUGUAGAUCGCGCGCGGAAGCGUUCAAGAGAACGGGGUUGAUGGAGUCGUACUCGUCGUGAUCCAAAUCACCGAUGAUCCUAGCGCCGAAUGGACGGCACCUCCGCGUUCAACACACGUACGGAGUGGGGACGUCUCCUCCUUCUUGAUCCAGCAAGGGGGGAGGAGAAGUUGAUGAAGAUCCAGCAGCACGAUGGCGUGGUGGUGGAAGUAGCGGGAUCCCGGCAGGGCUUCGCCAAGCGCAAGCGGGGAGGAAGAGGUGUCACGGGAGGGAGGGAGGCGCCAGGGCUUGGGUUGCUGCUCCCAUGCGCCUCCCCACUAUAUAUAGGGGUGGAGGGGGCUGGUUUCUUGCCCUCCAAGCCCAUUGGGGCAUUGGCAAAGGUGGGGGAAAGAAAUCCCAUCAUUUCCCUUCCCCACCGAUUGUUAUCCCCCUUUUUUAGGGAUCUUGAUCUUAUUCCUUCUAAGGUGGGAUCUUGGUGCGCCUUCACCAGGGGUGUGGGGCCUUGCCCCCACUACCCACGUUCAUGUGGGUCCCCCCAUGCAGGUGGGCCCCACUUCGGAACCUUCUAGAACCUUCCCGGUACAAUACCGAAAAAUCCCGAACAUUUUCCGGUGGCCAAAAUAGGACUUCCCAUAUAUAAAUCUUUACCUCCGGACCAUUCCGGAACUCCUCGUGACGUCUGGGGUCUCAUUCGGGACUCCAAACAACUUUUGGUUGACCACAUACUAAUAUCUCUACAACUCUAGCGUCACCGAACCUUAAGUGUGUAGACCCUACGGGUUCGGGAGACAUGCAGACAUGACCGAGACGACUCUCCGGUCAAUAACCAACAGCGGGAUCUGGAUACCCAUGUUGGCUCCCACAUGUUCCACGAUGAUCUCAUCGGAUGAACCACGAUGUCGAGGAUUCAAUCAAUCCCGUAUACAAUUCCCUUUGUCAAUCGGUACGUUACUUGCCCGAGAUUCGAUCGUCGGUAUCCCAAUACCUUGUUCAAUCUCGUUACCGGCAAGUCACUUUACUCGUAACAUAACGCAUGAUCCCGUGGCUAACUCCUUAGUCACAUUGAGCUCAUUAUGAUGAUGCAUUACCGAGUGGGCCCAGAGAUACCUCUCCGUCAUACCGAGUGACAAAUCCCAGUCUCGAUUCGUGCCAACCCAACAGACACUUCCGGAGAUACCUGUAGUGCACCUUUAUAGCCACCCAGUUACGUUGUGACGUUUGGUACACCCAAAGCAUUCCUACGAUAUCCGAGAGUUGCACAAUCUCAUGGUCUAAGGAAAUGAUACUUGACAUUAGAAAAGCUCUAGCAAACGAACUACACGAUCUUGUGCUAUGCUUAGGAUUGGGUCUUGUCCAUCACAUCAUUCUCCUAAUGAUGUGAUCCCGUUAUCAAUGACAUCCAAUGUCCAUGGUCAGGAAACCAUAACCAUCUAUUGAUCAACGAGCUAGUCAACUAGAGGAUUACUAGGGACAUGUUGUGGUGUAUGUAUUCACACAUGUAUUACGGUUUCCAGUUAAUACAAUUAUAGCAUGAACAACAGACAAUUAUCAUGAACAAGGAAAUACAAUAAUAACCAUUUUAUUAUUGCCUCUAGGGCAUAUUUCCAACAUUACAAACCAGGGCAGAGUAGUCAGGUAGAAGGAGGAAAUGCUAAUGGUGAUUACAGUGGCGAAGUGGACUGUGACGCCCCCGAUUCAAUCGUACACUAAUCAUACACGCAAAUGUGUACGAUUAAGAUCAGGGACUCACGGGAAGAUAUCACAACACAACUCUAGACACAAAGUGAAAUAAUAGAAGCUUUAUAUUAUAAGCCAGGGGCCUCGAGGGCUUGAAUACACAAGAGUCAGCGGAAUCCACAAUAUCUGAGUACGAACAUAAGUUAGCAAGUUUUCCAUAAGAAGGCUAGCACAAAAGUAUCAACGAUCGAAAAGGCAAAUCCUCCUACCUGGGAGCCUCCUAACUACUCCUGGUCGUCAGCGGUCUCCACAUAGUAGUAGGCACCCUCAGGGUAGUAGUAGUCAUCGGUGGUGACGUCUGGCUCCUGGGGCCCGUCAUCUGAUCGCAGCAAUCGGGUAUAUGGGAAAAAGAGGUAGCAAAGCAACCGUGAGUACUCAUCCAAAGUACUCGCAAGACUUACAUCAGAUCUGAGCUAAGUAUGCAUCUGUAUCAAAAGAAUGAGUUGUAUCUGUGGACUGAACUGCAGAAUGUCAGAAGAGAAGGGGAAAAGCCUAGCCUAUCGAAGACUAGCAUCUUCAAGCAUCUUGCAGGAUUAGAAGAGAUAAGAGUAACAUAUUAAAAUAGUAGUAAUUAUGUUGUAACAUCGCCCAGAGAUCACUUCCUCGACUCCCUGCGAGAAAGUAAUCCCGAAGCCAUCAUUUUCAUUUCAUGCCUCAUCAUCCAAGUGGUGCAACGCCAAGGAUGGCAAUUUACCGCAUGCGUUUAAAUUGUAAUAAACACAACGAAAAAGAAUGGAAAGAGCAGGCAUGCAAUCCUCAAAUCGUAGGAUGACAGUUAUGCAAAAGCAGAAGGAUGAAAAUUACCUGAAGAAGCAUCAACUCUAUCAUGUUAUGAGCCCAGACAUGUAAAAGGUAUGCAUAAAUGUUGCCGGAACCUUUGGCCCAUUGCCAUUUCCAUCCACCUUGAUAUGCUAAAUGUAUGACUAUGGAUGUCCCUAGUAGAACCCUUUCAUAGAAAAUGAAAGAACUAGAACUUUUAAAACAACAAGGUGUGGAUAACAAAGGUUUUUUACGGUGCUGAUUUCAGUGCCCCCAGAAUCACAACAUACCGAAUCCGUGGACCAUGGGUGAGGAAUAGUUAUUCUUCAUCCACUUUUUAUUAACAUCAAUGCGCCGUAAUUUUACGUUCCGUAAAUUUUGUCUAAAAAAUUAAACAUUUUUAAACGCAAUUUUUUCUUAAAAAAUUGAACAUUUUAUGAAAACAUGAAUAUUUUUUAAAAGUCAGGUAUAUAAGCAGUGAUUUCAAAUCCAAAGGUUCAUCGUACUCUGGCAUUUUUUGUAAACACACACAUUGUUAAAAACACAAACAGUUUUUGAAAACAUGAAGUCUUUAUGAAAACGUGAACAAUUUUUGGAAAAUCCAAACAUUUUUUGAGAAAGCAGAAUCAUGUGCACUAAAGAUAGGUAAAAUGGACCGGCCCAAAUAUCUUUCCCGUUUGCGUGCAAAAAGCUCGACACUUUGCCGCAGUGCAGCAAAUAUGUGUCCCCUGGGAGCGCUUGCCAAACACAGUAUCCACCGCCGCAACCAACCCAGCCAGAUCGAAAAGGGGAUCGAGAGGUCCAAAAAGAAAAGGGGAUCGAGCGACUUAGGGUUUCGAUGGAGAAGGCGGCGGCGCCGUCUGCAUCCCGAGUGGUUGAGGUUGUACCUUGACGAGGGGUAUGGGAUCAAGAAGCAGGUGAUGGUGAAGAUAGACCAUCGGAACAGCUACAUCAAGUGGCUGCUCAAGUGGGACAAGAAGCCUCGCGAUCCCCUGCCCAACUUCCCGGAGGAGCUCCGCGAGGCCAUGGACGCCAUCAAGGCCGAGCGCGACGAGAACGAGAGGGUCCUCGCCGACUUCAAGCGCGACGGCUACGCCUACGUCCAGGUCGACGUCUUCAACGACGACGACCCAAGGGCCAACCUCCCCGCCGACCAGUACGAGGUCAUCCCCCACGACAGCAACGACGACCAAGGCGAAGAAGCAGCGGAACCCAUCCUAGGCCGUCUCUAAUCUUGUUAGAAGAGACGAGGAUGCGUCCUUCUGUAUCGAAGGUCCGACAUAAGAGGACGAUACACGUCGUCUGGCUGCUAGAUAGUGUUACCUAGUCGUGCUUAAUGUUGUCUUAAUCAUCCUAUUAAAGCUAUCUUAGUUAGCUGCGUUGUAUGAUGUCUGUAGUCUUUCUUAUAAUGUUGUGUGUUAUGUCAGUUCUUUCUUAUAUAUAUAGCAAUUCCAUGUCUCGUGUCUGCGCUAUUGGGCUUCUGUAUCUAUGGCUUGCUUUCUGCCGGUGAGAUUGCUCUGAAAGCAAAUUUCCAGAAAUCUACAGAAUAAAAAGUUAAGAACUCAACCAAAAUCUCUCGGGGAACACAAGAGCAAAUAGAUUAAGUUGUUUUAUUAGAUGUUCCAUUUAGCGUCUUACGUAUUAGGUCUUGGUUUACAGGGUAUGCACGGCCGUUGAACUUUGGCAGUCAAAGACGGCAAGCAAUUUGGGCCAUGGAUGUGCUUAAGUACUAGAAAGGACAAUUUAGGAUCAAGGCCUUUUUGUCAGAGACAGAGAGGACUUGUUUCAUUUCAUCUAGGAGACAUGAUUGCCCCUUUGAUCAAGUGACCAGUAAGUUUCCAUCACACUUUGUUUCAGUCAGGGUAUGCUGUAAAGUCUUAAUAACAGGUUAUGAGUUUUCAAGCAUGUGUGGGCAUUCAGACAUGAAUGCAACAAAUAAUAUAUGGUCAAAAAUAUAUAAAGAAACAACAAUAAGUACUGAUCUUACAGGGUAUAAUCAAUGACAACGAGCACAUAUAAGACAAAAGGGAGGGCUCAUAUAUUGGGAAAUGUGAAUAAAUGCAACAUAUAAGUAAAUCAAGUAAGCAUUUCCCAAAAAUAUUAACCACAAAGGGGAGGGACAUAUCAGUAGAACUACUUCCACGAGCACCAACAAACCAACCCUGAUUCAAUUCAAGUCAUAACUUCCUGAUCAAUCAAACACAUAUGAAGGUACAGCAAUCAUGGCAACCAAAACAGAACCUGCAUGCCAACCAGGUAAUAUUCCUGGAGAUAGAUGCUGCUCACAUGGUGUCAUUUGUUAUUCUAUCUGAAUUUGAAGACAUCUGCAAUCAAAUUUACAUUUCAAAAAACCACUAAUCAAACACCUGCAUAUGCCCAAAAUAUUUCAAUGCACAUCUGCUAGCAAGAGCAAUAAACAAUUAAAGACAGAGGAUUGGCUCGACACUCUGCACAUGUCUCAAGGCUUGUUUGUUCUCAGCUACUCCCUCCGUAACUGUUUACAGAGGUGGUAUUUUUGGUGGAUUGCUAAUUUUUUUUCCAAGACAGUAUAUACAAGAUGCCGAUCACAUUUACUGUGAUGCAGCUAUAUUCACCCCUUGAACUUGCCAAUCAAAUUCCAUGAAGUUUAUAAGUUCAGUCACAAAAAUAGAGCAGCUAUUAUGAAGAUUGACACCUCAAACUUCACGGCAGCAAUCAGUUGACACCAAACACAUGACAAAAGGAUAAAGAAUGCAUCAAACGAUUUUACUUCUGGGAUCAUAGAAAGGAAACAUGGACUGUAAGGUUCACGCUAUAAGCUUUUAUUUAAGUAUCAUGGCGAUUAAGUACAAUAGUAAGACAUACCCGGUGGCCACAAAAAUAGGCAGGACUGCGUCAAUCCCACAUACCAUAUAAACAUGAAAAACUUUGACAGCAAUCAGGCAAUUACAAACCAACAGCAUGGAUGCGCUUUUGUUACACACACACAAGAAAGUAUUUCAUGCAUAGUUUAAGCCAUGAAUGAGAAAACAGAAGGUAAGUGGACUUAUUCGUGAUAGUGGAGGUAAUCACACCUUCGUGUUAUGAAGAAUGAACUUAAAAGGUUUGCCUACAAUAGCAAAGCAAGAUCUGUUGAAAACCCUUGGACAUCGUUUGCAUGUAGAAAAUUGAGGCAGUUAAUCAAAUGUGUUCAGUUGUUGCAACAUUACAGAUGCAGAUGGUAUUACCUUUGAAUUCGCAUAAAUAUAGGUCUAUGUGGUCAAAAUGACAAAAUCAACUACCAUACAAGUGCAUGUCAUAUGCUGUAAAGUUUCAUACGACAUGUGGCUAUUCAUUCUGAAAAAUAUCCUGCAGCUAUCUUUAGCCCUUGAACUUGCCAAUCAAAUUCCAUGAAAUUUAUAAGUUCAGCCACAAAAAAUGAAGGUUGACACCUAUAAACUUUACGGAAAACGAACAGUUGACACCAAACACAUGACAAGAGGAUAAAUAAGGCAUCAACUGAUUUUGCUUCUGGGAUAAUAGAAAGGAAACAUGGAUUCUAAGGCUCCUGCUAUGAGCUUAAGUGGCAUGGCGAUUAAGUACAAUAGUAGGACGAACCUCAUAGCCACAAAAAUUCAAUCCCCCAACAUACCAAACAAACAUGAAAAUCUAUGACAGCAAACCAGUCACCAGUCAGCAACCAGGCAAUUACAAAUCAACAUCAUGCAUACGCUUUUGUUACACAUACACACACAAAAACUUGCAUCACCACAUGACAAGAUACCAUGUAUUUAGUGUGUAGUUAAAUCCAUGAAUGAGAAAAAAGAAGGUAAGUGGACUUAUUUGUGAUAGUGGAGGUAAUCACACCUUAGUGUUAUGACUUCACAUUGAGCCUCAAAAGCUUCUGAGGUAUAAUCCAGAUUGUGGCCAGGUUCCUGCAGUAGAAGAUAUCUUAGACCUCUAAAAAGAUUCAGAUUUGGCAUGAUAUUGUACAACGUCAACACAGGCUAGUAACACAUACUACUAUUGCCAAAAGCUGCACAGGAUCAAAUUUUGAUCUAUAAUCUUGCUCACAAUGAGCCUGACUAGUUCAUUGCCUAUGAUAUUUUCUAUUUCAGCCAAACGGCCCUGCCAAGAUUUGUGACCAAUGCGAUACCCCAAAUUGCAACAUAACAGAGAGAUUCAAUGACAUGAGUGGCAUACAAAUAGCACUAGAAGAAUAGUAAAGAGAACGAAGUUAAAAUGUAUGGGUAUAAAUAUAAUAGCAGAGCAAGAUCUGUUGAAAAUCCUAGGUCAUCUUUUCCAUGUAGAAAAUUGAGGCAGUAAAUCUAUAUGUUUAGUUGUUGCAAAAUUAUAGAUACAGAUGGCAUCACUUAUUAAUUCACAUAAAUAUAGGUCUUUGUGGUCAAAUAACGAAAUCAACUACCAUACAAGUGCAUGUCAUAUGGUGUAAAGUUUCAUUCAACAUGUGGCUAUUCAUUCUGAAAAUAUCCUGCAGCUAUCUUCACCCCUUGAACUUGCCAAUCUAAUUCCAUAAAGGUUUAUAAGUGCAGCCACAAACCUAGAGCAGAACCUAUGAAGAUUGACACCUGUAAACUUAUAGGACAACAAACAAGCAUGACAAAAUGAUAAAGAACGACUGAUUUUACUUCUGGGAUCAUAGGAAGGGAACAUGGAUCAUAAGACUCGUGCUAUGAGCUUAAGUAUCAUGGCGAUUAAGUACAAUGGUAAGGCGAACCCUGUAGCCACAAAAAUAGGCAGGACUGCAUCAAUCCCACAUACCAAAUGAACAAGAAAAACUAUGACAGCAAACCAGUCAGCAGUCAGGCAAUUACAAAUCAACAGCAUGCAUGUGCUUUUGUUACAAACACACACACACGCACACACACACACACAAACUUGCAUCACCACAUAUGACAAGAUAACACCAUAUAUUUAGUGGUGUAUGAAUGAGAAAACAGAAGGAAGUGGACUUAUUAGUGAUAGUGGAGGUAAUCACACCUUAGUGUUAUGACUUCACAUUGAGCUUCACCAACUUCUGAGCUAUCAUCCAGAUUGUGGCCAGGCUCAUGUAAAUGUCAUGCACGAGAGCCUAUCUUAGACCUCCAAAAAGAAUCAGAUUUGGCAUGAACCUAUAGGAAGUCAACACAGACUAGUAACAUACAGACAUGCUACUAUUGCCAACAGGAGCACAGUAGUAUAAUUUUGCUCAUGAAGAGUCUCACUUGUCAGAUAUCCUGCCCGCAACUGCAAUUUUCAAACAGUUAAACCAAGGACAAUUAUGAAUCUACUGCCAGCAUUUCCUAAGAUGCAAUUCUAAAACAGUUAAACCAACCAGGCCUGCCAAGAUCUGUAAUGAUUGCAAACCCCGAAUUGAAGAGCAACGUAACAGAGGGAUUCAAUAACAUGAGUGGCACACAAAUAACACUAGGAGAAUAGUAAAGAGAAUGAAGUUAAAAGGUUUGGCUAUAAUAGCAGAGCAAGAUCUGUUGAAAACCUUAGGGCAUCAUUUGCACGUAGAAAAAUGAGGCAGUAAAUUGAUGUGUUCAGUAGUUGCAAAAUUAUAGAUGCAGAUGGCAUUACCUUUGAAUUAACAUAAGUAUAGAUCUACCAUGUGGUCAAAAUGACAAAAUCAACUACCAUAGUCCUGGUGUAAAGUUUCAUACGACAUGUGGCUAUUCAUUCUGAAAAAUAUCCUGCAGCUAUCUUCAGCCCUUGAGCUAGCCAAUCAAACUCCAUGAAGUUUAUAAGUUCAGCCACAAGCAUAGAGCAGCAACUAUGAACAUCGACACAUCAAAACUUUAUACGGAAAACAAACAGCUAGUAACACAUACUACUAUUGCCAAACAGCAGCAAAGUAGUGUAAUUUUGCUCACAAAGAGCCUUGCUUGUCAGAUAUCCUUUCCUGCAACUGCAAUUUUCAAACAGUUAAACCAAGGACAAUUAUGAAUUUACUGCAAGCAUUUCCUAAGAUGCAAUUCUAAAACAGUUGAACCAACCAGCCCAAUUGCGAACCCCGAACUGAAGAGCAACAUAACAGAGGGAUUCAAUAACAUGAGUGGCACAUAAAUAACACUAGGAGAAUAGUAGCUUGCCGGGUUACAAAGGCAGAGGACACACUACAUAGCUACGAUACAACAUCAUCAUCAAUUGCAGACAGAAGUUUAGGACGCAGUACAUCGCCAGGAGGAAUCAUACACUAAUCCAUAGCAGACAUUAGAUAGAUAGAUAGAUAGAUGUUGCUCAGUAGAUCAAGCUUCUUCGUCGCUGUCGUGGGGGAUGACCUCGUACUGGUCGGCAGGGAGGUUGGCCCUUGGGUCGUCGUUGUUGAAGACGUCGACCUGGACGUAGGCAUAGCCGUCGCGCUUGAAGUCGACGAGGACCCUCUCGUUCUCGUCGCGCUCGGCCUUGAUGGCGUCCAUGGCCUCGCGGAGCUCCUCCGGGAAUGUCAGGCCCUGUUCAUGUUCUCCCCUGUUCCUGGCGUACCAGAAGUAGGAUCAGCCGUAGAUUCCUCAUCGUGCGGUUCUGAAGCUUGGAUAACGGUUCGCAAGUAAAGGGCAUCUCUCCUCCGUCGAUCUACCAUCCAGCGGCUGUAGUGUCCUCCAGUAGCUGUAGCUCAUCCGACAGUGCCAUGUGCUUUGCUUUUGCUUCUUUCACUUUAUCAGUGUAAUGGCUAUAAAGCCAGCCUCGGCCCGGGGUGUGGGUAUGAUUUAGCUGUAUUGGGUGUAAACCCUAGCCGUCGGUGGCGUGCUAAACUUACUUUCCCCUUUCCAAAGCAAGAACCCUAGCUCGAAGCUCCCAAAUUCUCUCCUAAAAUUGUGCUCUGUGAGUUAAAUUGUGUUAUCUAGAGCUCUGAUCCUGACAAUUGGUAUCAGAGGCCAGUCUUUCCUCGGCGGCGGUAGAUGAUUGGGGCAGCGUAGAGGUUUGCUUUAGCUGUAAAAUCCCUCUUCGAGCUCCGAUCGGGCGGCGGAGGCAGUAGGCGGCGGCGGGAGCGGCAGCGUUCGGGUGCAGUCAGAGGACAGCCUGGUUGCCUGAGAGUAUUUCUCGGGUGGUAAAAUUCCAGCUCCUGGAUUUGGCCGUGUACCAUCGGAGGCGGGCGCAGGCGGCGGUGUUGGCGGCGGUGACAAGUUCAUCCCACCCUCCCAACCCUCUAUGGUGGUGAUCUCUGACGGCCUUAACAUGACGGGCCCUGUUGAUUCUGGCUCCACAGCGGAGUUGCAGCUCGAGUCCCUCGAGUUGGACAUCAAGGCGCUCCAGCACGAGAGAGAGGAAGAUCGCAAGGAGUUCCAGCAGUUUCAGGUGUUUGUGAACAGAAAUUUUGCAACGAUGCAGAAAAACUUGGAGAAAAUUCAGGACAAUUUCAGGCGUCUGUUGUUAGAUCCCGAGCCAGCACAGGCAGAUCAAGUUGAGGAGGGCCAAGGCAGUGUUCAAUUGAAGGACAACCAGAUCAAUUCGCCUCAUGUAGCUCCAGGCAGACCCAAGCAGCUCCAAAUUCCUACACCACCAUCGGUGGCAAUGCCUGACAAAGGCGCACCUUUGCCAAUCGGAACAUCAACACUGAGAGAUCAUAAUGGCAAGGAACUGCAGUUGGAUGGUACACCUAAGGUACCUUACAGACACCCGAACUAUGGGCAAGCAAGGGAAACAACAGCAAACAAUGCAGUGCAGCUCGAUGACAUACCUGAAGAAGAAGCAGCGGACAACAUCUAUAGAAGGAGACCAAACACCCCAGUGGAGGGUCGAAGAAAUAUCCUUACGGUAAAACCAGCUAAGCUCAAUAUCUCUGAAUUUGAGGGCCAUGAUCCUGAGUCUUGGAUUCAGAAUCUGGACCAGUAUUUUGCUGCAGCAAGAACCCCUAUCGAGCGUAGAACAGAACUGGCUAUAUCUUACCUCAAAGGUCCCGCUGUUCAAUGGUGGAGGGGAACUGGAUUUGCUCCAAGCAAUGUUCCAUGGCAUAAAUUUUGCUCCUAUUUGUCUGAUAGAUUUUCUGUGGAUUCGGCCUGCGAUAUUGUCAGUUCCUUCCAUGCCGCACAACAAACUACUACUGUUACUGCCUAUGUAGAACAGUUUGAGCAGUUAAUGAAUACCAUGAGAAGAGAAAACCCAGGAAUUCCAGAUGAUUACUAUGUUUCCAGUUUUGUGUCUGGCUUAAAUCCAUAUAUUAAAAGUCAUGUGGAGUGCUUGAAACCUAAAGACAUGCAAACAACAGUCUGGUAUGCUAGGAGAAUGGAAAAAGCACAACCUCUCACUCCUCUUGUGCAAGCUAAGCCUUAUAUGCCUCAGCCCAGAAGACAAGUUAUCUUUGAGCAGUCCAAGACCCCUGUUCCUUUAGCCACACCUAACAGGAACACUGUUAUCCAGCAAGCAAAGCAAAAUCAAGUGUGUUACAAAUGCAGAGAACCUUGGGUGCCUGGUCACAGGCAGGUUUGCAAAAUGAGCCAGAGAGCUCAGAUACAGGCGCUACAGGUGCAAGACAAUGAAAACCCUGAAACAAUUUUUGUAACAGACUUUGAUGACCCUGACCUGGAAACAAAUGAGCAGCUAUCUGAUGAAACUGUGCUAAAAGUGUCAAUGCAUGCUGCCAUGGGCAUAGGAGCAGGCAGAAACACUUUUGUAUUAACAGUAAAAGUUGGAAAUGCAGUUGCCACAGCCUUGGUGGACAGUGGCAGUACAUCAACUUCCAUAGCCCCUGAAAUGGCCAGUAAGUUACCAGUUGCACCUACCCCAACACCAAAAAUCAAAGUAGUGGUUGCAAGUGGAGGAAUAUUAUGGACUGAGUUCCAGGCAAAGAAUUGCCCCUAUGAAAUUCAGGGUCAUCACUUUUCUGAUAGUUUCAGAGUCUUGAAAUUGAAGGGAUAUGACAUGAUUUUGGGAGUGGAUUGGCUCAGGAAGUAUAGUCCAGUUCAAAUGGAUUUUAUUAAAAUGGAGAUGAAAAUCUCUGACAGUACUGGGCAGUUUUUAACAUUUGUGGAUGAAACUGUACCUAUCACUCCUGUGAUUGAGGCAAAGGAUAACACUGAAAAGCUGUUAGAACAGGCUGUGUGUGGAUUUUUUCUCUUUACUACUACUGGUCUGGAGUUAACAGCAGAUAACCAAGAAAUCCCUGCAGAGUUACAGCCUUUGUUAGACCAGUAUGAGAAACUGUUCCAGGAACCUACUGAGCUACCCCCAAGCAGGCCUUGUGACCACAUAAUUCCUUUAAUAGAAGGGGCUAAAGUUGUGAAUCAAAGGCCUUACAGAAUUCCUCACCACCAAAAGGAAAUAUUGGAGAAAAUAAUUAGGGAACUCUUGAAAAAUGGAGUAAUCACACCUAGCACUAGUCCAUUCUCCUCUCCUGUGUUGUUGGUGAAGAAGAAAGAUGGUUCUUGGAGACUCUGUACUGAUUACAGAAAAUUGAAUGCAAUUACUAUUAAAAACAAAUAUCCCAUACCAGUUAUUGAAGAUCUUUUGGACCAACUCAAGGGGGAAAAGAUUUUCUCCAAAAUUGAUCUCAGAAAUGGGUACCAUCAAAUCAGAAUGGCUGAAGAAGAUAUACCUAAAACUGCAUUCACCACUCACAUGGGAUUGUUUGAAUUUUUAGUUAUGUCCUUUGGACAAACUAAUGGCCCUCCUACUUUCCAGGCCCUCAUGAACUUCUUGUUGGGCUAUCUCAAGUUUGUUGUGGUUUUCUUUGACGACAUACUAGUGUUCAGUUCCUCUAUGGAAGAGCAUAAGAGGCACUUAAAACAAGUGUUUGAAAUACUGCAAGCAAAUAAACUGCAUGCAAAAAUAGAGAAAUGUUCAUUUGGUAAACAGGAGGUUGAGUAUUUGGGCCAUGUCAUUAACUCAGAAGGAGUGUCUACUCACCCAUCUAAAAUACAAGCUAUCAAAGAGUGGCCAGCCCCUACUACAGUGACUGAGUUGAGAAGUUUCUUGGGGCUCAGUGGCUAUUACAGAAGAUUCAUUCAGGGAUAUGGAGUAAUUUGCAGGCCCCUGUUUGAUUACUUAAAGAAAGAGGGUUUUAAUUGGAGAGAGGAACAACAACAAGCAUUUGAAGCUUUGAAACAUAAGCUUACAAACUCUCCUGUCUUAGCCCUCCCAGAUUUUUCUAAACCUUUUAUUCUGGAAACAGAUGCUUGUGGGUAUGGAUUGGGGGCUGUCUUGAUGCAAGAGGGAAGGCCUAUAUCUUACUUCAGCAAGAGUAUUGGUCCUAAAGCAGCUGCUAUGAGCACAUAUGACAAGGAAGCCUUGGCUAUCAUUGAGGCUGUUAAGAAAUGGAAGCACUACUUCCUAGCAACUGCCCUUGUUAUCAGAACUGAUCAAGAGAGUUUAAAAUAUAUUCAGGAGCAGAAAAUCACUGAAGGCAUUCAGCACAAAUUAUUGCUCAAGCUGCUGGGCUUUAAUUUCUCAAUUGAGUACAAAAAGGGAAAGGAAAAUAAGGCCGCAGAUGCCUUAUCCAGAGUGAAGCACAUGAUUUCUUCAUUAACUGCUACUGCUGUUACUCCCACUUGGGUGAAGGAAGUAAUAAGCAAUUACAAAAGAGAUGAUAAAAUUAAGGAACUCAUUGCUGAGUGCACUGUGGACAAAACCAGCACCAAUGCUUAUUCAUUCAAGCAUGGUAUACUUAGGUUUAACAACAAGAUUGUCAUUGGAUCAGCUACUAACCUCAGGCAGGAAAUCCUCCAAACAUUUCACAACUAUGAGUUAGGAGGCCAUUCUGGGGAAAGAGCAACUUACCAGAGAGUGAAGCUGAUUUUCCAUUGGCAGGGCCUAAAACAAGAUGUGGUGACUUUUGUGAAAGCAUGCCCUAUUUGCCAGUUGAACAAGGCUGAGCACACUCCCUAUCCUGGAUUACUAGAACCUUUACCUGUGCCAGAUUUUGCUUGGGCACAUGUAAGCAUGGACUUUGUGGAGGGAUUGCCAAAAUCAGAAAACAAAGAUUUGAUUCUGGUAGUGGUUGAUAGAUUUACUAAGUAUUCCCACUUCAUUGCUAUGAAACAUCCCAUAACAGUGCAGUCUGUAGCAAGAGCAUUCUCUGACAAUGUGUUCAGGUUACAUGGCAUGCCCUUAGUGAUAGUGACUGACAAAGACAAAAUAUUUAUAAGCAAAUUGUGGCAGCAAUUGUUUAAGUCUCUGAAAAUCAAGUUACACAUGAGCACAAGUUACCACCCACAAACUGAUGGUCAAACAGAAAGAGUCAACCAGUGUUUAGAAAACUACUUGAGGUGUAUGUGUUUUCAGCAACCCAGGAAGUGGCAUGGAUGGCUGGCACUUGCAGAGUGGUGGUAUAACACUUCCUUUCACACAUCUCUACAAAUGACUCCAUUUCAAGCCCUGUAUGGUUUCCCUCCCCCAAUGGUAGCAGAAUCAGCACUACCAGAUGCUAUUUGUGAAGAUAAUGAGGAUUUACUACAUAACAGAGAAUUGGCCAUUGAAGUAAUCAAACAGAACCUUAUCAAAGCCUAGUCUAGAAUGAAGCACUUUGCUGAUAAAAAGCGAAAGGAAAGAGAAUUUGAAGUGGGAGAUAUGGUUUAUUUGAAGUUGCAACCAUACAGACACACUUCUCUCAGCUUACAUAGGCAUCUGAAACUCCAUUCCAAGUUCUAUGGGCCCUUUAGAGUCCUGAACAAAAUUGGAAACCAUGCUUAUAAGUUGCUGUUGCCAAAAGGCUGCCAGUUACAUGAUGUAUUCCAUGUCAGCCAGUUAAAGAAGCACAUUGGAACAACAGUCAUUCCUUCUCCUAUCCUACCACUUAUUGGUCCUGAUGGCAUUAUCAAGAUAGAACCUGAAGCAGUUCUGGAGAGAGCAUUAAUUCCUAGGAAGCAGGGGAGUAUCAGUAUUCCAGUGGUCAGGUGGCUAGUCAAAUGGUCAAACCUUCCAGUGGAGGACGCUACUUGGGAGGAUUCAGCAUUUAUCCAGAAGGUUUUUCCUGCUUUCAGAGCUUGAGGACAAGCUCAGGCUAAAUUGGGGGGUAUUGUCAGGCCAUGUUCAUGUUCUCCCCUGUUCCUGGCGUACCAGAAGUAGGAUCAGCCGUAGAUUCCUCAUCGUGCGGUUCUGAACCUUGGAUAACGGUUCGCAAGCAAAGGGCAUCUCUCCUUCGUCGAUCUACCAUCCAGCGGCUGUAGUGUCCUCCAGUAGUUGUAGCUCAUCCGACAGUGCCAUGUGCUUUGCUUUUGCUUCUUUCACUUUAUCAGUGUAAUGGCUAUAAAGCCAGCCUCGGCCCGGGGUGUGGUAUGAUUUAGCUGUAUUGGGUGUAAACCCUAGCCGCCGGUGGCGUGCUAAACUUACUUUCCCCUUUCCAAAGCAAGAACCCUAGCUCGAAGCUCCCAAAUUCUCUCCUAAAAUUGUGCUCUGUGAGUUAAAUUGCGUUGUCUAGAGCUCUGAUCCAUAGCAGACAUUAAUCCAUAGCAGACAUUAGAUAGAUAGAUAGAUAGAUAGAUAGAUAGAUAGAUGUUGCUCAGUAGAUCAAGCUUCUUCGUCGCUGUCGUGGGGGAUGACCUCGUACUGGUCGGCGGGGAGGUUGGCCCUUGGGUUGUCGUCGUUGAAGACGUCGACCUGGACGUAGGCAUAGCCGUCGCGCUUGAAGUCGACGAGGACCCUCUCGUUCUCGUCGCGCUCGGCCUUGAUGGCGUCCAUGGCCUCGCGAAGCUCCUCCGGGAAGUUGGGCAGGGGAUCGCGAGGCUUCUUGUCCCACUCGAGCAGCCACUUAUGUAGCUGUUCCGAUGGUCUAUCUUCACCGUCACCUGCUUCUUGAUCCCAUACCCCUCGUCAAGGUACAACCUCAACCACUCGGGGGAUGCAGGCGGCGCCGCCGCCUUCUCCGCCUUGGCCUUGUCGUCCGCCUUCUUCUUCUCCGCCUUGGCCUUGUCGGCCGCCGCCUUCUUCUCCGCCUUGGCCUUGUCGGCCGCCGCCUUCUUCUCCGCCUUGGCCUUGUCGAGCGCUCCUUCUUCUCCGCCUUGGCCUUGUCGACCGCCGCCGCCACCUUCUCCGCCCUGGCCUUGGCCGCCAUGUGCAUCUUGGAGACUGUCCGGACCAUGGGCUUGUACUUGCUGCGUCUCUGGCCCAGGACGUCCGGCUCGCCGUGGUGGCCGCGGGAAAUGUCCAGACCGGAGAGGGAGACGGAGACGUUGAGCUCGCGGAGGACCGUCGACUCGUCGGGCGGGCUGGGGGUGGGGGUGGCCUGGAACUCCCUGUUGGCGAGGCAACAAACCGGCGCCGGCGCCGGCACCGAGAUCACUCCUCCCUCCAUCGCUCUCCCCCAAACCCUUGGCUCUGUUCGCUGGAAGCUAGUGGCAGCGGCUGUUCGAGGCGUUGGGACCGAGUGAGCAGGAGACCCCGGUCCCGCGUAUAAAUAGCCUCGCAAACCCUAGAGCUUCCGCAUCGGAUCGGAUCCGGUCGCCGUCUCGGGCUCGGGCUACACCGACGCGCCCGGUCUUUCUUUACUCUCACUCGCUAACGCUUGUCGGAUGCGGAUCCCAUUCGCUAACGCUUGCGGGUCCAGCAGAUGUCGAACCUUCUCGAGGGCCCUGGAACUGACUUUGUGCAGGAUUGAUUUUUUUAGGGGUAUUGUGCAGGAUUGAUUGUAGGCCAAGAAACCCUUCCUUCAGGAUUGUGGCCCAAGAAACCUGGAUCCAGCAACUUGGGCCAUACUAUCGAAGCAUGGCCUUUAUUGCUUAUGGUGCUAUUGGUGCACCGAACUCAUGUUGCACAUUUUAAAAUAUUCUAAAAGUUUUAAAAAAAAUUAUCACAUGGACAUGGAGACAAAAUCAAUGUAGGUUGUCGCAAAAUUUGCUACGAAAACCUUUUUACAACAUGCAAUGAUGUUGUGUCGUUGUUUUAAUUUUUUUUUCAUAUUUUUAAAAAUCUUCUACGGUAUCCGGUGCACGGGUAGCACCACAAUUGCAGGUGCACCGGAUACAUUCCCUCAAAAGUGUGGGUUUCCGAAUAUGGAAUGUCUAUUUUUAUUCUUUGCAUGGGGAAUUAACCGAACUAUCACGAACGGGACGAGCAGGGCUUUGGAUGAAUGGAUAUAAUAUCGGGCAAUCUUAUUGGGGAUAACAAGGGCUUACCUAGAUACCCAAAGUUUCAUAUCUAAAGCAAGUAUUCAAGAAACUGCUCGAGUUUUAGCAAAAGGUGCCCUACGAGGUCGCAUUGAUUGGUUGAAAGGCUUGGAAGAAAACGAUUGGUCAUAAUAAGCUUCAUGUAAGCCUUUGAUGAUCAUCUUUGGACAUCAUGUAUACAAGUCACAUGUGGAAUGGCAUCCUUAAAGCUAUGAACGAAUGUUCAACUAAGAUACAAACAUAACUUAUCAUUCACAGGCAAAUGGUCAAACUGAAAGAGUAAAACCAACACUUGAAAAUUAUCUCAUAUGCAUGACCAUCAUUGAACCAAAUAAAUGGACUUCUUGGCUCCUCCCUUGUCAUACUAUUCGUAUAUAACUAGUUUAGACCACGCAGGAGUUGAAAUGUUUUGACUACAACGACCAUGAGGUGGUGCUUCGGCGACAAUAGUUGUACUAUUGUUGCGGUGGUGCUGAUGCUGUUUUGCAGCACCACUUCUGUUGCAAGGUCAUCGUCAUUAGUGCGUGUAUAGCGAGCGGGCUGCAGCGGCAUGGUCGUCGGCGAUGGGGCAGCACUACUGCAAGGUCGAUGGUUGCGUCGUGUGUGCUUUUAAGAAGGCUGAGGAGAGCUGCAAGCACUACAACGAAUGACUACCACUUAUGCGGAUGGUGGUCGGCAUUACUGCUGAUGCAACCCCCUGUUUGCAAUAGGUCCGUUGGUGUUGCUUUCAAACACCGCAAUUGCUGCAGAGAGGAGGGACUGCCAGUGCUUUUAGGCAGGGGCGCCGUUCACCAUGCCGCUGCAAGGCAACGUCUCGAGAGUUCUUCGGGUGGGGCGGUGGUUUGCAGGUGUUGCUAUUGUGGAUCUCGUCGAUUGGACGUUGCAACAAGAGACGACAACCGACGAUGCUGAUGAUGAGUCCAAAAUGCACGACUUCUCCUGCAUCUGGCAUAUGCGUUAGGUGAGUACUUUGGAUGUACUCACAAGCUCACAACAACCAUAGCAAUUGAGACAAACAAAAGUAGGGAAAUAUGCAAGUGAAGCAAUUAUUAAUAUGUUGAAGGUAAACAUGAUGCUACUAUUCAACUUACAGAAGUAUAAGCGAUCAUUUAAGGUCACAUGGACCAACUUACUCAUGCUCAUUAUCACCACAUGAUCAUCAUUGAACCAACCUUGAGAUGAGUUCUUUCAUAAUUAUUGUUGAUCAAUAGUGUGACCUAGUAAGAACUGUGUCCAAUACCAUGGACUCGGCUAUUCGAACAGAUUCUCACCUCUGCGCAGGUUACGCACUUUACCGGCACUAUGAAGCUCCUAGUCUGGUACUUUCGUACACUUCCCUAGGGGUGGACCAAUGCUGCUUCAACAAAACCCGUCCACCUCAUGACACUAUUGAGAAACGUGGUAGAAAACAAAAAAAUUGCCCUACGAUCACCCAGGAACAAUGUGGCACCCCGGCUCAGAGCAACCGGUUUACCUUGCAUUGCAAGCCCAGACAUCAAGUCUUCUGGCAACACACAACAACUUGGUAAAGAAAAUAAUCGCUUUAUUGAUCUCUUACAGAUACAUAGGUUCAAAUAUUACAUGACAAGCAAGGCCAAGCGGCGCACAUGGUGCGACUGCAGUUAUGUACAUUAUUUAGUAGACAUCUAGGGGGCCUCGAUGAUAAGGGAAACUCCUACUCGGCAGCGGAAGGACGAAGUAGCGGGACUCCACUCCACAAGGACACUAUUGGGACACGGCCUAGAACGCCAUGUACCGAUCGACAUCAACUCCUUGCACGGCUUCUCCUGCAUCUAGCAUGACACGCUAGGUAAGUACUUUGAAUGUACUCGCAAGUUCGCAGCAAACAAAACAAACAAGAUGGGGUCUAUUCCUACAUGAAUAGAUCUUGUCUACAUCAUGUCAUCGUACUUAUUGCAUUACUCUGUUUCUCCACGAACUUAAUACACUAGAUGCAUGCUGGAUAGUGGACGAUGUGUGGAGUAAUAGUAGUAGAUGUAGGCAGGAGUCGGUCUACUAAUCUUGGACGUGAUGCCUAUAUAAUGAUCAUUGCCUGGAUAUCGUCAUAAUUAUUUGAGGUUCUAUCAAUUCCCCAACAGUAAUUUGUUUACCCACCAUAUGCUAUUUUCUCGAGAGAAGCCACUAGUGAAAUCUACGGUCGCGGUCUAUUUUCUCAUCAUAUAUUUUCAGAUCUAUAUUGCUAUUUGCCUUUUUAUUUAUUUGCAUCUUUUAUUUUCAGAUCUAUAUUAUCAAAAACCCAAAAAUAUCAUGCUGAAUUUUAUUUGCCUUUAUUUUAUUUGCAUAUACCAAUCUAUCACUUUACCAAUCUUUUACCCAGGAGGGACUGACAACCCCUCUUUCGCGUCAGGUUGCAAGUAUUUGUUCUUUCUGUGUAGGUACCGUUUACAUAGUGUUGCUUGGUUCUCCUACUAGUUCGAUAACCUUGGUUUCAUUACUGAGGGAUCUACCUACCUUAGUUGUAUUGCAUCAUCCUUACUCCUUGGGGAAAAUACUGACGCGGAUACAAGACAUCACAGAAGGGAGGAUCAAUCAUGAACAUGAACAUGCUUUGUGAGUAGUUACUUUUGUUCCUGAGGACAUGGGAGAAGUCUUGUUAUAAGUAAUCAUGUGAAUUUGGUAUUCGUUCGAUAUUUUGAUGAGAUGUAUGUUGUCUUUACUCUAGUGGUGUUAUGUGAACAUUGACUACAUGACACUUCACAAUGAUUUCCGCCUAGGGGAAGGCAUUCGGAAGUAGCAAGUAGAUGAUGGGUUGAUAGAGUGACAGAAACUUAAACCCUAGUUUAUGCUUUGCUUCGUAAGGGGCUGAGUUGGAUCCACACAUGUUUAAUGUUAUGGUUAGAUUUAUCUUAAUUCUUCUUUCGUAGUUGUGGAUGCUUGCGAGAGGGGUUAAUCAUAAGUGGGGGGCUUGUCCAAGUAAGGACAACACUCAAGCACCGGUCCACCCGCAUAUCAAAUUAUCAAAGUAGCGAACACGAAUCAUAUGCGCAUGAUGAAAACUAACUUGAUGAUAAUCACUACAACAAAUAUGUCAACUUGCGACCAUCAAUAUUGGUCGCUGAAUGGUCAUUUUUUUCGUUUGCGGCCUUUUUAUGACCAAAAACAAUUGGUCAAAAGCUGGCCAUCUUUAAUGAAACUUAACGACCUUCUCUGUGAGAUGGUCGUAGAAGGCAACGACCAAAACAAAAGUUCUGGUUCUACGACCAAUUGUUUUGGUCGCUGGCAGCCUGCCUAGGCCAUGUCGAAUCUGACGUGGCAGUCUGACAUGGCAAAAUUGCGACCAAGUGAAUUGGUCGUUGAUUAGAAUCAGUCCGGUCCAAUUCGGUGUUCUACAUGGGCCUAGCCCAACAAUUCGGUCGGUGCUUUACUUGGGCCAAGCCCAACAAUUCGGUCUUCCUAUUAUUUUUUCCUACGAAUUCUGUUUGGCUACAUGGGUCAAGCCCAAUAAUUCAGCCUUUUAAAUUUUUGGGUUGUGGCCUUCUUGGCUCAAAAUUUCAAUUUUUUUCUCAUAAGAUGGCUCCCAAUUGUCGGUUUAUAGUAUUGGGUCCUAUGAUCAGUUCUUCAUAUUUCAAUUUGACAGUAAAUAGGUAACCAAUAUUUAAAUCAGCACUGACAAAAAACAAGUUUGAAAUAAUAACUACAAUGGCAAUUGAGGGAGUCCUGGAUUAGGGGGUCCUCGGGUGUCCGGUCUCCUCGAUAUGGGCCGGACUGAUCGGCCGUGAAGAUAAAGCAGAAGACUAUCCCCCGUAUCCGGGUAGGACUCCUAUGUGCGUGGACGGCAAGUUUGGUGUCUGGAUUACUAUUUCCUUCUUCUGCAAACCGACUCUAUACAACCCUAGGCCCCUCCGGUGUGUAUAUAAACCGGAGGGUUUAAUCUAUAGAGGCUAUCAUAAUAAUGAUAGGCUAGACAGCUAGGGUUUAGCCAUUAUGAUCUCGAGGUAGAUCAACCCUUGUAACCCUUAUACACACCGAAUAGAAUCGAGUAGGACGUAGGGUUUUACCUCCAUUAAGAGGGCCCGAACCUGGGUAAACGUCGUGUCCCUACUGUCCCUUGUUACGAUCGAUCCUCAGACACACAACUUGGGACCCCCUACCCGAGAUCUGCCGGUUUUGACAUUGGCAUUGGUGCUUUCAUUGAGAGUUCCGUUGUGUUGUCGACAAAAGAAUCAAUGGCUCGCCUCGUCAUCGACGACGAUGCUAUGUCCGGGGAAACCUUUCUCCCUGGUCAACUCUUUGUGUUUGGCGGCAUCAUGCUACGUGCAAACUCGACCAGUCACCUUGAGCAGGUCGACAGCUACGCCCCUGGUCACCAGAUCAGGUUUGGAAGUUUGAAUUACGUCGCCGAUAUCCGAGGAGACCUGAUCUUCGAGGGGUUCACGACCUCGGCCGCCGCUCCCCACCCAUAGGAAGGAGCCCUUCGGAUCCACUAUCAGAUCCCGUCCAGGGGUCGGCGCUCGUAUCCGACUCGGCCAUAGAUCCGGGACGGACCACAUCAUCCGAAGACGGGGGGAUGAACCCCGCCGAACUCUCUCCCAUCACGGAGCUUCUAGCCGGAGACCCAGAUGCGGCCACGCUGUCGGCAGACCCGGAGUCAAAUGGGACUCUUCCUGUCACCUGGAAGCCGGACUCGCCUCUGGACGUCAACUCCGAACUCUCGAGGUCUGCGUCCAUUGGGCUCGAUCAAGCGGUUAUCACCGAACCUAGCUCCGCAGAUCCUCAAAUUCCUGUCUAGCUUUUGCUCUUAAAUGAAAUGCUGGACUUAAUACAAUCUCUCGCCAUCACAGAAGUGUCACCUCCGAAAUACACCUAGCUUGGUAUGGAAGCCGAUAGUAGGGAAUUUUGCAUCCCACCCACCACCCACUUAAUAGCCACUGUCGAAGAUUUAACCAACAUGCUAGACUACGCCUCCGAAGACAUCGAUGGCAUGGACGACGAUGUUGAACCCGAACCAGGUCAAAACCCGCCCAUCACUGGGCAUUGGACGACCACUUCUACUUACGAUGUAUACAUGGUGGACACGCCUGAGAAGAAGGACGACGAUGGCACUCAGGAUCCAGAUGAGGACAAGCCCGUCGAUGAACCACCAAAACGCCGGCGUCAGCGGCGCCGCUCACGAUCGUGUCGGGGAAGGGAAAGCAAUACCGACACCAGAGAUAAUGACACUCCGGACAACGCCGAAGACCCCGACCACCCCGUCGAGCCUGCGUUCGAGCAGGAUGAGAGGGAAGAGGGUCAAUACAGCCCCGAAGAACUCGCUGAUCACGAGGAUUCGGAAGAUAGUAACUAAUUACCUAUCUUCGAAGAGGAUGUUAGCCUCAGUAACGAAGAUUUCAUCGUCCCAGAGGAAACCCUCGAACAAGAACGCUUCAAGCGACGGCUCAUCGCCACUGCACGGAGCCUGAAAAAGAAACAUCAGCAGAUUCAAGCCGAACAGGAUACGCUCAAUGUAAGUGCAUCUAGUGCCCCUUAGUUAUUUUGGUGUAUUGAAGACUUAUAGGUUAAGGGACUAAUGUGUUUAUGAGUGUACACAGGUCUAUAAGUCUAUGAGGAGUUUGAUAUUUACAGAGAAAGUCGACCCCUAAAAAUGAUUGUCUUCAAUUGAAGACUUUGGAUUUCUGAAGACUUUCUGAAGAUUUUGAAAGUGAAGAAAUUGGUGUGACCUUGAAGACUUGUUAUUCAUUUGAGGAACUUGAAGCAUGAAGACUUUUGUUUCCGUAGUUUCAUUUUCUCUUUCUUGAGUCAUAGGAAACACUGUACUGUUAAAGGGGGUCGAGGAAAUACUAAGGAAAAAUUUCCAUGUGACGCUCAACUCAAAAUCCUACACCUACCAAUACCUUCGAGUGAAGCCAUUGGAAAUCUCAUGCGGUUCAGUCAUAUUGUUCAGUGACAGAGACGAAGUUCUUCUGGUCUCUGAGGAAUUUGUCCUGACUGAGGAGUUAGGAAUUCGCCAGUGCGGAUUGCCUACACAGUGAGGAACAUGAUAGCCCUGAGGAAUUUGAACCUCAAAUUUCCGACCGUUGCUGUGCUAUGCGCCAGCUGUCCCAAAAUAUCUACCCACCUAACGGUCAUAUCAUUGAAGGGCAUUUAUGUCUUAUCAUGUCGGGCUGCUCCCUAGGCUAUAAAUAGCUGGUUGGCUACUCCGGGAGAAACUGACACUUGUCAUUUGAGAGCAUCCCAUCCUCCGAGGACUUUGAGUGAAAAUCAUCAAGUGAGGAAAACCAAAACCCAAACCCAAACACCUACAAACCCAAAGUGAUUGAGCAUCACUGAAGAGAUUGAUCCUGCAUGGAUCCGACGCUUGUUACCUUUGAAGACUGUGCUUCUUCCAGACGGUUAGGCGUCAUGGUCUAGAGCAUCCAAGAGGGAAUUGUGGAUCGCCGAGUGACUGAGUUUGUGAAGGUUUGGAAGCCACCUGAAGACUUACCAUGAGUGUUUGGGCGAGGUCUGUGUGACCUUAGCUCAAGGAGAAUACAAUGAGGACUGUGUGUCCGGGACUGUGUGUCCUCAGGUUUAAAUACCUAGCCGCUCCAACCAGAUGUACAACUGAGACAACAGUUGGAAUUGGUCUACCAAAUCAAUGUUUUCACCAAGCUCACGGGUUCUAUUUCCUCAACUCUUUCAUUUCCUCAUAUCUGUUUUGAAGAAUUUGACUGAAGACUUUCUCAAAUUCCUCAGUUCAAUUUCUUCAGUCUGUUUGUCUUCAUCCUGUUUUAUCCUGUGCCUACAUUUUCUGUACUCUGUGUUUGUCUUCAUUUCAUCAUGAUGACCAUGCUUGUAUUCUGUUAUGUUUACUUCUGAGUACUUAUUCCGCUGCAAGUAGUUCUUCGCUUAGGAAUUUCCUCACCCUGAAAUUCCUCAGUGAAGAAUUCAUAAAAAUCACCUAUUCACCCCCCCUCUAGUCGAUAUAACGCACUUUCAAUUGGUAUCAGAGCAAGGUACUCCCUUGUUCUGUGUGAUUUUGGUUUAACCGCCUGGAGUUUUAGUUAUGUCGACCGCAGAUAUGAAGAAAGUGACAUGCCCCAUCUUUGACGGUCACGAGUAUCCCAAGUGGAAGGCCAUGAUGAAGAAGCGCCUCAUGGCGAUGAACAGCGAGCUGUGGACCAUCACUGAGAUUGGCCUUACUGAUCUGUUCAAGAUGGCAGAAGCUGAUGACAUUCGCAAGUUCACCCUUCUCAACCUCAUGGCGAAGGAUGUUAUUUGCUCCUGUCUGUCUCAAAAUCAGUUCCGGAAUAUCAUGCAUCUCGAUCAUGCGAAGCUUAUCUGGGACCGUCUCUCUGAGGUCUAUGAAGGUCAUCGAACACGUCAUGAUCCUUGGUUUGAUGAUUUCAAGGAAUCUCUCAAAUCGAUGACAUUCGAACCAGAAUCAUCAUCCUCUACUCCAUGCCUUAUGGCAAAAGGUGCUAAGGUAACUGAAUGCUACCUAUCUGAAUCCAGUGAUGAAGAAUCUGGUGAUGAAUUUGGACCGAGCUAUGUCAAAUUUGCUUCCCUUGCCACCAAACAACAAAGAGCCUUAGAAAAAGUACAAUACAUGCUAAAUAAGAGCGAUGAUAUGUUGGGUGAGGAAAUGGAUCAGUCGAAAGCCUUGGCUGAAAGUCUUCAGAGACUUCAGUCUAAGUUUGAUAACCUUCAAGGUCAUCAUAACACUCUCUUAUCUGAUCAUGAGAAGCUUUCCUAUGAAUUUCUUCAAAGGAAGCAAGAUCUUGAAAAGCUAAGAGUGAGUUAUGAAGAUCUUCAGAAGGAGCGUGAUUCACUACUUGCUCAACAAAUCAGCGCUUCUCAGGAAGAAUUUGUUCCUCCAUGUUUGAAGUGCAUUGAACGUGAAUCUGCUAAUUCUUCACCUGAAAGUUCAAAUGCUUCUAAUGCUACAAAUUCUUCACCUGUCUCUGCUAUCACUAAUUCCUCAUCUGAGGACAUUGCUAGUAUCACUGAAGAUGCAGGGCUGAAGGAAUUGUACAUGACAGGCAUGUACAAAAGCCUCAAAGGGCAUCAGACUCUUUGUGAUGUGCUUAAAAAGCAGAUCCUCAACAGGAACCCUAGGAAAGAGGGUAUUGCCUUUGAGAGGAAACUCAAUGCUGAUGGUACAUACUGGAAGCAUGAGUAGUACCCCAAAACCUCAUGGGUUGCUGCAAAGGGACCUCCAGUUGAUCCAUCCAAUUUAUUUGGCUUUACAUGUGAAUCUCCUCAUUCUUCUGAUGAGUCAUUUGACUCCAACUAUAAACUGUUCAAAAAUUAGAAUGGUGAAGUAUUUGCUAGAUAUGUUGGCACUAACUGCAGGAAUGGUUCCCCUAUGAAGAAAAUCUGGGUUCCCAAAAGGUGUCUUGAAAGUCUUCAGGUGAAUGUCAUCAUGACACCACCAGUGAAGAAUAGGAACCCCAGAUCAAAUUCUUCAUAUGGACCAAAUUCUUCAUUUGGAUCCAAGUCCUCGUACGGACCAAAUUCCUCACAUGGAUCAAAUUCCUCAAAAGGAUCAAAGUCCUCAUAUGAUCAUUAUCGUGCUAAUCUUCUGUUUCGCAGGGAACUAAGGGCUAUGAAUAUGAGCAUUUUUCUUCUAAUCAUUAUGUUCAUAAGUCCUCGAAGAAUUUCUCUGCUUAUUCAUAUGCUUACCCUAAUUCCUCUUAUGUGAAACGAAGUGGACUGGCUUCUAUGCCACCUUUUGUGACACCCAAGUUUUUAUUUGGAUUUUUCAAAAGAUUUUUGUUUGACUUGAGGGAGGUGAUUUAAUUUUUUUCAAAAGAACUCUCCCUUUCAAAUAUUUUUUUAUGGCAAAAGUUUUAUUUGGAUUCACCCAAGAUCUAUCUUUGGUCUUGGAGGUUCUUGCUUUUCAUUUGGACUCAAGACAAAAUACUUUUCACUUGGGAAAAUGCCUUUUGAAAAUCUCUUUGAAAUUUGCACUAUGGCUUUUGGAAUAAUCCUUUACCACUUUCAACAUUUCCCUCUUGCCAUGGCCUUAGUGCAAAUACUCUCUCCUAACCCUCCCCUCAUCUUUGGAUCAUGUUUGGCAUCUAAUCCAGCAAGUUGAACCUCCCCUAUGUUUAUUUUCCAUUUAAAUCUUAUUCAAAUAAAUCUCUGUCUUCUAUUCUAUCCAUUGGUGAUUUACAAAGGAACUCUACUUUCUGUUUUGAUUUUUGCCCCCAAACCAACUCUCCUCCCUAGUCCUUUGAACCCUCAACCAAGAUCCAUGAAGAUCCACUGGUCUUCAGUUCAAAUUUUUCAAACUACACUUGCGGCAAGUUUGGACCAGAUUUGUCAAAUUUGGUGAAAUUCAUUCAAACCCUUCUCCAAAAAUUCCAAGUAAAAUCAGGCAGCCUCUGGGUGCAUUGAGUGGUCACCUCACCAAGUUACAGCCCCAGAAAAAUUUAUCUCAUAGCCAAAUCUUUCUGUCGAACACCUGCAGUGCAUUGUCAAUGUCAAGUUUCAGUUAAGUUCAGAGAACAUUGCAGUGCACUGUCAUUUUCUUCAGAACCCGACGACGAUCUCACCAGUGCCACUGUGUCGCCUUGCUCCUCGUUCCCUCCCCUUUGUUCCUGCACCGGACGACCGCCUGGCACCUUGCGGACGUCGGCGACGAGCAGCAGAAGGUGCGCCGCCCCGUGACCGACGCUAGCGGCGGCUUUGCGGCCGCCAGCGGGAGGCACGGCGCUGAUGGCGCCACCCAGCGCCGCCCAAACCACCGGAGCUCGGCGCGUGGCCUUCCACUCCCCCGAACGCGCUGCCGCUCUCGUCGUGAACCGCAGGGCGCGGAGCGCACUCUCUGCCGCAGUCGAGCCCGUGCGGCCAUCUCACCGUGGACCGACACCAUUACGCCAAGACCAACUCCGUUUAGCUGUGGAAUGACACCAGUAACCUCCACUGAUGCUGCCUGGACACUCAAACCUCCUGCCAAUCCACUGCAUCGCCGUAAUCGCUCGCCGGAGAUUCUCCGUUCACGGCCACCCCGUCGAUCCGCCUAUAAAUAGAGGCCCCGAGCUUCAACUCGAGCACCCACCAUCCCUGCACUCCACCUAGAGCACGCCUAGCCACUGGAAGAGCCCCGAGGAGGUCUCCUUCCUCGACUCCGGCCGCCGCGACCCGCCACGGGAUCCAGCUCGAUUCGCCCCCGUGUGUGCACCUCCGCCUCCCUUCUCUUGCCAGUAGCUUCACUAUGCAUCCCUCCCUCUGACCCGCGCUUCAAUUCGAAGUUUGCAGCCCUCCACCGGAGUUCCCCACCAUCACCCGAGCCGCCGUCCGCCGGAGAUAGUAUCGCCGUCGACGUGGUGCUCCCCGUUGGUCGAGUCCACCACCCACCGAUGCGGAAGAACACGCUGAAGCUCUUGGUACCCCCCGAUCCUCCUAACUCGCCGUGGUUCGACGCCGGCGUCCACCGCAGACUUCGGGCGCCGGCGAGCUUUUCAAACCUGACAUGUGGACCCCGCAUGUCAGCCUCUGUUAUAUUACCCCUCGAACCGUUUUCUAUUGGCGCCUUCGGGCAAAUACGCUUUCCCUCUUGAGCUUGCGCAUUUCCAAUCGAACCGUUUUCUGUUUUCUCAGUUAAAACCUUGGAACUUUUCUGUUUCAUUACAGAUAAGUCCCUAGACAGAAACCUUUAUAACUUUUUAAUAAAAAGGGAUUUUUGAGUGAUUCUUUUUCUGACAGUCUUCAAAUUUUGUCUAGUUUUUUAUGAGAUUUAUUUGGAAAUUUUUUGGGGAAGUUUCUGUGCACCCAUUGGUUUUCACGUUAGUGCCCGUUUUCGUGAUUGCCGUAGGUUCCGGAAGAGGUGACGGAGCCGCGAACUUCGCCGAGCUAGACUCCGACUUCUCCGAACCAGGCAAGCAUGUUUGAACAUUUGAUAUGAUAAGUGUUUUUCAUGUUUUCUUGAAGGUUUGUGCAUGGCAUAUGAGUGUCGGUAAAUACCUCGUUGCUUGUAAGGUAACUACCCGCGUGUUCCAAAGUUGCGAUGAUCUCUGAUGAGAGAUGGCCUAAUCAUGUGGUGACAUGAAGGGCAGCAAGGUGGUACUGUUGUAGCAUACCAGCCUUGCAUCAUCCGACUUUCUCCGACGUUAACGUGGACGGAGUCACGUUAUCGUUCUUUUCCCCGCAUGUUCCAAAGUUGCGAUGAUCUCUGAUGAGAGAUGGCCUAAUCAUGUGGUGACAUGAAGGGAAGCAAGGUGGUACUGUUGUAGCAUACCAGCCUUGCGUCAUCCGACUUUCUCCAACGUUAACGUGGACGGAGUCACGUUAUCGUUCUUCCCCCCUUCCGUGCUACCACAUGUUUCAUUUGCCAGGAUGCGGUUUAGUAAGUUGGUAGCCUCUUUCCGUGUACACACCAAACAGAGAGGCCGGGAUGAUGGUACCUUGGCCCAGGAUUAAAGCCAGUCAUCCGGUCAGGGGGCAUGGGUGUUUCCGGUUGGGACCGAGAGGGGGGGCACCCCCUUAGAGCGCGCGUAUAGAAAUUUGAUCCCAUGCUACGCGAGGUUGUAGCCUCCCCGUCUCAAGGUUUUUCUUAAACGUUGCCGAGGGUGAUCCCUGGCUUCGGAAGGUUGAAUUGGGUGUGUACUGGUUAGACGUGUUUCUUCCAAAACACCAUAGACGGAACUAGUCCCCGUGACUACUGAAAUCCGUUGGCUGUGGUUAAGUACAAACUCUGCAGAGUCAAUUCCUUCCAAGUCAUCGUAUCCAUGAUCAAGUAGUGAAAUCAGUAUAUCCAUAUCUAUCCGCGUGGAAAACUUGUCCCCGGUGAACAAGCUCAAGUGGUAAAUCCAGUUUAAUUAUUAUUCCUGUGGAUGGACUAAAUUUUUAUUCGCCUCGUACUUGUGAUAAUUUAUGCUCCCGAACUAUUAAAUUAUUGAACUGCAAUAUAAGCCCUUUAUGUGACGUCGCUCAGACGUCCGACUGCGGCGUGUCUUUUGUUUCUUACUUUAAAUAUAAGCCCUUUAUGUGAUGUCGCUCACACGUCCGACUGUGGCACGCACUGCUUUUAUUUUCUGUUAUGAGCCCUUUAUGUGGUGUCGCCCCGACGCCCGACUGUGGCAUUAUCAUUUCUGCAGUUUCCUCUCGAGGAGUCAUUCAGACACUCGUUUGGCACCAGUAUUAUUAUUCUCGCAGUUUCCUCUCGAGGAGUCUUUCAGACACUCGUUUGGCACCAGUAUUAUUAUUCUCGCAAUUUCCUCUCGAGGAGUCUUUCAGACACUCGUUUGGCACCAGCAUUAUUAUUCUCGCAGUUUCCUCUCGAGGAGUCAUUCAGACCCUCGUUUGGCACCAGUAUUACUAUUCUGCAGUUUCCGCUCGAGGCGUCAUUCAGACCCUCGCUUGGCACCCAGUAUUUAUUAUCUAUAUGUCUGAACGCACUGGAUAAAUUGUUCAUAUGCUUCAUGUUUACAUUUGUUAUAUCUUAUGUCCGAACUGUCUUGCGAGUACUUUCAUAGUACUCACCUGGCUUGUUGAUUUGGCCAGAUGUUGAUGAAGGUGAUCUCUUGGAUGAAGAGUUUGAUAGCGCGUCCGACGCCUAGAGGAGUCCCAGUCAGUGCUGCGCGAUCCCGGAUAUUGGUCACUUGUAUUAUAUACGCUUUCGCCACCCGCAAUAAGUCUCCUCGAGCCUCACUCCGACGCUCGAAGAGCUGUAGUCUUCAGGAGUCAUAUCACUCGCUUCGCGGUGAUAUUUCCACCACCGUUAUUAUCGUGAGUUAGUAGUAUGCCACCCUAUCCGUCGUCUUGUUUUAUCGGCGUGCAUGUAAUAAAUUGUUGGGCAGUCUCCGCUCAACCUUGUAUUAUAUUUAGUACUCCUGGUAUUUUUCUUCUGUGACCAAGAUAUUGUCUACCAGUGAGAAGGAAUUCUUCCUUACUGGUCCGUAAAAGGGAUUGGUCUCUCAAUAAUUAUUUUAUUGAAAAACCGGUCAUGACAAGCUUGGUAUCAGAGCCAGGCUGACUAUAGGAAGCCACUAGGUGCGAUCGCUAAUCGGUUAUUAUCGUUUUUUGUGCUUUUUCAGCUUUUUGCAAUUGUAGCUAUUUUCUACUGGUCAUCAUAAAUUUAUGACAUGACUACUCAGAAUUUUUGCCUACUUUUGUAGAUGGCAGGCAGCAGCUGUGAGAAUCGAGUGUUCACGAACGUGCCCGAGGGGUUUGUCAAGCUCCUCGUCUCCAUCACCAAGCUCGCGAUCGGGCCAGCAGCUCGCCCGGAGUUCACACUCUAUCAGCACAAGCUCAGUGACGACGUGUCUAUGCACCAAGCUGUGGUGCAAUUCAAGGGAGGACGUUCUGCUGCUCGCCACUUCCGUUUUGUGGGAAGGGCCAUGCCUACGGAGAGGCAUGCCAUGCAGAUGACUGCCCGUGAGGCGAUAGCUCGUCUUCGGGACAUCCUUCCUAUGAUGAAGACUCGUCGCUACCGCUACCUCCCAUGCCAUGUGCCAUACACCAGCCACUAUGCGUUCGCCUGCCAUCGGGGAGAGCGAGAUGAAGCCAUCGAGAUGGUUGUGGAGUAUCUCAAGGCUCUGGAGGAGUCUUUCGACAACCUCGUGGACGAUCUUGUGGCUGCCCGCAUGGACUUAGUCCGGGGCGGUCCUGCCAGCAGGAAGGAGCUUCUCAACACGACGCCGCCUCUGACAUUCGUCUCGUCUUCAGCCUCGUAUGCACCGGCCGUUUUGGCCACUGCUCGCCGUCUGCCUACCACUGAGGAGUUCGACCGAGUCAUCGCUCCUACUCCAGUCAGAGCCGCAUCGCCUGCCGCACCCGCUCUAAAACCAGUCGCCCCCACACCAUCACCGCAGCGCAGCGUCACGCGCCAGGAGCCAGCUAGAGAGGAGGUGGAGGUGGAUUCUCCUGGACCGCUGAGUCUUGCCAUCGGCAAGGGAAAGGGAAUCUUCACCAUCUCCGACUGAGAGCACCGAGUAGCCGCGCGUUAUGUCUGCUUGUAUGAUGUGCUGUUUUAUCUGUACGCUAGUUUGUAUUGGUGUGUUUGCUGCCUUCCGGAGUAGUACGCUAGUCUAAAUAACAUGUCAGGAUGUGUACGCGCAUCCUGAGUGCUGUAUCGUGUGUUUGCUUUUCGCGUGUAAGUUAUUUGCUAAGCACUUCUUCUCCAUGCAAGAUCGUUUGUGUUUCUUUGAAAACCUUGAGGUCUUUUAAAUUGUUGCCUUUGCAAGAUUUUUCCUUGUGCUACACAGUUUUUCUCAUGGGUUUUGCAAAUAAUACCCCAGACUGGAAAAAUGUCCCGCCCGUGGACUCGCUCCAUGCCCAAUCAGCCAGAAGAGGUGUAUGGGACACAGACUAGCAACAAUUUCACUCAGGGUCAGUCCAGCCAACAAGACAGCGAAGCAACCCUGUCUCAAGUAUGCCGUCUCUUCGAGCAAAGUCAGCAACAGCACCAAGAGAUGAUGAAUCAUGUCAUCAAUAUGGGAAACCACCGUGAACCCUAUCAACCACAUUCCUAGCUAUCCGAAUUACAGAAGACUCGCCCCUCAACUUUUGCUCACACCGAUAGGCCGCUGGAAGCCGAUGAUUGGCUUCGUGACAUUGAAAGGAAGCUGAUCAUUGCUCAGUGUUCAGAUCAUGAGAAGGUGCUUUAUGCACCACACUACCUUACUGGAGCAGCUGCAGCAUGGUGGGAAAAUUUCCUACACAUGCAUCCCAGUGAACACAACAUCACCUGGGAAGAGUUCAAGGAAGGCUUCCGUGGGGCACACAUCCCCAGGAGCAUCCUAAAGAUCAAGAAGAGGGAGUUUGAUGACCUGAAGCAGAGAGGCAUGUCAGUAACAGAAUACAAUGGUCAGUUUACCCAGCUGUCUCGUUAUGCCUACGACGAGCACAUGACCGAAAAUAAGAAGAUGGAAAAAUUCCUGGACGGCCUGGCACCAGCACUAAGAUGCCAACUGAUUGUACACACCUUUCCGGAUUUUAAGACUCUGGUGGACAAGGCCAUUACCUUGGAGAAUGAGCGCCGUAGUCUGGAAGAUAUCCGUAAAUGCAAGAGGGACAAGACGACUCUUGCUCGCAACAACCGAAGCAGGACUGAGGUUCCACGGACAGACACAAGGAGACCCACGAUUACUGAACCAAGGCCCGUCAGACAGUUUCAUGCCAGGGACAAGGAGUACACGUACCGUCCAGGGGUCACUUGCUAUGCUUGUGGUCAAGAAGGGCAUUAUGCUAAACAGUGCCCAAAGCCAAAGAACCCGGCACCCAAGCCAAACAAUGGUGGGAACAAUCCAGCCCCCAAGCGCAACAAUUUCAACCCCAACAACAACCACAGGAAGGGUCACCUGAACCAUGUGACCAGGGAAGAGGCGCAGAAUGCCCCAGACAUCGUGCUCGGUACGUUCCCUCUCAACACAGUACCUGCCACGGUUUUGUUUGAUUCUGGAGCUUCCCAUUCGUUCAUUUCGGAGAGUUUUGUUUUGCAACAUGGUUUUCCGAUACUUCCCUUGGAAAAAUCUAUGGUCAUCAAGUCCCCCGGAAAUAAGCAAAUCGCUCAGGGUUACUGCCGAGGAGUGGUCAUUGAGUUCGAAGGACUACAAUUCCACACGAAUCUCAUCGUGUUGGAGAGUAAGGGACUGUAUGUCAUUUUAGGGAUGGACUGGUUGACCACCAACAAAGGAUUCAUCGACUGUUUCAAUCGGACAGUGAUUCUCACUCACCAUCACGGCAAGACAAUAAGAGUUUCCGCUCAAGAAAGGCCACGAUCACAGCAACCAAAACUGAACAAAAUGGACAUUGCAGAACUGAGAAAAGUUCCAGUGGUAUGCGAGUUUCCUGAUGUGUUCCCUGAAGAACUACCAGGCAUGCCACCAGACCGAGAGAUAGAAUUCGGCAUCGAACUAGCACCUGGCACCGCUCCCAUCUAUAAGAAGCCAUAUAGAAUAGCACCCUCCCUCAGAAUUGGUGGAGUUGAAGAAGAAGAUAAAAGAAUUAUUGGACAAAGGAUUUAUUCGAGCCAGCUCCUCACCUUGGGGUUCUCCUGUGUUGUUCGCAAAGAAAAAGGAUGGGACACUGAGACUGUGUAUAGACUAUCGAGCCCUCAAUAUGGUCACCAUCAAAAACAAAUAUCCGAUGCCACGGAUAAAUGAUUUGUUUGACCAGCUCGCACAAGCCAAGGUAUUCUCAAAGAUUGAUUUGAGAUCGGGAUAUCACCAAUUGAAAGUACGGACAGAAGAUAUCCCCAAGACAGCAUUCACUUCCAGAUAUGGGUUAUACGAGUUUACAGUGAUGCCUUUUGGACUAACGAACGCCCCCGCAUAUUUCGUCCACCUCAUGAACAAAGUGUUCAUGAAAUUCAUGGACAAAUUUGUGGUGGUAUUCAUUGACGAUAUUCUGGUUUACUCCAGGACACCAGAAGAGCAUGCUGAGCACCUCAGAAUUGUUUUGGGAGAAUUGAGGAAAUAUCAGUUGUACGCCAAAUUUAGCAAGUGCGAAUUUUGGCUAAGACAAGUUGGUUUCUUAGGCCAUAUACUGAACCAAGAAGGCGUGGCCGUAGACCCAGAAAAAGUCAAGGCCAUACUGGACUGGAAGCCACCCGCCAACGUUACUGAUGUGCGGAGUUUCCUAGGAAUGGCCGGAUAUUACAGAAGAUUUAUUGAAGGAUUCUCCACUGUGGCAAAACCUAUAACACAGUUGCUCAAGAAGGACAAGAAAUUUGUAUGGACGGAAGCAUGCGAGAAAAGCUUCCAAGAACUCAAGAAGAAGCUGACAACCGCACCGGUCUUAACUAUGCCAGACAUACACAAGAGCUUUGAAGUGUAUUGUGACGCGUCCCGAAAAGGUCUCGGAUGUGUACUAAUGCAGGAUGGCAAAGUAGUCGCAUAUGCCUCACGGCAGCUGUGAAAACAUGAGGAAAAUUACCCAACACAUGACUUGGAGCUAGCAGCAGUUAUUCAUGCACUCAAGGAGUGGAGGCACUUUCUGUUGGGGAAUCGCUGUGAAAUAUACACGGACCAUAAGAGCCUCAAAUAUAUCUUCACACAGCCAGAGCUAAAUUUACGCCAACGACGCUGGUUGGAAUUGGUCAAGGACUAUGAUGUCGGCAUUCACUACCAUCCAGGGAAAGCAAAUGUAGUGGCAGAUGCCCUUAGUCGAAACCCCAGCCCGGACAAUGACGGUCCGCAAUACUUGAGGCCUGAGUUUCAGCAAGAGUUCACUAGGCUCAACAUGAUGUUAGUUUCUGAGGGCACCAUGUCAAAUCUAGAGAUACAACCCACCCUGGUGGAACAAAUUAAGAAGGCUCAACAGGGACAUCCCAGCAUCGAAGGCAUAAAGAAGAAAAUGAACCUUGGAAAGGCUUCAGAGUUCGUCACCGACAGUGAAGGGACACUAUGGUACGGAGACAGACUUUGCGUACCAAACAUUGAGGAACUCAAGCAACAAAUCUUAACCGAAAGCCACACCGCUCCAUACUCGAUCCAUCCUGGAGGAACCAAAAUGUAGAAGGACAUUCAGGAAAGAUUUUGGUGGCACGGUAUGAAAAAAGAUAUAGCCACAUUCAUUGCUUGUUGCGAUUCAUGUCAGCGCAUCAAGGCCGAGCACCAAAAGCCAGCAGGACUACUCCAGCCUAACAUGAUACCGGAGUGGAAAUGGGAUGAAAUAGGAAUGGAUUUCAUCGUCGGACUACCCCGAUCACAACGUGGGAAUGACGCCAUAUGGGUCAUCACAGACCGACUAACCAAGGUUGCUCAUUUCAUUCCCGUGAAGACUACCUACUCCACACAAAGACUGGCCAAACUUUAUCUCUCCCGUAUAGUUUGCUUGCACGGAGUCCCAAAGACUAUAAUAUCAGACCGAGGCACCCAAUUCGUCUCCAAAUUUUGGGAUCACCUACAACAAGCUCUGGGCACGCAACUAGCUUUCAGUACAGCAUACCACCCUCAGACUGAUGGACAAACGGAAUGUGUAAACCAAAUCCUAGAGGAUAUGCUAAGAGCCUGUGUGCUCACCUAUGGAUCCAGUUGGGAAGAGAGUUUGCCGUAUGCCGAAUUUGCUUACAACAACAGUUACCAAGCCAGCUUACAAAUGGCACCCUUUGAAGCAUUGUACGGACGAAGGUGUCGUACCCCACUGAAUUGGUCAGAAACAGGUGACAGCCGUAUCUUCGGCCCGAACAUGCUUAAAGAGGCCGAGGAGAAAGUUAAACAAAUCAGGGACAGACUCAAGACAGCACAGAGCCGACAAAAGAGCUACUAUGAUCAGAAGCAUCGUGAGGUCAGCUUUGAACCCGGUGAUUCCGUAUACCUCCGAGUACCUCCUAUGAGGGGCCUGCAACGGUUCAAAAUUAAGGGGAAGCUAGCCCCAAGAUUUAUUGGACCAUUUUGUGUAAAGGCACGAAGAGGCACGGUAGCCUACCAACUAGACCUACCCAAGGAGCUGUCAGACGUCCAUGACGUAUUCCACGUCUCACAGUUGAGGAAAUGUGUGAGUAACCCGGAGAAGCAUGUACCUCAUGAGAAGAUUGAUAUGCAGCCAGAUCUCACCUACAGAGAAAGGCCGGUAAAGAUAUUGGAGGAAUCUGAAAGAAGGACCCGUCAGAAAACGACAAGAUUUUUCAGGGUUCAGUGGAGCAACCACACUGAGGAUGAAGCUACAUGGGAAAGGGAAGAUUUCCUCCGGGCAGAGUAUCCAUAUCUAUUUGAGGAUCAACAGAAAUCUCGAGGACGAGAUUUUUCCUAAGGGGGUAGGUGUUGUGACACCCAAGUUUUUAUUUGGAUUUUUCAAAAGAUUUUUGUUUGACUUGAGGGAGGUGAUUUAAUUUUUUUUUUCAAAAGAACUCUCCCUUUCAAAUAUUUUUUUAUGGCAAAAGUUUUAUUUGGAUUCACCCAAGAUCUGUCUUUGGUCUUGGAGGUUCUUGCUUUUCAUUUGGACUCAAGACAAAAUACUUUUCACUUGGGAAAAUGCCUUUUGAAAAUCUCUUUGAAAUUUGCACUAUGGCUUUUGGAAUAAUCCUUUACCACUUUCAACAUUUCCCUCUUGCCAUGGCCUUAGUGCAAAUACUCUCUCCUAACCCUCCCCUCAUCUUUGGAUCAUGUUUGGCAUCUAAUCCAGCAAGUUGAACCUCCCCUAUGUUUAUUUUCCAUUUAAAUCUUAUUCAAAUAAAUCUCUGUCUUCUAUUCUAUCCAUUGGUGAUUUACAAAGGAACUCUACUUUCUGUUUUGAUUUUUGCCCCCAAACCAACUCUCCUCCCUAGUCCUUUGAACCCUCAACCAAGAUCCAUGAAGAUCCACUGGUCUUCAGUUCAAAUUUUUCAAACUACACUUGCAGCAAGUUUGGACCAGAUUUGUCAAAUUUGGUGAAAUUCAUUCAAACCCUUCUCCAAAAAUUCCAAGUAAAAUCAGGCAGCCUCUGGGUGCAUUGAGUGGUCACCUCACCAAGUUACAGCCCCAGAAAAAUUUAUCUCAUAGCCAAAUCUUUCUGUCGAACACCUGCAGUGCAUUGUCAAUGUCAAGUUUCCGUUAAGUUCAGAGAACAUUGCAGUGCACUGUCGUUUUCUUCAGAACCCGACGUCGAUCUCACCAGUGCCACUGUGUCGCCUUGCUCCUCGUCCCCUCCCCCUUGUUCCUGCACCGCACGACCGCCUGGCACCUUGCGGACGUCGGCGACGAGCAGCAGAAGGUGCGCCGCCCCGUGACCGACGCCAGCGGCGGCUUUGCGGCCGCCAGCGGGAGGCACGGCGCUGACGGCGCCACCCAGCGCCACCCAAACCACCGGAGCUCGCCGCGUGGCCUUCCACUCCCCCGAACGCGCUGCCGCUCUCGUCGUGAACCGCAGGGCGCGGAGCGCGCUCUCUGCCGCCGUCGAGCCCGUGCGGCCAUCUCACCGUGGACCGACACCAUUACGCCAAGACCAACUCCGUUUAGCUGUGGAAUGACACCAGUAACCUCCACUGAUGCUGCCUGGACACUCAAACCUCCUGCCAAUCCACUGCAUCGCCGUAAUCGCUCGCCGGAGAUUCUCCGUUCACGGCCACCCCGUCGAUCCGCCUAUAAAUAGAGGCCCCGAGCUUCAACUCGAGCACCCACCAUCCCUGCACUCCACCUAGAGCACGCCUAGCCACUGGAAGAGCCCCGAGGAGGUCUCCUUCCUCGACUCCGGCCGCCGCGACCCGCCACGGGAUCCAGCUCGAUUCGCCCCUGUGUGUGCACCUCCGCCUCCCUUCUCUUGCCAGUAGCUUCACUAUGCAUCCCUCCCUCUGACCCGCGCUUCAAUUCGAAGUUUGCAGCCCUCCACCGGAGUUCCCCACCAUCACCCGAGCCGCCGUCCGCCGGAGAUAGUGUCGCCGUCGACGUGGUGCUCCCCGUUGGUCGAGUCCAUCACCCACCGACGCGGAAGAACACGCUGAAGCUCUUGGUACCCUCCGAUCCUCCUAACUCGCCGUGGUUCGACGCCGGCGUCCACCGCAGUCUUCGAGCGCCGGCGAGCUUUUCAAACCUGACAUGUGGACCCCGCAUGUCAGCCUCUGUUAUAUUACCCCUCGAACCAUUUUCUGUUGGCGCCUUCGGGCAAAUACGCUUUCCCUCUUGAGCUUGCGCAUUUCCAAUCGAACCGUUUUCUGUUUUCUCAGUUAAAACCUUGGAACUUUUCUGUUUCAUUACAGAUAAGUCCCUGGACAGAAACCUUUAUAACUUUUUAAUAAAAAGGGAUUUUUGAGUGAUUCUUUUUUUGACAGUCUUCAAAUUUUGUCUAGUUUUUUAUGAGAGUUGUUUGGAAAUUUUUUGGAGAAGUUUCUGUGCACCCAUUGGUUUUCACGUUAGUGCCCGUUUUCGUGAUUGCCGUAGGUUCCGGAAGAGGUGACGGAGCCGCGAACUUCGCCGAGCUAGACUCCGACUUCUCCGAACCAGGCAAGCAUGUUUGAACAUUUGAUAUGAUAAGUGUUUUGCAUGUUUGCUUGAAGGUUUGUGCGUGGCAUAUGAGUGUCGGUAAAUACCUCGUUGCUUGUAAGGUAACUACCCGCCUGUUCCAAAGUUGCGAUGAUCUCUGAUGAGAGAUGGCCUAAUCAUGUGGUGACAUGAAGGGCAGCAAGGUGGUACUGUUGUAGCAUACCAGCCUUGCGUCAUCCGACUUUCUCCGACGUUAACGUGGACGGAGUCACGUUAUCGUUCUUUUCCCCGCAUGUUCCAAAGUUGCGAUGAUCUCUGAUGAGAGAUGGCCUAAUCAUGUGGUGACAUGAAGGGCAGCAAGGUGGUACUGUUGUAGCAUACCAGCCUUGCAUCAUCCGACUUUCUCCAAUGUUAACGUGGACGGAGUCACGUUAUCGUUCUUCCCCCCUUCCGUGCUACCACAUGUUUCAUUUGCCAGGAUGCGGUUUAGUAAGUUGGUAACCUCUUUCCGUGUACACACCAAACAGAGAGGCCGGGAUGAUGGUACGUUGGCCCAGGAUUAAAGCCAGUCAUCUGGUCAGGGGGCAUGGGUGUUUCCGGUUGGGACCGAGAGGGGGGGGGCACCCCCUUAGAGCGCGCGUAUAGAAAUUUGAUCCCAUGCUACGCGAGGUUGUAGCCUCCCCGUCUCAAGGUUUUUCUUGAACGUUGCCGAGGGUGAUCCCUGGCUUCGGAAGGUUUAAUUGGGUGUGUACUGGUUAGACGUGUUUCUUCCAAAACACCAUAGACGGAACUAGUCCCCGUGACUACUGAAAUCCGUUGGCUGUGGUUAAGUACAAACUCUGCAGAGCCAAUUCCUUCCAGGUCAUCGUAUCCAUGAUCAAGUAGUGAAAUCAGUAUAUCCAUAUCUAUCCGCGUGGAAAACUUGUCCCCGGUGAACAAGCUCAAGUGGUAAAUCCAGUUUAAUUAUUAUUCCUGUGGAUGGACUAAAUUUUUAUUCGUCUCGUACUUGUGAUAAUUUAUGUUCCCGAACUAUUAAAUUAUUGAACUGCAAUAUAAGCCCUUUAUGUGACGUCGCUCAGACGUCCGACUGCGGCGUGUCUUUUGUUUCUUACUUUAAAUAUAAGCCCUUUAUGUGAUGUCGCUCAGACGUCCGACUGUGGCACGCACUGCUUUUAUUUUCUGUUAUGAGCCCUUUAUGUGGUGUCGCCCCGACGCCCGACUGUGGCAUUAUCAUUUCUGCAGUUUCCUCUCGAGGAUUCAUUCAGACACUCGUUUGGCACCAGUAUUAUUAUUCUCGCAGUUUCCUCUCGAGGAGUCUUUCAGACACUCGUUUGGCACCAGUAUUAUUAUUCUCGCAAUUUCCUCUCGAGGAGUCUUUCAGACACUCGUUUGGCACCAGCAUUAUUAUUCUCGCAGUUUCCUCCCGAGGAGUCAUUCAGACCCUCGUUUGGCACCAGUAUUACUAUUCUGCAGUUUCCGCUCGAGGCGUCAUUCAGACCCUCGCUUGGCACCCAGUAUUUAUUAUCUAUAUGUCUGAACACACUGGAUAAAUUGUUCAUAUGCUUCAUGUUUACAUUUGUUAUAUCUUAUGUCCGAACUGUCUUGCGAGUACUUUCAUAGUACUCACCUGGCUUGUUGAUUUGGCCAGAUGUUGAUGAAGGCGAUCUCUUGGAUGAAGAGUUUGAUAGCGCGUCCGACGCCUAGAGGAGUCCCAGUCAGUCCUGCGCGAUCCCGGAUAUUGGUCACUUGUAUUAUAUACGCUUGCGCCACCCGCAAUAAGUCUCCUCGAGCCUCACUCCGACGGUCGAAGAGCUGUAGUUUUCAGGAGUCAUAUCACUCGCUUCGCGGUGAUAUUUCCACCACCGUUAUUAUCGUGAGUUAGUAGUAUGCCACCCUAUCCGCCGUCUUGUUUUAUCGGCGUGCAUGUAAUAAAUUGUUGGGCAGUCUCUGCUCAACCUUGUAUUAUAUUUAGUACUCCUGGUAUUUUUCUUCUGUGACCAAGAUAUUGUCUACCAGUGAGAAGGAAUUCUUCCUUACUGGUCCGUAAAAGGGAUUGGUCUCUCAAUAAUUAUUUUAUUGAAAAACCGGUCGUGACACCUUUCUCAUAUGGAGCUCGCAGAAUGAUGAACUCUUUGCCACCCCUUCAGAUGUGGAUGGUGAAGAAAAAGAACUAAUCUCUUAUGCAAGGUUAGGUCUCCAGACGUGCUUAAACGUCUGAAGAAUUUGCUGGAGACCUGAAAAUUUCCUGAAAGGACGCAGGCUAAUCAUGAAGAAAUGAACUUUCAUUUCACACGUCCUCAUACUGAUUUAUCUGUUCUAUUGCUGGAUGAAAUUGAUGUCAUAUUCUUCACUUAUGAAGUAUAUGAGUUCGUAAGUUGCACUAAUUCAUCUACAGGAUAAUCAACCCAAAGCCAAUGAGUGGGGUCCUCGAUAGUGGAUGUACUAAUCACAUGACUGGUGACAAGAAUCUAUUGAUGGAUGCUCCCAUAUCACCAUCGCAUCUGAAGCAUAUCAUCUUCACUGACAAAGGCAAAAGUCAGGUAUUGGGCCUAGGUAAGGUUGCAAUCUCAAAGGAUCGGCACAUGGACAAAGUCAUGCUUGUCGAGUCCUUAGGAUACAACCUCAUGUCUGUCUCAAUGCUUUGUGAUCUUGAUAUGGUUGUUGUCUUUGGCAAAUAUCGUUGUGCUGUGAUCAUGGAAGCUGAAAAUUCCAAAGUCUUCGAAGGCUUUAGGAGAGGAGACUUGUAUAGUGUUGAUUUCUCUACAGGACCACAAUCAGCCGUAUGCCUACUUGCAAAAGCUUCAGAAGGUUGGCUAUGGAAUCGACGACUUGGUCAUGCUGGCAUGAGGAAUUUGCACACGCUCGCGAAGAAGAAGCAUGUCAUUGGCAUUGAGAAUGUCAAAUUCCUCAAGGAUCACUUGUGCGGAGCCUGUGAAGCUGGAAAGAUGACCAAGGCCAAGCAACCAGCGAAGACUAUCAUGACUACCACUCGACCAUUUGAAUUGCUUCAUAUGGACCUCUUUGGUCCUAACCAUUAUUCUGCUGUUACAAAUGAUGCAUCUCUAUAUGGCUUUGUUAUUGUUGAUUAUUACUCUCAAUACACAUGGGUGCAUAUUGUCACUUACAAACAUGAGGUGCAGGAAGUCUUCAAACGAUUUUCCUCGAGGGCUUCAACCAACUUUGGUGUGAAGAUCAGGCACAUCAGAAGUGACAAUGGAACUGAGUUCAAGAAUUCUGGUCUUGACGACUAUCUUGAUGAACUUGGUAUUACUCAUGAGUUAUCUGCUCCUUAUACUCCUCAGCAGAAUGGCGUCGUGGAGCACAAGAACAGGACUCUUGUUGAGAUGGCUCGCACUAUGCUUGAUGAAUACAAGAUGCCUCGUCGUUUCUGGAUUGAGGCAAUUGAUACUGCUUGCCACAUCAUCAACAGGGUAUAUCUUCACAAAUUCUUCAAGAAGACUGCUUAUGAACUCCUCACUGACAAGAAACCCAAUGUGAGUUAUUUCAAAGUCUUCGGUGCUAAAUGUUGGAUUAGAGAUCCUCAUCACAACUGUAAAUUUGCACCGAAAGCACAUGAAGGUUUUAUGCUUGGUUACGGAAAGGACUCGCACACCUACAAAGUCUUCAACAACGUUCUUCACAAAGUUGUUGAAACUGUAGAUGUGCGGUUCGAUGAAACUAAUGGCCCGCGAGAGCACCUGCCUUCUGUGAUAGAUGAACCAACACCCGAGGAAUCUAUCAAGUUCAAAGCUAAUGAGGAUGUCAUUCCUACCGAAGAAUCUGCUGAAGAAUUCAUUCCAGAACGUGAAGAACGCCGAGCUGGUGCACUUGAAGAAAAUGGUGCUGAGGAAAAUGGUCCUGAAGAAAAUGCUGAUCAAAUUCCUCGACGAAAACCCGCUCAUCCUCGUGUUGCAAAUGUAGUGCAAAUUGAGAAAAUCAUCGAUGGCAUUGAAGCACCAGGUCCUCUCACACGCUCAAAAGCUUCACAUUUGUCUAACUUUUGUGGGCACUUUGCUUUUGUAUCUAUCACAGAGCCCACUAAGGUAGAUGAAGCAUUUCUGGAGCCUGAGUGGAUUCAAGCUAUGCAAGAAGAAUUACAUUAGUUCGAGCUCAACAACGUCUGGGAACUGGUCAAACGUCCAGAUCCUCGCAAGCACAAUAUCAUUGGCACAAAGUGGAUCUACCGCAACAAGCAAGAUGAAAAUGGCCUUGUGGUGAGGAAUAAGGCACGGCUUGUAGCUCAAGGCUACACACAGGUUGAAGGAAUUGAUUUCGAUUAAACUUUUGCUCCUGUUGCUAGACUUGAGGCUAUUCGCAUAUUACUUGCUUAUGCUAACCAUCAUGAUAUCACUCUACAUCAAAUGGAUGUGAAAAGUGCAUUCCUCAAUGGUAAGCUUGAGGAAGAAGUAUAUGUUGCUCAACCCCCAGGUUUUGAAGAUCCAAAGCAUCCUGACAAAGUCUUCAGACUCAAUAAGGCCCUGUAUGGCCUCAAGUAGGCCCCUCGGGCGUGGUAUGAUACUUUGAAGGAAUUCCUCAUGAAGAAAGGCUUUAAACCCGGUUCACUUGACCCAACUCUUUUCACUAAAUCUUAUGAUGGUGAAUUGUUUGUGUGCCAAAUUUAUGUUGAUGAUAUCAUUUUUGGCUGUAUUGACCAAUGUUACAGUGAUGAAUUUGCAUAUAUGAUGAGUGAAGAAUAUCAAAUGUCUAUGAUGGGAGAGUUGAAAUUCUUCUUAGGUCUUCAAAUUCGUCAACAGCGCAAUGGCAUAUUCAUAUCUCAGAAGAAAUACCUCAAGGAUGUAUUGAGGAAAUUCGGCAUGCAAGAUUGCAAAGGCGUCAAAAUCCCUAUGCCCACAAAUGGCCAUCUAUGCACUGAUGAAAAUGGUAUUGACUUCGAUCAAAAGGUAUACCGCUCCAUGAUUGGCUCUUUAUUGUGUUUAUGUGCAUCUAGGCCAGAUAUUAUGCUUAGUGUUUGCAUGUGUGCCCGAUUUCAAGCUACAUCGAAGGAGCCACACCAUAAGGCUGUGAAACACAUUCUUCGAUAUCUAGCUCACACACCAACACUUGGAUUAUGGUACCCCAAGGGCUCGGCUUUUGAUCUCAUUGGAUAUUUAGACUCUGACUAUGCUGGUGAUCGUGUGGACGGCAAGUCAACAUCUGGCACAUGUCAUUUCCUCGGACGAUCCUUGAUCUGUUGGUCCUCGAAGAAACAGAACUGCGUAUCACUAUCUACUGCUGAAGCUGAGUACAUUGCUGCUGGUUCUUGCUGUGCUCAAUUGUUGUGGAUGAAGCAAACUCUCAAGGACUACGGCGUCAACGUGAAGAAUGUGCCUCUCUACUGUGACAAUGAGAGUGCCAUCAAGAUUGCUCAUAACCCAGUUCAGCACUCGAAGACCAAGCACAUUCAGAUUUGUCAGCAUUUUCUUCAUGAUCAUGUGUUGAAGGGCGACAUUUCUAUUGAGCAUGUGAAGACUGAAGAGCAGCUAGCCAAUAUCUUCACAAAGCCCUUUGAUGAGAAGAGAUUUAUCAAGUUGAGGUGUGAGCUAAAUAUCCUAGAAUCUUCGAAUGUUCUUUGAAAAGGACACUCAUCCUAACACUUAUGCAAAACUGAUGACUUAGAUGUGCAACACGCGAAGAAACGUUUUUCUUCAAUCAAUGAAGACUAACACUCUAAGUGUGAAGAAAUUAACGAGGAAUUUGAUUCUCAGAGCCCUACGACAAUUGUACGCGGUGUCUGAAAUCAUCAUUCUUACACGGUGGGUCACGCCACCACGAAAAGUUGAAAAUCUUCAAUUUGAGUUUUUCUUCAGUUUGAAAUUCCUCAGUUGUUCAAAUUCUUCAACUUUGCAUUGUCUUCACUGUUUCCGUCGUUUUUCUUCAUUGACUAUAUAUAUAGAGAGAGAGUUUAUGUCCUCUACAGCAUUCACUCAUUGCUAAUUCUUCAAGUUGCUCUUUCGGCUAAGUGAAUGUGAUCGGACCCUUCCCCCUCUAUGCUAUACUCAACUCAAUCUAUUCACAAAUUCUUCAUGUGCGUUCUAUUUGAAACUCAUUCAAAAUCUUCACUGUGUCCUUGUCAGCUGAAGAAUUUGCGAACGGAACUUUUAACUUAUCUUAUCAAAAUUUUCGGCUUUGCCGCUCAAACCGUUCCGCAUUCCAUGAAAUACUUAUCUAUUCACCCACGAUCUCACACGAUCGCCACCUCUCAGUACGUGGGUGACACAUGUCAAGCGAAUGAGAAGGGUCAGGGGCACGUUCGUCCAAAUUCUUCGGGCGAACAGUUUUUUCACCGCGGCUAUAUAUACCCCUCCCCUUCCUCACUUCACUUUUACUCCACUAGACCUCUCUCCCGCUCGAGCUUCUCAAACCCUAGCUCCCCCGCUACUUCAUCAUCGCCGGUGAGGAAGAGCUUCACUGCCUCGACCUCGUCGCCGUCGCACUCGCGCCGGCUGCGGAUUUCUUCACUCCGCCGCCGCCGUAGCUGUCUUCCUCUGCCGAGUUAGGGUGUGGAAGAUCUGAGCUGACGAACUUCACAUCUACACCUCUCAGUUCAUCGUGUUCUUAAUUAAGGGUAAUUAAAAGUUACUUUUAUUGCCCCCUUUGAUUCGAAAAGUUUCUUCAAAAUCUUCAAAGGUGUUUAUUCUUCAAAUCUUCACACACUAAAGACCUCACACGUCAUCUGUUCUUGACUCGUUUCUCUAAGCAACAAUUUUUCUUCAAGAUUCCUCAAUUGUGUGGAUCUUCGAUCUAUACAACUCUGGAACCUAAGACAAAGAACGCUUAGUGAAAUUCUUCAAGACUCGUCUGGUCAAAUUCCUCAAACUUGUUCUUUUUGAAAAACCUUCUGAGAACGCAUAUAACCUCUCCAAAUACCUCGCAACUAUGCUCUGUUCACAGGUACACAUGUCUGCUGCUGAAUCACUAGGUUCUCAUCUACUUAACUCAUUUGCAGCGUUCCUCGAAGAACAGUUGCAUACAUCUUCAGAGAAUUCCAUUGUUUAAAUUCCUCAACUAAAGAAAAUGGCCGAUGGUAAGAAGCCACAGAAAGGAGGAAAGAGGCCUGAGGUAAAUACAACGUUUGAAAUCCCUGAGGAUAUUUAUGCUGGGUACUGCACACCCCCUGAGGAAGAUAAAAAACAGCGCAAGGUGCGCAUUCAAAAAAUUGAGAGGAGAUGGGCAAGAGAGUGGAGGGAGUACAGAUAUGCUACUCCCAAGUAUAUGAAGAAAUUCGCUCUAAAUCCUCCAUGCCCAAGACCUCCAUUGGCACCUGGCCAACUAGCAGAUCCCACCAGCCUCAAGCGCGGUGAGGAUUAUCCUGAUGAAUGGGCCAAGCGACAGGAAAAAUUGGCCAAACAAGCUAAAGAAGCAGUGAAGAAAUUCAACGAACACUCUGCUGCUGCUGGUGCUGAGGCCUCUGCUUUCAAGCCGAAGAAGGCCAUGGCAAAGAAGCCUGCUCACAAGCCAAGUGCUUCUUCUUCUUCAAUGCCCUCAUGGCCAAGUUCCUCAGCAAUGCCCUCACGGCCAGACUCUUCAAAGCCCUCACGACCUACUCCUCAAGCUGCUCCUGCACCUUCAAAGUCCUCAGCUCCGCCAUAAUCCUCAGCUGCUCCGACCAAGUCCUCAGCACCUGUGCACCUUGCCUCGUGCCAAAGGACAACGGGCAUCUCUACUGCCUCAGGAGCAUCUGCCAGUUCCUCAGCAGCACCAAAUUCUUCAACUGGCCCCUCUCUGCUGAAGACUAAGGCCACUGCUGGAUGAGGUUCACGCCCAAGUCCUCACAAGAAGCAGGUCGCCUUCCAAGUGCCGUCCGAUGACGAAGCUGAUGAUGAAGAACUUGCAGAAAUCAUCAGAGAUCGGCAGGUAAAGGCCGCUAGAGCCAAAGGCACAAAUGUGCCUCUGCUUUUGGAUCCAAAGUUGAUCCUCGAUUACAUUGAUCUCUGGCACAAGGACCCCAACACUCCUAUGCCUGAUUUCAAGCUGACUCCUGGUCAAAGUCAUAUGCUAACUGCCUUCAUCCAAGAAGAAAAAUGGAAAUUUGAGAAGGCCAGGCAGAUCAAGAAAACGCGGUACAGAAAGGAGCACUUUCUGAAGAAAAACAUUGUGUCUAAGACAACUGAAGAACUUGUCGCAAUUCAAUCUGAGAUCAAGAAACUCAGUGAUAAAUUUGACGCAUACCGUGCUGACUGGCUUGGAGCCAAAGUCAAAUUUGUGAAGUUAUCUGAAAAGCUCACCUCAAAUGUUGCAGCCCCAUCGCAACAAGAAAUUCCUCUGGCUGAAGCAUCUGCUCAGUCGACAAAAGAACAUGCCAGCACCACUGAUGACAAUCAGGCUCCUGAAGGAACUGAAAGUACGCGGGCUGAUGACUGCAUUCCAGCCGCUGAAGAAACUGCCAGGGCAUCCACUAGUGGUGCGCCUGAAGAAAAUGAAGAAGUCAGGGCAACUGCAUCAGUUGUGCCUGAAGAAAUUCAACCAAAUUCCUCUGCUCCUCCUGCGCCUACACCAACUCCGAUCCUUCCAUCCGCAUCAGAUGUGAAGAAGACCAAGGCUGCAGAGCGUGCAAAAGUGAAGAAAAGGAAGGCAUCAACUUCAUCAGAUUCUUUAGCUCCGAAGAAGAUGAAGCCUUUGACCAGCUCUUUUGCAAAUCCCAUUGAUACUGUUCCUAUCUCAACCAUGCCAUCAAAGGACCUUGUUCCUUCUGAUGAAGAUUAUGUGAUCCCAAGUGGAUCUGAUGAUGACAUUCCUUCUGCUGCUUCGUCAGAGCAGUUGGAUGAAGAAAUUGAAGUGGAUGCAAUCCCUUCAACACCAGUUAUCUCCUCGCCUAUGCCUUAGUUUACUGCUGAAGAGGCCGGUGUUGAAGAAAUGGAAGAUGAAGAUGUGGACAUUGGCUGUACCACACCCGUGCUGAAUGAUGACUUUUGGGAAAGUCAGCACCCCAACUCUCCACUAUUCACACUGUUGCAACAAAUUCCUCAGUCCCCAGCAACUACAGUUCAAAUGGGAUCUGAUGAACCACAUGCCACCCCUUCUGUCCAUGAAGAAAUUCCAGCCACUAGUGCUGAAGAAAAUGAAAAUGAAGAAUUGAAGACCUAGGCUGCCACUGAAGAAGAAGAAGCUGAAAUUCCUCAGCCUGUGGAACCUGAGAUUGCGAUUCCUGAGGUGAUAAUGCAAUUGACUGACACUCCUCAGCCCAAACCAAAGGAUCCAUUCUCAAAGAAGCAAAAAUUCAAGGCUGAUGAUUUCUUCGGUGAGCACGUGUUCUUCACUGACUAUAAUCCCUGUGAUUCUGCUCGUCUUAGAAGGAAGCGCUUCUGGACUGCCAGCCAGGCCAAUUUCUAUUCUUCACUGCUCUUCAACAAGGACAAAGUCUUCGACCACGAGCAUAUUCCUCAUGUGGACAUGGAAUCACUGCCAUGCUUCUCACCUGUCCUUAGUGUGCUUCAUGACGCAGGCCUCCUCAACUUUUGCACAGACAUAGUUGAUUGGAAUGAAGAGCUCAUUCUUCAGUUCUAGGCAACACUGCAUAUCACAGGAGAUCCUGACGAUGUGAACUCCUGGGUUUUGGACUGGAUGACCGAAAAUACUCACUAUAAGGCACCGUCCUCUGAAUUACUUCAUGCCCUGCCCAUCAGUCCUCCACCUGAAGGAGCUCGUUGCCUGUACAAAGAGCCUGAACUGACUGCUCAUUAUAUGCAAGUUCUUAUGAAGCCUCUGAAAUCUGGUCAAGCCCCAAGGACAAAAUUCCUCAUGAAGGAAUUGCUCUAUGUGCCAAGAACAGUCUAUCGCAUUCUGACGAAGACUAUGAGUCCAAUCAAAGGCCACAACUCGAAUGAUGAAGAAGUCGUUAGCAUCAUGAAGAAUCUGCUGUUCAACAACAUACAUGGCAUCCCUGUCAACUUUCAUGAUUUCUUCAUGAGGACUCUGGCAAAUGUUGCACUGUCUCCGUUUGAGCUGAAGCCUUAUGCUCCUUGGAUUAUGAGAUUCCUCAGAACAAGGUCUUCACUCAACUACAAAGCUGAUUUUCAGAAUCACCUCAGCUACUUGCCCCCGAUUGAAGUCCUCAAGCGGACAUAUUCCUCAGCUGAUGAGAAGGGCAAGGCACUAGCUGUUAUUGAUGAGGGCAUUCGUCCAUUGGAUGGUCAGUUUCGCAAAGCUGCAUCUUAUUCCACCAAUGAUGACUCUGCCACUCAUGAUUCUGCUGCCAAUGAUCCAAGACAAAUCCUCAAGCCAUAGCUCCUCGAGUGAUGACUGACCACGAGCUACUUCUUAGUCUUCACCAGAAGGUGGAUCGAAACCAUAAAUGGGUUAAGCAUCAGUUUGGUUCUACUCUUCAUAACAUGACUGCUACAUGUAAUGGAGUGAAAAAAACCAUUACUACCUCAAUGAACUCUUCGAUCGCACCUGGGCUAUUUUAUCACAUCUGUAUGGUGAAGAAGAUCUGAAGCAAAUGGGCUUCAAGGAAGAUUUUGACUGGUCUACUCCUCCACCGAAGAAUUUCAAGAAGGUCAAGGUUCCUUCCCUGGUGGCCAGCUCACUUUCUUCAUCGCGCGACACGGACGAGCAUGAAGACUUGGACGACACUGCAGCAGGCCCUACAACGACAAACGACCCCAACACGCUGGCGCUCCUCCAUCAACAUGAUAUUCUUCAGGGGUGUUAGUCCUCAUUUUUCGAUCCUUUUGGUCAUUCGAUGACAAAGGGGGAGAAAUUUGAGUUAGUCUUCAAGCGGGUCUAUAUAUGGGCGUUUUUUUGCUGAGUUACAACUCUCGUUCUUCUGAAAUUUUAUUUGAUCGAGUUGUAAACUUAAACCCGAUGGUGGUCUGAUACUUUUGAUGUGUUCUUCUACAUGCUUAUUCCUCGUUAAUAUUAAUGCACGCAUGCUGAAUUACAUCAGCCACCAUAUUUCUUCAUGCAUUUCAAAUUCUUCAUAUUAUAUGUCAAAUGCGUGUAUGACUUACAAGAUAUAGGGGGAGAUCUCCAUGAUUCUACUCUUCAAGUGUGCAUUGCUUCAAAAGCAAAUUCCUCACUAUGCACAUCUUCAGGGGGAGUUCUUCUAUAUCUUGCCAUCAAAUUCCUCAAUAUCAGUAUUUACCAAUGUUUUAAAUAGCGGGCUGUUGCCAAAUAGCGGCGGACCUCAAAAUCAGCUAUAGCGGGCUAUAGCAGGCUAUAGCGGGCUAUUUGUACAUGGGACUAUUUAGCGGCACCCUGCUGAAAAGGCUAUAUAGGGGCUAUUUAAAACAUUGGUAUUUACACUUCAUAUGAUUAUCCCCGUUGAAAACUUAACCUAUAUUGUCAUCAAUCACCAAAAAAGGGGAGAUUGUAAGUGCAUGUAGUGCCCCUUAGUGAUUUUGGUGUAUUGAAGACUUAUAGGUUAAGGGACUAAUGUGUUUAUGAGUGUACACAGGUCUAUAAGUCUAUGAGGAGUUUGAUAUUUACAGAGAAAGUCGACCCCUAAAAAGAUUGUCUUCAACUGAAGACUUUGGAUUUCUGAAGAUUUUGAAAGUGAAGAAAUUGGUGUGACCUUGAAGACUUGGUAUUCAUUUGAGGAACUUGAAGCGUGAAGACUUUUGUUUUCGUAGUUUCAUUUUCUCUUUCUUGAGUCAUAGGAAACACCGUACUGUUAAAGGGGGUGGAGGAAAUACUAAGGAAAAAUUUCCAUGUGAUGCUCAACUCAAAAUCCUACACCUACCAAUCCCUUCGAGUGAAGCCAUUGGAAAUCUCAUGCGGUCAGUCAUAUUGUUCAGUGACAGAGACGAAGUUCUUCUGGUCUCUGAGGAAUUUGUUCUGACUGAGGAGUUAGGAAUUCGCCGGUGCGGAUUGCCUACACAGUGAGGAACAUGAUAGCCCUGAGGAAUUUGAACCUCAAAUUUCCGACCGUUGCUGUGCUACGCGCUAGCUGUCCCAAAAUAUCUACCCACCUAACGGUCAUAUCAUUGAAGGGCAUUUAUGUCUUAUCAUGUCGGGCUGCUCCCUAGGCUAUAAAUAGCCGCCCCCUACAACCACUAGCUGGUUGGCUGCUCCGAGAGAAACUGACACUUGUCAUUUGAGAGCAUCCCAUCCACCGAGGACUUUGAGUGAAAAUCAUCAAGUGAGGAAAACCAAAACCCAAACCGAAACACCUACAAACCCAAAGUGAUUGAGCAUCACUUAAAAGAUUGAUCCUGCGUGGAUCCGACGCUUGUUACCUUUGAAGACUGUGCUUCUUCCAGACAGUUAGGCGUCAUGGUCUAGAGCAUCCAAGAGGAAAUUGUGGAUCGCCGAGUGACCGAGUUUGUGAAGGUUUGGAAGUCACCUGAAGACUUACCACGAGUGUUUGGGCGAGGUCUUUGUGACCUUAGCUCAAGGAGAAUACGGUGAGGACUGUGUGUCCGGGACUGUGUGUCCUCACGUUUAAAUACCUAACCGCUCCAACCAGAUGUACAACUGAGACAGCAGUUGGAACUGGUCUACCAAAUCAUUGUCUUCACCAAGCUCACUGGUUCUAUUUCCUCAACUCUUUCAUUUCCUUAUAUCUGUUUUGAAGAAUUUGACUGAAGACUUUCUCAAAUUCCUCAGUUCAAUUUCUUCAGUCUGUUUGUCUUCAUCCUGUUUUAUCUUGUGCCUACGUUUUCUGUACUCUGUUUUUGUCUUCAUUUCAUCAUGAUGACCAUGCUUGUAUUCUGUUAUGUUUACUUCUGAGUACUUAUUCCGUUGCAAGUAGUUCUUCGCUUAGGAAUUUCCUCACCCUGAAAUUCCUCAGUGAAGAAUUCAUAAAACUCGCCUAUUCACCCCCCUCUAGUCGAUAUAACGCACUUUCACUCAACAAUAGAUGGACUAAGGUCCUAGCCGCCGAAGAAGGAUACAACGUUGAGCGCCAAACAAAGAGUUAUCCCAAGCGUAGGCUACUGCCACAAUUUGACGACGAAGCCUUCGAGCCAAUACCGUUAAAAUACAAUCAGGCUGAUCAACUGGACCGACCACCGCAUGGGCGGGACAAAACGACUAAUUAUGCCGAACACCAACCCGCGCCCCCUCGUCGUAAAGGCAAGGAAGCAGCGGCUCUGGGCUACACAUACGACCUACGUCAGGACCUGACCAAUAGAGUCGGCCAGACUAGAUCAAUAUAUGGAUCAAGAGGACGUGCCCCAACACGAGACGAGGGCACCGUACACAGAUGUCAUUCGAACCCCGUCGCGAUGUCUCCCGAUACAGAGGUGCCGCACACCCCAUGUGCUUUACCGAUGAGGUAAUGCAACACCAAUUUCCAGAGGGGUUCAACCCAUGAAUAUCCAGCAAUACGAUGGAACGACGGAUCCCGCCGUAUGGAUUGAAGAUUUUCUUCUCCACAUUCACAUGGCUCGCGGAGAUGAUCUCCACGCCAUUAAAUACCUCCCUCUAAAGCUGAAAGGACCAGCACAACACUAGUUGAACAGCCUCCCAGAGAACUCCAUCGGCUGUUGGGAAGACUUAGAGGAUGCUUUUCAGGACAACUUUCAGGGAACUUAUGUCCGGCCACGGGAUGCUGAUGACCUGAGUCACAUAAUCCAGCAACCCGGAGAGUCAGCUCGAAAACUUUGGAAUCAGUUCUUAAUUAAAAAGAACCAAAUUGUGGACUAUCCGGACGCCGAAGCCUUAUCGGCAUUUAAGCACAGCGUCCAUGACGAAUGGCUCGCCCGACACCUCGAUCAGGAAGAGCCAAAGACUAUGGCAGCUCUUACUGCACUUAUGACCCGCUUCUGCGCGGGCAAAGAUAGCUGGCUGGCUCGUAGAAGCAACAGUACCAGCGACCCUGACACCUCUGAGGCCAGGGAUGGCAAUGGAAGGCCAUGACACAACAAAAACAAGCGUCGAAACAACAACGAAGAAAUAGAGGAUACGGCAGUAAACACCAGAUUCAGUGGCUCUAAAUCCGGUCAGCGGAAGAAGCCAUUCAAAGGUAAUAGGGACGGUCCAUCCAACUUGGACAAAAUACUCGAGCGACCUUGCCAGAUUCAUGCCCCCCCCGACAAGCCUGCCAACCACACCAACAAAAAUUGCUAGGUUUUCAAAUAGGCUGGUAAAUUAAAUGCCGAACAUAAGGGGAAAGGACCUCAAAGUGAGGAUGAUGAUGAGCCUCGCCCGCCGCACACUGGGGGACAGAAACAGUUUUCCCCCGAGGUGAAAAUGGUGAACAUGAUCUAUGUCACCCACAUCCCCAAGAGGGAGCGCAAACGCGCAUUACGGGACGUCUACAUCGUAGAGCAUGUCGCCCCAAAAUUCAACCCAUGGUCGGCUUGUCCGAUCACCUUUGAUCGCAGGGACCACCCCCAACCAGUAUCUGUCACGGAGGUUCAGCGGCCCUGGUACUCGAUCCUAUCAUCAACGGAUACCAUCUCACUAGAGUCCUCAUGGACGGCGACAGCAGCCUCAAACUUGAUCUAUCAGGAUACUGUCCGUAAGAUGGGUAUUGACCCGUCAAGAAUCAAGCCUAGCAACACUACCUUUAAAGGAGUGAUACCUAGCAUGGAGGCCCACUGCACGGGCUCCUUAACACUGGAAGUAGUAUUCGGCUCUACAAACAACUUCCAAAGCAAAGAUUUGAUCCUCGACAUCGUCCCUUUUCGCGGUGGCUAUCAUGCACUGCUCGGACCAACUGCCUUUGCCCGCUUUAAUGCAGUCCCGCACUAUGCCUAUCUGAAGCUCAAAAUGCCUGGACCUCGUGGUGUCAUCACAGUAAAUGUGAAUAUGGAGCGCUCCCUCUGUGCUGAGGAGCACACCGCGGCCCUAGCAGCCGAAAUACAGGGCGGCCUCAUCAAGCCGAAUAGCUCACCGGUCAUCAAGACCCAUGACACUGCUACGCGAGUCUGAUCCGCAUUACAAUGCGGUAGCUCGGUGGGGCCGGAGCUUGAAUAGCAGUUUGGCCUCCGCCGAUCGCCCCAUAAGAUUGCGGCAUACGUAACGUGCGUAGAUAAAUACACACUCAGAAUACCUUGGGCAGCGCCAGAGGCACACUGCCGAAAAGGUCCAUAGUACGUCUUGACCCUAUUCAGGCCUCAAAUAUUUCUUUAUUUUCCGCUGCAGGUUCGUUAGGGAACCUACCUGAUCAAUGGUUGUACGAGGCUCUUUUCUAGGACCCUCUUCCUUGCAGACGACCAUCGACUUCUCCUCUCAACGGACUUCCUACCAAGGAGAAACGGCGCAGACGUGCGGCAGGGCACCAUUGGGAUCUUCAACCACUACUUUUAGGCCAUGUGUAAACCUUUCCCUUGUGUAAACUCUUGGCAUGUAAAAUGGCCUCGAUAUUCAUGGCACUAUCUGUAACAACAUGGCUCGACGUAUUAAUCAGGGUAUAAAGGAAACACUUGAUCUCCACUUUUGUUUGGCCUUCACUUUACUUUAUGUUAUCAUCUGUAUUCCCUCCCUACUUCAGACCGCCACACGUGCUUUAGUCCGGCCUUAACACCGGGGGUUGUAUUCGGCCCUGCACAUUUCAGGUCCGAACACCUAUAGGGAACUCUUCGGCGUCCCGGAUAUUGCAUUAUAUGCAUCGACUCCGAAUCAAGUCUUUGGUCUAUAGUUGGGUUGCCCGGCUCCUACGCUUACCACCUUACAUUUCGCUCGUUCGGCUAAGGUAGUAAAGGGAGAACUACAACGAUUGUAUUUCUGGUUUGUCCGGUCAAGUACCUCAGUAGAGAAAGCCGAAAACUGACUGUCAUGAUAGGCGAGAGCUGGUCGGCAAUUCGGUGACUUAGUAUCUAUUAUUUAUUAUUUAAUUAAAACGAUAGGCAAACAAGCCACCAUGUACGUCCACAUAGAUUAAAUUAUCUUGAUCCUUAAUUUUAUGUUUUAACGGCUCAGAUCGAAAGAUGCAAGCAUUACAUAAGAAUAUAAUACAUCUACAAAAUAGUAGAACAUGUCACGUAGAAGUAGUCCACAUAGGUUCCAAAGCACGCGUCUAUAACUAGCCCGUACAAAAAAAACUUCCCAUCGAUGGGUUAAUGGUAAGCAAAAAAUAUUAGUCAAACCUAAACAAAUAAGGAACCUAUUAUUAACCGUACAAGGACAACUACCUCACGUGAGGAAAGUUCCACAUCAGGAAUGAAUACACACAGACAAAACAAGUCUGAUUAGCACACGGUGUGGGCAUCUGAUUUCCAGCCGGUCCCGACCACCACAACCCAAGACACCUAAAUCCAUAUAUAAAUAAGUACACA